rnacentral:lncRNA from 1 species
GCUAUUGAGAUUUUAAAACAAUAAUAGGAAUUGUUUAGGAUUUACUUAGAAUUUACUUGGAUUUAUUUAGAAUUUGUUUGAAAUUUUAUUAAGAUUUUUGUUAGAUUUGGUUAGGAUUUGAUUAAGGUUUUAUUAGAAUAUUUUUAGAGUUUGAUUAGAAUUUGAUUAGGACUUGAUUAAAAUUUGAUUAGGAUUUUUUUAAGAUUUUAAGGAAUUUAUUAGGAUUUAUUUAGGAUUUGUUUAGGAUUAAAUUAGGAUUUAGUUAGAAUUACUUAAGAUUUCUAUUGUCAAUAUUUUAAAGGAUUUUUUUAUUAUUUUUUUAUGUUACUUUAGUAAUUUCUUUCAAACUUCUAAUGGAUUUGGUUGAAAUUUAAUUAAAAUUAUUAAAGUUUAAUUGGAGUUUAUUUAAGUUUUUAGUAGACUUGUUAAAUCCUUAUUGUUGCCAUUUCCUAUUUACUUUGACAACUAGGUGCUUAGUAUAUUCUCAAGCAAAAAUUCAUGUAAUACAACAAUGACAACCAUAAAGUUGUUCAAAUGGUAGAACAACUUAGUAGUUAAGCAAUUGGUUAAACAAAGUGGAGAGUUGGAAGAACAAAGAAGUAGAACAAAUGGAGGAGAGGGCAAGCGAGAGCAUGCAGCACUACAAAGGUACUUGAGUGCAUGGUAUUCAAAAAAAUGAAUUCAUGAUAUUAUAGCAACAAUGUACAUUGGACUAGAUCAUAGGAAGAACAUGGACAAAGAGCUCCUGGAACAUACGCCCCUGGUCACACAAGACAUCCUAUGCCCACCAACACAACUCCAAAAUGAGCAGCAGGUUAGCUCCACAGAACCACUUGAUGACAACCACAAUUACCCAACCCUUCCCCAACCUCUUUCAAUUACACUGAAACCUUCCACUGUAGAAGCUAGUAAAGCCAUUGCGGAGAAAUUAGUCAAAACAAUCCGAAACCUAGACAUGUUAGUGAGAAUCCAGGCCUCAAAGCCAUACAAGACUGGGUCAGUCAGACACUCCUUACAUCGAUUAGUCACUAACGUCACCAUGAUUGGAGGAAGUAAAUUUGAAGUGCCAUUCUCACAUGAAGCCGAGAGAAUCCAUGCUUUAUCCAAAACCCACUGCAUGGAGAACCAAGACAUCACUUUCACCACUUGGCAAGCCCACCCCAAAUCCAUCCUGGAGGCUCCGGCAAAAUACCCUAUCUGGCUUCUGGUCAAGGGCCUCCCCAACUACUGGAAGACAGAGGACUUCCUCCGAGAAGUUCUGGAACACCUGCCGAUCGAAGUAGUGUGCGUAGAAACCUCGAAAAUAUACCGGAACAAGCUCUCAGGACUAAGAGCAAGAGAUCUCGUGGAGGAUCAUGAGUCACUACCUCCAUCUUUAAUGAUACAAAACCUCUUCAACCCAGGAACAACAGAAUACCCACUGGAACUCAGUGGCAUCCCCUCUUAAUGGAACAGAUGCAGGGUCAAAGACUUGGGUAACGUCUAAUUAUUAGUUCCAUCUCAGAAUGAAUGCUUCACGCGAGAUCUGGGCAACAUUCUGUGUAGACGGACCUUUUGACUUGACGGAUGGAACUAUUAAUUGGAAUUUUUUUUUCACCCUGCUGGGAACGAAACAUAUCUGCUUGAUUUUCUGUUUCUUCCUGAAGCAUUGUGCCUGUUGCUAUGGAUGGGGAAAAUAUAUGCUUUUUCUAAUCCAAAUGGCAGCAAGAAAAGUAAUGGGGGCUUUCAUAUUUAUUAUUCAAUUAUAAAGGCGUAGAAGUUGAUGCCAAUAUUCCGUAGGUUCUGUUAUAACCAUGGUUGCUUCAGAGCCUAGUUUCAUGAACUGCAAGCUUAUAUGAUGUAUGAAGCCUCAAAUGCUCGUUGGCUUUGAAUGGGGUUCUCGAUCGAUUUACCAAGGCAUAUGGCUUCACGUUGAGCAUCUGGAGGGAUUUGGGAGAUUUAAACAAUGAUGACCAAUUCGAAUCUGGAAGUAUUUCAGUCUCCUAAAAGUUCACCUUUGCGUCUCUGAAAGCGUUUAAGCUCUCGAUGUGCAAGGCAUAUGGAUAGAGAUGGAGGCAUCCUGUGCCUACCCUAUCGAAUGUAAUGGUCCGCUUUGGUGGUGGACAACAAGGUACACCACAACGUGUCCAGUCCCCUCAGGUGAAGUGUUAUGUGGAUAUUCGUUGGGAGCUUAAAUGUAAUGGACGAUUGAUUGAUAUGAGGAGGUUCCUUUAACACUGUUCUCCUUCACUUGAAGACUGGAUGUCAGUGUAGGACCAAGUAGCCACCUGACGGAUUUUACGGAUGUGGAGGACAUGAAUGCAAGAAAUUGCAGAUUACUUUCGCAAUGACCAUAUCAUGCUGCAAACUUCAGUUGCUAUGUGCAACUCCCGCGGAGUUGGAAACCCUCGCUCUCCAUCCAGAAUUUGGAACUCCAGGUGAUCACCAGUUUCUAUGCACCUCUCUUGUACUAACUUGCCUACUGAGCGACUGCCUUCGUAACUCGAGCAAUUUUGAUUAUCGUGAAGGGCUCAUAGCGACGUUCUGCUUCCUGGAUAUAAUCAAUCGUUGAUUUGAAUAAUGUACUUAGUAUGGACAAGUGGUUCAGUGAUUAAUUAGUUCAUGGCAUCGUCUGAAAACUGCCUGGUUGUCACACAUUACAGCACAACUAUAGUGAGAUUUAUUGCUAAUAUUCUAAAGCGUUUUUAGUAUGUAGAGGACAAGUGUUGAUGUGCACACCCGUAUGAUUUAGAAGAUGUUGGGCAGCAGGUUUCAACGUUGUCUGAACCAACAGCUGCAACGUAGCAGGCCCCUCCAAUCAACAUUAACAUGGAGCCCAAAGCUCGUCCACACGUGAAGCCGAUGCUGACUGUACAGUGAUUAUUCUGUGAACAAGAGCACUUCUCUAUGCCCGUAAUUCAUCCAUCCUGGACCCUUUUAUCAUCCAUCCAAGGUAUUUUCGGAGCGGAAAACCUAGGGCUGGAGAAGCAGCGCCAUCGCUCUCGCAGCUCUGACAUGGGGUCUAAUUUUUUUGAUGUCAAGGUACCUGAAAUAUGUUCCCCACGCAUCCCGUUGCGUUGCAGUUGCUGCUCCAACUCUUGCGCUGUGUUACGACUUCGAAAAUGCGUCAUUUCGUUCAGACUUCGGUAAGGGACUGAUAUAAUGUAACCUUUCUGCGUUAUCCUCGGUACGAAUGUUUUCGUUCACCAGGUUGCAGCAGAGGAAAGGAUAAUUUCAAAUUGCAUCGCUAGUUCAUUGUUUCGUUUAUUAGCAAUGGAGUUGUGAUUGAACCGGAUUCAGAAUCGCUAGUCUUUUGUUCCCCUCACGUCUCGAUCUGCGCAUUUAUAUUCGACCUGUUCAGCACAAGAACCAUAGAAACUGGAAAUCGCGUCAACUCUGGUUCCUGAGUAUGUUUCAAUUGAAAGACGUUUCUGUCAAUAUCAUUUUCCUCGAAUACGUUGGUGCCUUGAUCCGCUCAACAUACAUGCGCCCAGCUCAGAAAAUUAGUACCUCAGUUAUUCACAUUAAUGUGCAGUUUGUUGUGAAAGCACUGGAAAUGCUUCUUUCGAAAUCGAGUCCACAGCGAGCAUCAUAGUCCUCGCCAUUCAUUUCGAUAAACCUCAAACCCUAUUUGGGUCUGGAUAGGGUUAGGUUUUCCACUUCACCAUUUUCGAGCUUGUGUCUGCAUAAUCAUCCGGUGCAUCUGUUGUUCUCAAAAAAUACGAUUGGGGUGUCCUUUCAAACAUUUCAGUCGUUGGAGUGAAUGGAGCAGGUCCCGAAGGUACCCGCUUCAUGAUAAACUUAUGAAUGCACCCGGAGGAGUUUCCUUUGGAAGAUGUUGAAACUGCUGGGAGCAGGAUAUUUAGGCUGAAGUUAACUGAAGGAGCGUACGAAAAUUAUCUCCUGUAAAGAUAUUCCGUUUCGCAUGCAAGCCUAUGACUACGGGGCGUGCUGGUGGCAGGUAUGGGUUGGCAUGUUGCAUAAAAUUUGUGUUCCAAAGAAACGAUGGAGCAACAUGAUUCCGGGCAAGGGGCAGACACAGUUGUGUCUGUGCCGAUGGCCCUGGGUAUCUCCUCGUCUUCUGCCUCACCUGCUGCCUCCUCCAUGUUGGACGCACAUCGGGAACCUCUUGCAAAGCCUCCGAGUUCCGAGAUUUGGGGCAAGAACGAUGCGGUUAUUUCGUCUUCCGAGGUGCAAGAUGAAGUCACCCACCUUGUCGAGUCGGUGGGGAGACCUGGCGGAGGGUCAGGAGACGGAGGGAUCUUGUUAGCCGAGGAGGUGAACGCCGAUGACAAGGUCGUAGAGAGCUGCAAGAAUAACGACAUCGAUAUGCAAGAAAGGGUAGAAGGGGUAGAAACAGGUACCCCAGAAAUCUCGCAAGAAACCAUGGUUUUGGACAACGGAGGUGUUUCGGAGGAAAAUAGGACAGACGGCAGGGAUGUGGGCGUGGCGGCGGAGGACUCUGCAGAUGACGACCAACCGUUAUGCAUGAUGUUGAGAAAGGGCAAGUCGAGAGAGGACGGUCACGGAACGGUUGUGGAUGGGAGUCCGGUGGGGGAGGCGAGUUGUUACCCUUCGGGUGCUGUUCCCUCUCCGUUGGGUUGGCCAGGGACGGGAAAAGUGAAAUCUUCGUCUAGUGUGUCGAAAACAGGGAUGGUUGAUGAGGUGGGGAAGAAACAUGGACAUGGCGACGGGGGUGCAAAGGGCGGCACGUCGAAGAGCCGUCCGAACAGCGGGCUUCAGAGGAGCAGCAGAAAAGGAAGCAUGGAGUCGCGGAGGGCGCUUCGGCAAGCUAAGAAGCGCAGGUAUGGUUGAGACGGUGUUUUGGGUGAUGUGGGUGAGGAAGUGGGAAGUGAUAGCCGUGUGGUGUGUGGUGGAUUUGGUUUGGUUGCGGCGUAAUCCGUAUGUGUGUGUGUGUGUGUGUGUAUGUCGGGGAUGCCCCACGCGUCGCGCGAGACGGUGGGGGGCGGUGAUCGUGUCUGCGAAGUGUGGAAGGGGUGGUGCAUGGGAAGCGGAGGUAAUGCGUUUGCGUGACUGACGAAGUGUGGUGCAAGUGGCGAUUGUCAGGCACGAUGAUAUGGCGUACGAAGGCGAUAUGGAGUGGGAUGCGAUCGUGGGAGUAGGAGAGGCGCCGUCUGAUUGGAACUGGCACCCCGAGAAAGACAGGCUGAGCAGAGGGCGCGGGAAGGGCAGUUUGGCGUUGUCGUCGCACGGUCGGAUGUUUUCUGGGGAGGCUGCGGCGGUGGCAGCGGGUUUGCGAGCCCGGACCCUGAGUGCGGCGGAAAGGAUAUGCUUCAAGGAUGCAUUGAAACGACGCGGCGGGCUGCAGGAGUAUCUGGAGUGCAGGUGUGGUUGCGCAGUGACGCUGAGUGGAGGAGGCUGGGUUGUGUUGGGGAUGCAGAGUGAUGACGGAAGGAGUGAGUGGUUGUGAGACGAGGAUGCGGCGGGGGUGAUCUGAAGAGUGGGGAAUGGUGGUGUGUGGCAGGAACCUGCUCCUGGGGAUGUGGGAGAAGGACGUGCAACACUUGUUGAUGGUGACGGACUGCGGGGUAGCGGAAGAGGCAUCGGCGGAGGAGCCAGGUCGAGCCAGUCUCGUUCGUGAGAUAUACAGAUUUUUGGACUACCAUGUAAGUGUGGCGGUAAUGCAGGAGAGUGGUAGGAUUUGGGUGAAGGUGGGGAGAAUGUGGUGUAGUGAGAGGCGGUGAAGGAAGGAAUGCGGUGGAGUGUGCUGAGACGCGUUGUGUGAGUCCCGCCUGUGUUUGGUCUGGUAUUGUUUUGAUUGCUUUGUUGUGUGUAUGUGUGUGUGUUUGUGUUUGUUGCGGUUCGGCACGUAUGUAUUCGGUUUCAGUCCCCAGUUCAGACUGAGGGGAUGGUGCGUGAGAAGGAGAAGCACGUGCUAAGCAUGUUGCGGAGUUGUCGGAAAUGGUGUUGGAAAGUGAAUGCGAGUGUCCCGGUUUUUGGACGUGAGCCAUGUUUGCAGUUGUGGUGGAUGCGGAAAUGUUGCUGGUUUGGGCACGUCGACUGUGGCGCGGGCUUCGAACAGGUGGUGGCGGUGGGGCGUUUGGUAGGUUUAGAAUGUGGGACUGAUUCAGUACGGUUGCGUAUGGCAGGGUUACAUCAACGUAGGGGUGGCCAGCAAGCGGCAGAAGCAUGGAGGCGUGCAGGCCGAGCGAGGUAAUGGGAAGUCGAGGGCGAGCGAGAACGGUGAGUCGGUGUUCGAGGGAGCGGAGCUGGACGUAGCUGAAGAAGUGGCACUGAUUCUUGGUGAGUGUGGCACGAGGGCAGUGUUACGCGGAUGUUAGGAAGGUUGCGAAACAGCGGGGUGAAGGUUGAGGUGUUGCACUGGUCUUAUCUCGACGACCGGACGUAUGCGCAGUGCAGCUAGGUUUGUGUGGAUACAGAGACCAUGGGGUUGUGUUGGUAAGGUUUGGAGGGUGCGGAGAUAUUGACGAUCGGGGAGUUAUUGCAGGUCAAAUUCGAGGGAACCCGGGGUCGGGAGCGACGAAGGAGGAAAGUCAUGGCGAGGGUCCGAGCGGGCGAGUGGAUUCUUGCCAUGAUGGAGAGGGAUCGACGGGGAUCACGGAGAACGGGAGCAGUCCGACGUGUUCGCUGACGAAGGGGGCCGUGGAUGGAGAGUCGACACCCAUGGACAUCGACGUGGGUCCGAACGUGGACGCAGUGGAGUCGAUGGCGGUGGUGGGGGUCGAGGAGAAGCAGGAUUGCAAGACGGUGGUUUCGGCGUCGCAGAGCGUGGUGUGCAAAGCGGAGGGCGAGGAGAAUGGGCAGCACCCGGAAGGGGAGGUGGACAAUGAGAUCGACGACAUGGCGACGCUGGACCAGGUGUUUGCCCGGAGGCGGCAUGGGUUGAACGCGAGGAAGAUGAAGCGUGGGGGGUGGGAUGGCGCGAAAGCGGAAGUAUGCGGGUCGGUGGGAGCGAAGGACGAGCUGGACGAGUUCAAGAGCGCGCAGGUGUUGCAGGAGCUGCACAAGUGCGAUGCAGGCGUGGAAGGGCUGGUGGCGUUCAGGGCAGCAGCGGAAUUGGAGAGGCAGCGGAGCCAGAGAGCGGAGCAGGAAGGGGGAAAACGGGUGAUCGUGGUGGGCGCGGGGCCUGCUGGGCUGUCAGCGGCGCGACAUCUGCAGCGGAUGAAGUACCAAGUGACGAUAGUGGAGGCUCGGGAUCGGGUGGGUGGGCGCGUGUAUACGGACAGGAAGACAUUUUCUGCGCCCGUGGAUUUGGGGGCGAGCAUAAUCACGGGUAAGCGAGAGAGGGAGAGGGAGAGGGGGAGGGAGUGGUGGGCGGAGCGUUUGAGGGAUGCGGACGUUGGUGGAAGGAUGUGCGGGACGGAGGGUGGAGGUAGAGAUGCGUGUGGCGGUGGUGGAGUUGCAGCUGACGCUGGGAAGGGGAUGGGUGUGUGCAGGUGUGGAGGCAGACGUGGCGACGGAGCGGAGAGCCGACCCUUCUGCGCUUUUGUGCAAGCAGCUGGAUUUGGAGCUGACGACGUUACGCGGGGACUGCCCGCUGUACGAUUCCGUGAGCGGAGAGAAGGUCCCGGCGGACCUGGAUGCCGCAUUGGAGGCGGAGUACAACAGUUUGUUGGACGACACGGUGUUGAUGGUUGCACAGAACGGGGAUGCUGCGAUGCGGCUGUGCCUGGAAGAGGCGCUGGAAGAAUGCCUGAGGAGGCGACGCGCGGGACGCAACGGCGGGGAUGCGGCGAUGAAGAGGGAGGAGGCGAAGGAGAACGGAGUGGUGGGUGAUGUGGGAAGCGAUGGUUCGAGCGUGGAGAAGGUGGCGGGGGAGGAGUCGGAUAUGGUGGCGGCGGUGACGGCGAGCGAGGUGAUAUGCGAGACGCUGGUGGCGAGCGACCCGUGCGAGAAGCUGGCGAUCGCGGAGUGUGCGAGCGAGGGGAAGGCGGGCACGAGGUCGGAGGUGGGGAAGGAAGGGGCGACGGGCGCGGUGCAGGGAAGAGUGGAGGAGGGGAAGCUGAGCGAGCUGGAGCGGCGAAUCAUGGACUGGCACUUCGCGAACCUGGAGUACGGGUGCGCGGCGGAGCUGAAGGAGGUAUCGUUGCCGUACUGGACCAAGACGACGUGUACGGUGGAUUCGGAGGGGCUCACUGCAUGAUCAAGGGGGGUUACAGCCAGGUGAUGGAGGCACUGAGCGCAGGUCUGGACAUCNNNNNNNNNNNNNNNNNNNNNNNNNNNNNNNNNNNNNNNNNNNNNNNNNNNNNNNNNNNNNNNNNNNNNNNNNNNNNNNNNNNNNNNNNNNNNNNNNNNNNNNNNNNNNNNNNNNNNNNNNNNNNNNNNNNNNNNNNNNNNNNNNNNNNNNNNNNNNNNNNNNNNNNNNNNNNNNNNNNNNNNNNNNNNNNNNNNNNNNNNNNNNNNNNNNNNNNNNNNNNNNNNNNNNNNNNNNNNNNNNNNNNNNNNNNNNNNNNNNNNNNNNNNNNNNNNNNNNNNNNNNNNNNNNNNNNNNNNNNNNNNNNNNNNNNNNNNNNNNNNNNNNNNNNNNNNNNNNNNNNNNNNNNNNNNNNNNNNNNNNNNNNNNNNNNNNNNNNNNNNNNNNNNNNNNNNNNNNNNNNNNNNNNNNNNNNNNNNNNNNNNNNNNNNNNNNNNNNNNNNNNNNNNNNNNNNNNNNNNNNNNNNNNNNNNNNNNNNNNNNNNNNNNNNNNNNNNNNNNNNNNNNNNNNNNNNNNNNNNNNNNNNNNNNNNNNNNNNNNNNNNNNNNNNNNNNNNNNNNNNNNNNNNNNNNNNNNNNNNNNNNNNNNNNNNNNNNNNNNNNNNNNNNNNNNNNNNNNNNNNNNNNNNNNNNNNNNNNNNNNNNNNNNNNNNNNNNNNNNNNNNNNNNNNNNNNNNNNNNNNNNNNNNNNNNNNNNNNNNNNNNNNNNNNNNNNNNNNNNNNNNNNNNNNNNNNNNNNNNNNNNNNNNNNNNNNNNNNNNNNNNNNNNNNNNNNNNNNNNNNNNNNNNNNNNNNNNNNNNNNNNNNNNNNNNNNNNNNNNNNNNNNNNNNNNNNNNNNNNNNNNNNNNNNNNNNNNNNNNNNNNNNNNNNNNNNNNNNNNNNNNNNNNNNNNNNNNNNNNNNNNNNNNNNNNNNNNNNNNNNNNNNNNNNNNNNNNNNNNNNNNNNNNNNNNNNNNNNNNNNNNNNNNNNNNNNNNNNNNNNNNNNNNNNNNNNNNNNNNNNNNNNNNNNNNNNNNNNNNNNNNNNNNNNNNNNNNNNNNNNNNNNNNNNNNNNNNNNNNNNNNNNNNNNNNNNNNNNNNNNNNNNNNNNNNNNNNNNNNNNNNNNNNNNNNNNNNNNNNNNNNNNNNNNNNNNNNNNNNNNNNNNNNNNNNNNNNNNNNNNNNNNNNNNNNNNNNNNNNNNNNNNNNNNNNNNNNNNNNNNNNNNNNNNNNNNNNNNNNNNNNNNNNNNNNNNNNNNNNNNNNNNNNNNNNNNNNNNNNNNNNNNNNNNNNNNNNNNNNNNNNNNNNNNNNNNNNNNNNNNNNNNNNNNNNNNNNNNNNNNNNNNNNNNNNNNNNNNNNNNNNNNNNNNNNNNNNNNNNNNNNNNNNNNNNNNNNNNNNNNNNNNNNNNNNNNNNNNNNNNNNNNNNNNNNNNNNNNNNNNNNNNNNNNNNNNNNNNNNNNNNNNNNNNNNNNNNNNNNNNNNNNNNNNNNNNNNNNNNNNNNNNNNNNNNNNNNNNNNNNNNNNNNNNNNNNNNNNNNNNNNNNNNNNNNNNNNNNNNNNNNNNNNNNNNNNNNNNNNNNNNNNNNNNNNNNNNNNNNNNNNNNNNNNNNNNNNNNNNNNNNNNNNNNNNNNNNNNNNNNNNUCCGCUGGGAGUCUGAAGCCGGAACGAUCCGGUUCAGCCCUCGGCUUCCUGAGUGGAAGACGGCGUCGAUAAAGCGGCUGGGAUUCGGGGUGCUGAACAAGGUGGUGCUGGAGUUUCCGUGGGCAUUCUGGGACGAGGGUGUGGACUACUUCGGGGCGGCGGCGGAGUGCAGCUCGGGGCGCGGGAGGUGCUUCAUGUUCUGGAACCUGAAGAGGACGAGCGGGUAUCCGAUCCUGGUGGCACUGGUGGUGGGGAAGGCGGCGAAGGAGGGAGAGGGGGUGGAGAGCGGGGAGCUGGUGGAGCACGCGGUGGGGGUUUUGAGGAAGCUGUUCGGAGAGGAGGCGGUGGGGGAGCCGGUGGCGUCGGCAGUGACGAAGUGGGGAGAGGAUCGUUUCAGUCGGGGGGCGUACUCGUACGUGGCGUUGGGGGCAUCGGGGGAGGACUACGACAUUUUGGCGCGGCCGGUGGAGAAGUGCGUGUUCUUCGCGGGGGAAGCAACGUGCAAGGAGCACCCGGACACGGUGGGGGGUGCGAUGAUGAGCGGGUUGAGGGAGGCGAUAAGGAUGAUGGACAUAAUGGAGAACCGCGGCGACAGCAUGGCGGAGGCGGAAGCGCUGGCGGCUGCUCAGCGGCAAUCGGACAGCGAGAGGAACGAGGUGGGUGUUGUGGUGGUGUGGAUGUUUGUGGGGACAGGAGGGGAUUUUAGAUGGGAUGGGAGCGGGGGGAGGGUAGGGGAGGAGGAUUGGAAAGGUGGAUGUCUGAUUGGUGGUUGGGAAUGGGCAGGUGAGGGAUAUGAUGAAGCGGUUGACGGCAGCAGAGCUGUCGAACGUGCUGAGGGCGGAGACGGGGGCGGCGAACGGAGAGAGAGGACCUCUAAGUCGUGCGGAGCUGUUGAAGGACAUGUUCGGGCAUGCGAAGACAACAGCAGGGCGGCUGUUUCUGAUCAAGGAGAUGUUGCAACUGCCGGUGGCUCCUCUGAAGGGUUUCGCCGGGACGAAAGCUGGGCUGGAGAUUUUGAAUACGUGGAUCAUGGUACGUUUGCAGGAGUGGGCAGGAUGGGAAUGGGACAUGUCGCUGUUGUUGCGCGUGGGGUGCGGGGUGGUGAUGUGGAGUGAUGGGCGGUGGAAUGUGUGCGGGUGGUGGAAUCAGGGUUGGUACGGUGAAGAGUGUAGCGAUCGGAGAUGUUGUGCAGCAGGGGCAGGCGGGUGCUUGCGCGCAGGCGAAGACGGGAAGAGGUGUAAUGGGUGGAGUUAGGGGAGUUAGUGUGGUGAUCGGAGGGGACUGGUGGCGUGUGUGAUCGGGUGGUAUGUUGAGUGGGAGGUGUUGAGAGGGCGUGUUUGGUUACGGUUGUGUUGGAUCGGUGACGGGGCGUUUGUGUGCGUGCAGGACUCGAUGGGCAAAGAUGGGACUCAGCUUCUGCGGCACUGCGUUCGACUGCUGCUUGUGGUGGCGACGGACCUAGUUUCGAUUCGGCAGUCGGGUACUGUGACGACCUUUGAUGGUGUGAUGUUCGUUGAAGCGGUUGGGUGGAGUGCAGGAGAGCAGUUUAGGAUGUUGGAGAGAGGUGGGCGUAGGAGGUUGGAGGGUGAGGCGGGUGUGUGGCGUUGUUGUAGAUGGUGGGUGACGAUGGGGUUGUGACGACGUGCGUGGUGCAGGUGUGGGGAAAACCGUGAAGGAGAAAGUGUGGAUGCACACAAGCCGCGACAUUCGAGCCGUGGCGAGUCAACUUGUGAAACUGUGGGUGGAGGUAUUCAGACGGGAGAAAGCACAGGGGACGAUAAAGUCGAUCAGGAAGUCGGCCGGAAGUUCACCGAAUGCGGGCGCAGGACAUGCGUCGGCGAAAGCAAAGGAUGUUCAGAGGUGCGCGGCGAGCGGUGGAAAGCUGAACGUUGCAGGCAGCGGCGGUUCGAAGUUCAGGGCUUCGAACCAGUCGGCUUCACCAAGCGGGGAGUCUCCGUCGGGUGGACAGAGCAAGGUAUGCACGUGGAGUGGGAAGAGUGAGGUGUGGAGUGAGGAGAUUUGGGGGUUGGGAGGACGAAGAUGUUGUUGGAGUGUUUGAAGUGAGUGAGUGACAGGAUGAAGCGAGGGUGAGGAACGAUGUUGUGAUUGGUGACGUGGCGUUUAGGGGAGGUGUUUGGAAGGGUGGUGUGAUGCAGGGAUGUAGUUUGGUGAUAGGUCAUGAUUGGAGUUGCAGUGCUGAGUGUGAUUUGAUUUGGUUGUGUGUUUUUGAUACCGAAAGCUGGCGGUGGGAGAGUGGUGGGGGUUUGGAAUGGGGUCUGAUGCUGUGAUGUUGUAGGCAUCGAAUGUGGAGGAGCCGAGAAGCGACGAGGGCGGUGCGGUGGGUGGUCAAAACGCUGAAGGGGUGUGGAGAGGUGCGGAGUCGAGAAAUGCAGAGAGGCCGCUGUCUGAGUUGGAGGUGAAGGCGAUUGUGGCGGCGGAGGAGGCACGGGCUGCAGCGGCUGCAGCUGCAGAGGUAGGUCUGAGGGUGAUGCAUGAAGUUGAUUGUGGGUGAGGUGUUUGCAGUCGGAAUGGAGAAGAGGGAAGGUGCGAUGGUGGUGGUGGUGUGGGUUGUGUGCGUGGAAUUGUAGGGGUAGUUGUGAUGUAGGUAGAUAGUGGAAAGCCAGGUGACAGGCAGGUCGGGAACGUUGAGGGCUUGUGUGAGAUGGCAUGCAGUAAUUAGGUUGGGGUUGUGACGUUUGCAGGCGUACGCACAAGUGGAGGCUCAGCGAAAGGCUCUUCCGGAGCUGCCAAAGAUCUUGUCGUUUCAUAGGUUUGCAAAGCGCGAGAAGGAGGAUAGUAUGGACUGGAAGACGAGAAGCUGGCUGGGGAUGGGUGAGAAUCCUGCAGGCUCCAGCGCAGGCGCAGGUCCAGCAGGUAUGGACGGAAUGGUGGAUGUGAGUUUUGUGGAGGGAUGGCAGGGAUAGGUGGAGGUGAAGACGAGGGAGGCGGAGUGUGAUGGUGACAUGAAAGUUGAGGCGGGGUGUGGGGUGUGGGGUGUGGGCGUGAGUUUUGAGGGCGGAUGUUUUAGUUGACGCAGUCGGCGUAAGGCGUGCAGGUUGAGGUGGAUAGGAGUUUGGAUCGUUGAGGUUGCGGGUGGUGUUGCUUGGUGUAGAUGUUUUGCAAGGAGUUAGUGGGAAGCAUGGUAGUAGGUUGUGUGGUGGGGGUUGCAGGAGCGGAUGUGUCGGUAAUGAUGGAGGAUUGUUGUCGUUCAGGUUUGGAGCAGAGAGUGGCACAAGAGAACAGCUGUGUGUGGUCUGAGCAGGGGAAUGGGGGUGAUGGUACGGGCGGAGUGCAUCAAAGUACACCAAGCGAGCAGGGCGAUGGGUCGGUUUCGGGUGUGCCGGCGUCAAUGGUGGCUAGUAGCGACACGAAUGGGCACGCGGAGACUCAGGCGGAUGGAACGGGAAGGAGCGGAGAUGUUGGGAAAGCGGCGGAAGAUGUUGUGUUGAGUAGCAGUUGUGCGAGAAUGGAAUCGUUAGGCACAGGAGAGGAGGAGGGUGGUUGUGGAACGGAGGCUGCGGCAGGUAGGGUGGAGGGCGCAAGCACAGCGUGUCCAGAUGUGGGUGGUGCGGAGGCAAGUGCGGCCCCUGCAGAGAAGCGGGGAGGGGCGGACGCAAUCAAGAAGGCGGUGUCAGACUACGUGGUUCAGCUGUUGACCCCUCUGUAUAAGACGAGGAGGAUACAGAAGGAAGACUUCAAGGCCAUAGUGAAGAAGUCGACUGCGAAGGUGAGAAGGUGGUGGGUAGUGUGGGGGGAAGGCAACGAAGGUGUGAUGGGAAGUGUACGGAGAGGGAGUGGAUAUGGGAGGAGCGAACGAGUGUGUGAAGUUGUAUUGGUGAAGUUGUAUUGUGCAGUAUUGGUGGAGUUAGUGAUGGGAUAGGAAUGAGUGUGAACGAGGAGUUGAGCGUGACUGAGCGGUGGGUGGUGUGCAGGUGAUGGACCGGAACACUGCAAGGGACAACAGCAUGGACGUCUCUGAGUUUUUGAACAUGAAGCGGAAAGUGAAGGUGUGGUGUUUAAUGACUUUGCCGUUGUUUGAGUGUAGUGGUUAUAUGGAUAAUUCUCAAUGUUCGUCUGUGUUUUCAUGGAGGUGUCAGGAGGCAGAAUGGAUGCACUGGUUAGUUGAUGUCGCUUUUGUUGCAUUGUGUCAUGUCUUUUUGACUUUGGAUCUGCCCGUCUUUAGGUUUUGGUGUUCGUUAUGUGUGCUCUUACAGGAAUGCUUGCUGUUUUGUUGCAGCUGAUGUUUUAAUUGGUUUUUGGACUUUCUUAGCGGUUUAUAUCGUUAAGAAAAAGACGAUUAUGAGUUGUUUUGUUUUGUUAGAUUUGGAAACUGAUGAUGGUUUUGGAUUGUUGGAUUCCAGAUUCGGUCUAUGGUAGACGUGUUUAUAGAGCGACAUCUGAAAGUGGUCUCAAAUUGAAGUGUUCGGAGGAUUCUCGCGAUGCGUUGCAUUGACAGGAUAGAUUAGAUUUAUUCAGGUUUAUUUUUCUUUACGUAUUUCGGAGAAUACUAUUGUAUAAUGAUAUCAUUCUUUAAUCUUAGAAAUUGUGAUAAUUAUAGUCCCCAGUGUCACUACUUUCUAAAUAAUGUGCUUUGAAGGUUCUAUCUAACUAACAAAAUAAUUAAAUAACAUUAUUAUGUAUUCGUAUUAUUAUAUAGAACCCAAACUAUUUCUAAACAAAUUUAUUUGUUGUACUAUGUUACUGUUAUAGAAUGUUGACAUCCACCAACAUCCAAUUGUCUUUUUUGGUUUGAUCUUAGUUUUAACUAGUAGCUCUUAUCAAAUCUCUUUUUUUGUUUUAACACCUUAUUGCUUUUAGCAUGUUAAGUAAAUUUUUUUGGGUCUUUCAGCAAUCUUUCUAAUUGCUGAAUUUUAAUUUCUAACAUAUUUAUUUAUUAAUGCUUAUUUUUAUCUAGGCUAUAUAAUCUAGUAAGAAGUACUUUUUAUGCAUGUUUUAUUAUCAUUUGUUUUAAUAUCUACUUUAUUGGUAUAUAAUUCUUAAUUAUAUUAUGGAUUUGUUUUUUUUGUUAGUGUUAUAAAAAUUGAUCAUUAACUUUGCUAAUAUAGAUGUGCUGAAAGAAGAGGAGAGGCAUUACUUUGUGGGACUUGUAUGUUGGACAAGUCCUACUUUGGAGUAUAAACAAUGUAGAAUCACUCAACACUCUUCUUUUGAAAGUGAGACUUAGUUCUUUACUAAAACAAGACCUAAAAUAUCUUUGAAAGAUAGAAAUUUAUUUUAGAAAGAAGUUUCAUGAAGACAUCUGCUGCUAUUUGUUUAGUGGGACAAUAUUCUAAUCCAAUUUGUCCUUUCUCUACACAUUGCCUAGUAAAAUGGUAUUUUGUAUUCCAAUGCUUUGUAUGACCAUAGUGUGCUAGAUUUUUGGCAAUAGCAAUGGCAUUUUAGUUAUUCUCAUAAAUGAGGUUUUUCUCCAACUUGGGAGUUUCAUUAUCUCUAAGUUGUUUACAAAGCCACAAAAUCUCCCUAGCUAUAGUGGUCAAAAGUGCAUACUCUUUAGGUAGAUACAAGUGAUAAUUAUAAUACCUACCAAAUGGUACAUCUCUACAUAACCUACUUCAUUUGCAUUACUUUAGCCUACAAAUUGCAAAUUUGCUUCUUUACUUCCAUAUUGCAACACUAAAUCUUUUAUUCUUUAUAUUAUUAACAUAUUUGCUUGAUUCCUUACUAAUACAAAAUAUAUGGAUAUGACAUGUAUUGAGCAAAGUAUUGACAAGUAAAUGUAAUGAAUAUUGUAAUAUUUCCAAGGUACAGUAAUGAACCUAAAACUUUGUGAUAAAGCUUUAGACCUAUUACAUUCAAAAGAUUAUCAUUCUCAUACUUAGUGAGAUAACCUUAUAUUAUUGGUGUGGCAAUUGCCUUUGUGUAUUUCAUUUCAAAUUCUUCCAACUAUCAAUAAAUGUAUUUAAUUUGGCUUAAAUUAAUAGUACCAUUCUUCUUAUCUUAUAAGAAAUCAAUAUGAAGGAAAUGAUAAGGUUCACCAAGAUCUUUUAUUUUAUAGUAUUCUUACAAUUCAUCCUUACAUUUUAUAAGGAUUUUAUAGUUCUUGCUAUAAAUCAAUACAUCAUUGACAUAAAUAAUUAGUCCAAAGACUAAUCCUUCAAUGUACAUCAUGUAUAAAUAGAGAUAUAAUUAAGAGCAUUGUCAGGGUAGAAAGAGUUUGCCUCAAGAAAGCACUAGGCUUUUGGCUGCCACUAAAUGCUCAAUCAAGUCUAAGAUAUAAAAGUACCAAGUUUAUAUAUAUAUAUAUACAGUAAUUACAUCAAUACAUAAGUCCAAGUACCAAAAAAACACCCAAAUGUAUGAUAAAGUAUCUUAAAACCUUAUAUAUCCUUAUGAGAAAUGUUUCUCAAACUUCAACAACUCAUAUCUCACGAUCUGAUUGUCUAAAAAACCUUAAAGUUUACACGAAGUAUUGAUAUACAUUCAAAAGCUACGACAAAAAAAUUUAACUGCAAAUUCGUUACGGAUCUUGAGAUAUCACCAAAACCCUAAUAGUAGCUUUAAACCCUAGCUUACAUACACCCGCAUUCUAUUUUCUUCAUAUCUCACAAAAUAAGUACUUAAAUACCAUAAAAAUUUGAUCUAUAGCUUUUUAACCUAAUAAAUCACACUUACAAAAAUUUUGAGCCAAAAAUUCGUCCAGAAACUCAAGAUAUAGCUCCAACCAUUACUAUUAACAAAAUGACUCACUUAUUGUCUUUGAAUUACAAGUGCUGUCUUCAAUGCUCUAUAACUCCUUCAUCUAGACUUGAAAUUUGUCAAACAAUAUUUAUAAAAUGUAGUCAAGAAAGUGUUGUCUCCAACUCUAGUCGCCGAACUUUCAUUGCUCUCCGUACGCAUAUGUUAUGCUUCAAAAAGUGACAAUAGGUAUAAAUUUGACACCUUAACUUUGAACAUCUAUAUCUCCUUCUCAAAAACUCCAAAUCACACAAACACUUCACUCAAAUUAUACCCAAAACCGUGAAUUUGUUGAUCCUAGCCUCCAAAGCUUGAAUGACUUUGAAAGAGAAAUCCUAAAUCCUAAUAAGGCCUCAGGCAGCCUCCUUGACGCCCAUUGGGCAUGGCCUUCGACCAAUAGGAAUGAAGUUUCCCAUUCCUUGUCUUCAUCCAACCAUGCUUUGCUUUCAUCCCUCCCAAUAAGCCUCCUAUUAGUUAAGAUUUUCUUCUUUAGGCUCUAAUCUCCUCUCAAAGCUUUAUACUGAACAUUUAGGUCUUACAAUUUUUUUGAAUGCUAUAAUAAAAAAAGAUAAAACUCAAAAUAAAGUUUUUUAAAUCCACUCUCUUUAAAUUAAUCCAUUAAUCAUUCUAAUACACAACAAGAAUUAUAAACAUAUUAUAUGUUUUAACAAAUUUUUACAUAUUAUAAGCAUUUAUAGUACGACAGCGCUUCUAACCAAGAUUCAAGAAAGAUCCAUAUAAACUCUUGUUGCAUCCGUAUCUAGGUUGCUUCAAAUUAUACACAAACUUAAGCAAUUACAAUACCUUUUUUAUAUUCAAAUAGAAUUUUAAAUCUUUUUAGAAACUUUAUUUAGGUAUCUUCUUUUUUAAGUUUACCAUCUAAAUAAGUUAAAAUAAUAUCAAGUUGGAACAUAAUCCAAUCUAGGGUAGCAACAAUUGCAACAAAUAUGUAAAUUUUUAUAUGAAAAAAUUUUGAUAUAAAAGUCUCUUGGUAAUUAAGACCCUUCACUUGAUUAAAAUCUUUUGUAAAAAAUCAUACUUUAAAAUGCUCAUUAGAAUCAUUGCUAACAAGUUUCUUCUUAAAAAUUUAUUUUAAAUUUAAAAUCUUUACACCAUUUGAUAAAAAUAAAAAUUUCCAUGUAUCAUAAUUUUUCAAAGAACCAAGUUCUUUUUUAAUGACAUAACUCUACUCCUUAAAAAAAAUGUGCUUAUGGCUUGUUUAAUAAUUUUUGAUUUUUCAUGUUCAUUAUUAUAAAGAAUAUCCAUUAUUUUAAUCAAUAUGUUAUAAUUUCGUCAAAUAAAAUUAUCAUUAUUUUUUCAAGGCAUGCAAUGCAUUCUAAUACUACUUAUGAUAUUUUUUUGGAUCAAUCCUACUUAUGUAAUUAUAUCUUGGUAGUAGAUCAUGAGUGGUUGCUUCUAAUUCUAAUAGAUGAAAUUCCAUUACUUCUAUUAGUAUAAAAUUUGCUUCCUUAUCAACCAUUUUUCUACUAAAUCCAUCAUAUAUAUGUAAUCUCAAGGCCCGAGGUUUUGAUAUUUUUGAUUCACUUAGAUGUUGAAUAUCAAUCAAAUCAAAUUUAUUUCUAUGAUCUUUAUCUUUUCAACUUUUUUGUUAACAAAUCAUUAGUCCACUAAGUAAUUCAUUCUUAUAACCAAGAAAAAUCACAUCUCAACUAAAAAACAUCUUCUUUUCUAUAGGUAGGAGAAUCUCAUAUCUUUUUGCCAUAUCUUAUAUCUAACAAAAUUUUCCUUCUUUACUUUUGCAUCAAGCUUUUGAAGCCAUUCCUUUGCUAUGUGAUAUCAAGCAAGAUAACCAAAAUAAUGAACUGUAAUCGUCGUUUGACUCAGAAUCAAAACACCAAGAUAUUUGAUCAGUAUAGGUGGGUUCGAUCUCGGGGAAAGACUCGUUGUAUGAAUUGGAUAUGUUAUGUCACAAUUGAUUAUGUAUUAAUUAUCUAAAACUUCCAAAGUUUUCUUCCUCAUCUCAAUUCAAUCCCUUCACAAUCUCUACAAUUGUUCACUGCCCUGCAGCUACUAAAUAUCACUGACAUUCUUGACAUCUACAGGAUGCUUAAUCUCUUUCCACAGUACUUCAAUUCUCAAUUCCUUUACUUUUACUCAAUCUUCCAGUGCUACUAACACAAUGCAAUAAUCUCUAUUAUCACAAUCACACUUUCUUUCUCCAAAUUAAUUAAUUCGAAUUCAUAAUUUUCAAUAUCUCAAUCACAGUUUCAGCAAUCCUUUUCUUAAAUCCAAUACUAAAGAAAAACACAAAAGUAAAGAAAACAAAAGGGUAGCUCCAAGCUUUACCCUGGCUCACGACUAUCACAGUCUGGCCCCCAUUCUUUCUUCCUCAACCUCUUUAUUCUACCAAAAUAUGAAUCGUCAUUUAGCAGAUUCCACAGGUUAUGAAACUUUGGCUUCUUAACGGCAUAUGUUCUUAACUUCCUACUAUUAACAACUAAUCAAACUAACCAUUCAUCUAAAUCCCAACAUUACUACUAUUUAACCGAUAACGAACCAGAAAAGUCAUUUAUACAUUCUACAUAGCCCCACUCCUUACUGUGCAGCGUCCUCGCAAACCACCUCGUACUACAUUUUACAAUAUCACCACAUCAUUGGCUUCCUCCAAUGUCUGGACCUCUGGUCCGCCUUGGUCCGUUUCAUCAUUUCCAUAAGUGAGAUUGGUUUCGACUUCUUGAGCUUCUUCUCCAACUCCCUCUCCCACCUGCUCUCCGUUCAAUAAAGCUGUCAAGUCCUCGUUAAGUGCUCCCAAUUCCCGAACCUGAGACUCCAAAAGCACAAUUUGGGUGUCUCGCUCUUUUAGCUGCUCCUCCUCUUACGCUCAAUCACCAUCUUCGCUACUCACGAUAAUCCUCUAAAACCUGUGUUUAGCAACGUGAAUCAAGAAAUUGCAAUGUAAACAAUGCCAACCAAGAGCCCCACUCCUAACUUCUACCUUGGUUCUCUUCCUGAUAUGACUUAACCUAACAGGCCUAUAACAACCUAUCCUAUUAGUGUCUUCCUGACGACUCACCUUCACUCAACCCGUCCAUAAUCUCAUCAUCACACGCUCUUCCCUUCCCAUCACAACUCUUGUGCUGUCACUUCAAUACUAAAUUGGCUUUCUCUCUCCCCCCCCCCACCGAUAUAAAACCCGUCCCGGGUUUAUGUAGCAUACAGACGUAGCCGAUUCCCAUUUAUACACGUGGUAAAUUUAGCAUCCAUAAAGUCUUACAAUUGGACUGAGCCAUUGAGAAAACCCUCAAUGACUCUGUACGGCCCAUGCCACCGAAUAUGAAAUUUUCCUGGAAAAUUUUUAAAACGACUGUCAUAAAGCAGUACCAAAUCAUUGGGCAUAAAAAAUUUUGGUUUUAAUUUACUAUCAUAAUAACUUUUCCGUCGCCUUUGAGUGGCCUCCUGUCUCAAUAGGGCAUUGAUUCGAGUUUCAUCCAACUGCUCCAAUUGUGCGAAACGAACUUGUAACGACUCCGUAUCCCCCAAUCGUUCCUCCAAUACAAUGCGCAAACUUUGAACUUCGAAUUCGAUAGAUAAUAUUGCUUCCUGACUAUAAACUAAUUGAAAGGGUGUGGCAUUAGUCGUAACUUUAUAUGCAGUACGAUAUGCCCACAAAGCGGCAAACAAUUUAGUGUCCCAAUCCGUGCCUGCACCAUAUGUUGUCUUAGUGAUAAUUGUACAUAAUAUGCCGUUGGUCUUUUCUGUUUGGCCAUUUGCUCUGGGAUGAUACGAUGUCAUCUUUCGAUGUUUAAUCUCAUAUUUAGCAGUCAAUGCUUCAAUUGUACUAUUAAUGAAAUAGGUUCCUCGAUCACUGACCAAUUCUUUUGGACAGCCAAACCGUGUAAUAAUAUUUUCAUAUAAGAAUGUGGCUAUAUCACUAGCACUAUCAGAUUUUGUUACCUUCGCUUCGGCCCAUUUGGUAACAUAGUGCGUGGCAACCAAUAUAUACCGUUUUUGUCCAUGGCGAGAGGCAGGUGCAAUUGGGCCCACGAAAUCAAUACCCCAUUUUUCAAAAGGUACCUGUGCCAGAAUUGGAACUAGCGGCAUCGCGGAUGUACCCGUAGGACGAUCAAUUCGGUGGCACGGGUCACAACGACGUGCAAACUGGUGAGCAUCCGUAAACAUUGUCGGCCACCAAUAUCUCGCCUAUAAAAUUUUACGUGCUGUGCUGUCGCCUGUAAAAUGUCCACCAUAACUAUCCAAAUGACAUCCUUCUAAUAUAGUGCGUGCUUCAUUCUGAUAAACGCAACGGCGUAAAAUACCGUCUUUCCCUUGUUUAUAUAAAGUUUCUCCAAUCAUAGUAUAAGGUGCGCUUUUCAAAACCAAUCUUCUCUUAAGCUUCUCCAUAAAUUGGAAAGGAAAAGUUUAAAAAGUCAAAUACUGUAUCAAUUCGCUAUAUUCCGACGUAAUUAGGUCGACAAGAAAUAACUCAACGUCAGGUAAUGCAUCAGGAAUGGGUUCAUUUCCCAAUAUAUUGGACAGUCGCGAUAGAUGGUCCGCAUUGGCAUGCGACUUCCCCGGCCGUACAUUAAUAGUAAAAUCAAAUUCUUGUAAAAGUAAUACCCAUCUUGCGAUGUGGCCACUCAACUGGGACUUGUUAAUCAUAUAUUUUAAAGCGUCAUGAUCCACGUGGAAGACAAAUUUAUAUCCAAGAAGAUAAUGCCGAAACUUUUGGACAGAAUAAAUCAUUUCCAAAGCCUCUCGCUCAGUUAUAGUGUAAUUCCGUUCGGCAGCCACCAACUGACGGCUUGCAUAAUAAAUAGGAUGAUCGUGGCCCUUGUCAUCCUUCUGGCUCAAUACCGAACCAAUCGCAAUAUUAGAGGCAUCAACAUAAACCUCAAAAGAUUUUGUCCAACAAGGGGCAACCAAUAUUGGUGUAGAAACCAAUUUUUGUUUUAAUGUUUCAAACGCAACUGUACAUUCCUUGGUCCAAAUUGGUUCGAGACUGUCCGGUAGUUGCUUUUUCAACAAAUUUAUCAAUGGAAUACAGAUAAUAGCAAAUAGAUAAAUAAAACGUCGAUAAUAGCUAACAUGCCCAAUAAAGGUGCGAACACCUGUCACUGUAUCGUGUAUUUGGAGUUCUAGUAUAAUUUUUAUUUUAUCCGGAUCGGUGGUGAUACCUGUUUCCGAUACGAUAUGACCCAAUAAUUUUCCUAAGGGUAUCCCAAAUUUACAUUUUUUUGAAUUCAAAGAAAUUCCAAAUUUAGCACAUUUGCCUAAGCACCAGCCCAAUUUGUCUAAGUGUUCUUCUCUGGUGCUGAAUGUGCAGAAAUCAUCUAAAAAGAUUUCCAUUGAAACCUGUAGCUCAUCUUGGAAUGCUUGCAUCAUCACCCUCUGAAAUGUAGCUGGCGCAUUACAAAGUCCGAAAGGCAUGACCUUAUAAGCAAAAGUUCCCCAAUCCAUAGUAAACGUAGUCUUUAAUUGAUCCUCCUUUGUAAUUUGUACCUGAUUAUAUCCGGAAAAAUCAUCAAGAAACGAAUAACAUUCGUGGCCUGCUACUGCGUCUAAGAUACUAUCCGUAAAUGGUAAAAGAAAGUAAUCCUUCUUUGUAGCAGCAUUCAACUUUCAAAAAUCUUGGCAAAUUUGGACUUUCCCGUUCUUCUUGGGAACCAUAACUAUCGGCGAAACUCAUUCACUAUGUGGUACACGAUAUAUAAAUCCCACCUCCAGAAGCUUAUCCAAUUCCUCCUUUACCAUCAACGAAUAUUUAGGAUUCAGUCGAUGUUGCCUUUGUCGUACUGGUAUAGCCGUGUCCUCCAAUUUUAUUCGAUGCUCACAAACUUCAGCUGGAAUAUCCUUCAAAUCUUUAUAAGACCAAGCAAAAGCUGAUUUAUGUUUUAUAAAAUAAUCUAUCCAAAGCUCUUUAGUUUUAUCCGUUAUACCAUCAUAAAUUUGAAUCAAUUUGGGAUUAUCCUUUGUGCCUAGAUUUAUUGAUUGACACUUUGGUCCAUUAAGAGCUUCAGCGGUAAUCUUCUGCUCUGUUUCGGGAUCUUUCAUAAACUUCGACAAAUUGGAGCUUUCCAAUUCGGGAUCUAUAGCACCAACUUGAUUAACAUCUCUUCGCUGCAUCCAGUGUGCAAUCAUAUGAUCUGAAUCAUCAAUAACGUCUGGAGGAACAAAAUAUUCUCCUGGUCCUCCACAAUGGUAAAUAUUCCUAUUUUGUACUGCAACUUCCCAUGCCUCGACAGCUUUUGAUUUGGAAACAACCAGUUCUUCUUCCGUACACUCCUAUUCGCAGUCCGAUGUAUAUUCUGGACUGGUAAUUUGAGUUUCUCCGUGAUACUGGACAGGAUACAUUUGGAGCACUAUUUUAUCCUUACCCUUUCCAAUUGUUAGCGCUCCACGACUCCAAUCGUUCCGAGCUUCAGCUUGAUAUAGCCACGGUCGAUCCAACAAAAUUCGAUAUGACAAUACUGUGCUUUGCAAUCGGAAUACAAUAUAAUCAAUUGUGUAUGUAAUCCCUGCAAAAACUGUAUCAAUUCCUCGUAAAGUACCCAUAGGUCGGACUCAACUUGAAUCUGCCAUUUGUAAAACAACCGUAGUUGGCAUUAAUUGGUCCAAUCUCAAUUCUUCGAUUGUAUCCACAUUCAUGAGGUUAACGCUAGCCCUGCCAUCCACUUGUACACCCUGAAAUAAUACUCCAUCAAUUGAUACAUCAAUAGUCGGCGCGCCUGGAUCCGGAUUCAAACUUACUUCACGAAUUUCUUUUUGACGAGUUCUUCGUCGAAUCAAAGAAGAGUUUAAGGUGUUACGGCAUUUUGGUGCUACUGCCAAUAAUUGCUUUAUUGUGAUUGUUGGUUGAAUUCAACCUAAAUCCUUUAGAAUAUCAUAGGAUUCCAUAUUGGUCAUGAUUCCCAAUGUCUUUUUUUUCUUACGGAUUUCGGAUCCCGGUCCCCGUAUAUUGGUACUUCCAAUAUGAGGAAUUGGUACUUCCUCGAUUUCUGGUUGCAACUGCUCCUUGAAAAUUGGAUCCUUUAAUUGGUGCGACUGUCCACCUUAUUGGUGUAAUAUUGGUACUUGUGAAAUUGGUGGACGCACCAAUAUAUUGGUCGAAUUGGGUUGUGACGGUGACGCUUCAUCCAAUAAUGGAGCAGAUUUUGGUAUUAGUCUCUUGACUAGGGCUUGUAUCAAUUUCUCCAAUAUUUGAAUUGAUUCUUUGCUUUUUUGCUGAUUUUUUGUCAAUAUUGCAUGAAUCGCUUCCACCCAAUGUACCGGUGAUUCCUGUGGUUUGUUUGUUUCUUCUAUAAUUUGCACUGUUGAUGUCAUGUGCUGGUCCCUACUAUUUGGAUUAAAAGGCACAUUACAUUGGUAGUAGUAAUGACCAGAUUGCUUACAAUUUGCGCAAAGAGGUGCGUAUUCUUCGACAAAUCUUGGGUUGUUGCAAUCACUUGCAUAAUGACCCAAUUGGCGGCAUCGAAAAUAACGAACUGGUUUUCUUCCUGUUCCGUCAGGUACAUUGGGAGUCUCCGUCGGGACAUACCUUCCAGGUCGGUUCCAUGUUGGUGCAGUAAAGGAUCCAGGUUGACUAGUUGUCGCCAUUGCUGAAUUGGUCUGUUGUAUUGGCAUCGAUGGUUGAUUUUCCAUUCUGCAUAUUGGUCCCGUAGGGCUGAUUAUAGUUAGGAUUUUGGAAAUUUCCGAAACCACGAUUCACUCUAUUAUUUCUAUUUCCAUUCCAUCCACCCAUAUUUCCUGUUUGCACUUGAUUUACAUCCCAUACAGUUGAUUGUAUUAUUGUUUGUUUUCUUGGUAAGUACCAACAAUUGGCAGUGUUAUGCUUUCCUCCACAAUACAUACACUAUCCCAUCUUUUGAUGAGGCGAGGGGCAUUCCGUAUCAAAGUGUCCCUGCCCUUUACAGUUGUUACACCAUACAUUAGGUCUCAUAUUAGAAGGUUUAUGCCUUUUCUCUUUAUCUUUAGUCAUAUGCACGGCUAAUUCUUCCAUUUCCUUCAUUAGAUUUAACAAUAGAGCUUCGUUAGAAUCGUUAAUUGUUGCAUUCAUCGGUACUUCAGGUUGUCAAUAUGCCAUCGACGAAGGAUAAGUUGCUACGGGUGGUAUCGCCUGCAAAGGAGUGGCAUUAACUACUCCUUGAGAAUUGGGAUUUCCCACACUAGGCGCAAUCAUUCGUGGGUAGCUCCCUAUCAUCGUAUUGGUCAUUGGAACUUGAUUUCCUACACUAGGAAUCAUUGUGGUUUCCACCAUCAACAGUUGAUCAUAAUGGCACUCCUCCCACACCUUUGCACGUGCUAAGGAGGUAGCUACCGUAACUAGUUGAGACUCCUUAACAAACAUCUUCAAUUUUGGGGGAUGCAAUCCAUUCACUAUUAUUGACAAUAUAAACGAGUCUGGCAUUUGAUUGUUUGGCCAUUUACGUAAUAUAUCUGCAACUCGGCCAUAAUACGACUGCACCGAUUCUCCCACAAACAUUUUACUGUUCAACAAAUUUUCUCGAAGACGAUCUUCGAAUCCUAUUGGUCGAAAAUGAGUUAAGAAAGUAUUUUUCAAUGAUUCCCAAUUAGGAAAUUGUCCCACUGGUUGUUGAAUAUACCAUUCAAACGCUGUAUCUUUUAAGGUCGUUGGCAGCCAUCGCAGCCAGACAUCUUCAGUUCUGCCAUUAUUGGCUACACACGCUGUCAAAAAUUGAGACAGGUGUUGAUCGGGAUCAGAACUCGGUCAUCCAUUAAACGUGGGUAAUGGAGCCACGUUGGUGGUGCGAUCUCCAAUUGCUCCCAUCUGUACCACUAUUGGCACUGCGGGUGCUUCUUCUGCCAUUGGUGCUUACGCUGGUCUUCUUGCUAUAUUAAUAUGAAUUCUUCUUUUUGUUCCAAUUUGAUAUUUACUCACUCUUCUUUCUUGUAAACUAUCGCUAUUAUUCAAUUCUUCUGUACUUAAAUUUCUUAUAAUUACUGAACUUGACUCUGACGCUUCGUUACUCGCGGUAUCCCCUACAAGCGCUCGCGGUAAUUUCUCUAAUGGUAUAUAAUGGUGCAAUAUUGCACUUCUUUCAGAACUUGGAUAUGCUCGAAUACUCGCACAUGCAUGCAGCCACGGCUUUAUCCAACUCCAUCGACGUUUCUUACGUUGAAUCCCUUCUUGUUGUUGUCGUAAUAAAUUUCUGAAAUAAAAUCGCUCCUGUCUUUCUUUUACUUGUUGAUUCCUUCUAUGAUUAUCAUAGUCGUAAUCACCGCUCAUACUCCUUCGAUCUCGUCUUUUGUACCAUCAAUUCUUUAACAUUUCAUACUGUUGUCAAUCCUUGGCAGCGGCGCCAAAAAUGUAAUCGUUGUUUGACUCAGACUCAAAACACCAAGAUAUUUGAUCAGUAUAGGUGGGUUCGAUCUCGAGGAAAGACUCGUUGUAUGAAUUGGAUAUGUUAUGUCACAAUUGAUUAUGUAUUAAUUAUCUAAAACUUCCAAAGUUUUCUUCCUCAUCUCAAUUCAAUCCCUUCACAAUCUCUACAAUCGUUCACUGCCCUGCAGCUACUAAAUAUCACUGACAUUCCUGACAUCUACAGGAUGCUUAAUCUCUUUCCACAGUACUUCAAUUCUCAAUUCCUUUACUUUUACUCAAUCUUCCAGUGCUACUAACACAAUGCAAUAAUCUCUAUUAUCACAAUCACACUUUCUUUCUCCAAAUUAAUUAAUUCGAAUUCAUAAUUUUCAAUAUCUCAAUCACAGUUUCAGUAAUCCUUUUCUUAAAUCCAAUACUAAAGAAAAACACAAAAGUAAAGAAAACAAAAGGGUAGCUCCAAGCUUUACCCUAGCUCACGACUAUCACAGUUUGGCCCCCAUUCCUUCUUCCUCAACCUCUUUAUCCUACCAAAAUAUGAAUCGUCAUUCAACAGAUUCCACAGGUUGUGAAACUUUGGCUUCUUAACGGCAUAUGUUCUUAACUUCCUACUAUUAACAACUAAUCGAACUAACCAUUCAUCUAAAUCUCAACAUUACUACUAUUUAACCGAUAACGAACCAAAAAAGUCAUUUAUACAUUCUACAUGAACAUAUCAAAUAAAAAGUUUAUUAUCAUAAAAAAACUUCAUAUGAUAUCUUAUUUCUAUGUCUUGCAAGUAGAAGGCAAUUGUAAGUGUAGAUCACAAACUUAGCAGCAAACGCCCAAUAUUGACCUUGAAUAAGAGUGUUUAUAUUUAUUCAAAGAUAGUUUACAUCAUAAGCCUUGCUAUACCAACAAUUUUAUGUAUAUACGUAGGAGUAAUCAUGUAUCAAAUACAUUCAGCCUCAAAGUGAGAACCAAGCUUAUAAUUCAAGAAUUUAGAGCCUUGAUCAGUGAAAAAAAAAUCACCUUUUUUUUUGUUCUUCUUUGUGCCUCUACUUCUUAAGUCUUAUAAGCAAUAUGUACUUAGUCCUUAGUUUGAAGAAAUAUAAGGCUAUAAUAACCAGAGUAUUCAUCAAUCCACAUAACUAACUAUUUGGUACCACCUAAAUUAGUCGUAUCAAAAUUAUUAAGAUUAAACACUAUUACAUCUAAAAUACUACUAAGAUUCUUGUACUUGUGUAAAAAAGGCUACUUAUGGGCCUUACCAAAAUUCACAAUUUAUAUAUAGAUAUCUCAUUUUUUUCACCAUUGAUCUUCAAUCUUUUAAUACUAUUUAUUUGCUAUGCUUCUUGUAUUAUAUGCAUUCAAGUAUAUGCUAAUGCUUGUUGCCAUUCAAUGAGUGUAUGUUUUAAAAGAUGAAUUAGUAAUUGAAGCAACUUCUUUAAUUUUACAAGGUAUAAAGUAAGUUUUAUCAUCAAAUGUGCCUCUUAUAAGUAAGUCACUUGAAAGAAAAAUUCAAUUGUCUCCAUUGUCAUCCAAAUUAAAUUUGAAACUUUUUUUACAUAAAAUUAUGGUUGAUAAGAGAAUAUCAUAUACUUUAAGAAUUUAAUGCAUAUUCUUCACAACUAUAAGAAUGUAUUUUUUUUAGGAUUCAAAAUUGUGACAUACAUCUCACUUGAGCCUUGUGAUUUUUUGAUGCCAUUAUUGUAAUUUUGGAGUUGGAUAGUCACAUUUUUAUUAAAAUUUAGAAGCUUAAUCAUAUCUCUUAGAAUAUGUACAUCCAUUGCAUUGCCAAUAUGAACAUAAUGAUGUGAUUGAGACAAUGAUGUAAUUAUUGGUUAUAACUUAAUUGAUGUCUUUCAGAUUAAGAGAAAAAUUAUAAUCUCAAUAUUUUUUGUACCAUUGCUAUUUUUUCUAUGAUACUUUGCAUUACCAUAUUAAUAUCCUUUUUGUCCACAAAUCCUAUAAGUAAUUUUGGACUUUUUAAUCUUUGGCUUAUGCUUUUGUCUUUGAUGGUGCUUUCUCAAGACUUGUUUUUUUCUUGCAUAUACUACUAUGUUAGAAAAUAGAGAAUUAAUCUUCUUCUUUCUUUACAUCUCUUUUUCAAAGAAUAUAGAUCACACCACUUUCUUUGCGAUUUUUUUUUUUUUUUUAAUGCAAUCAAUUAAAUAAGAAAAUCCUAUGAUUUUGGUAAUACAAUAAGUGUAAAAAAUGCCACACUUUAUUUAUCCAUUUCACUAUCAAAUUUAAUAUAUUGAUUCUUAAGAUCAAAAUUCUCUCCAACAAAAUUCUUUAAAGAUUUCUCAUCAAUGUAUCAAAGUUUAUGAAGUUCUUUUUAUCAAAAAUAUCUUAGUAAUAAUUCUUAAAGGCUUAUGGAUCCUAGCCAAAACAUCCCACAUUUUUCUUGCAAUCUUACAUUUGUGUACAUAAUUCAAUUGCAAUGGCUUGACAUUAAGAGCAAUCAAUGCUUGUGCUUCCACUUUGCUUGAUUUUUACUUUGAUUAUUUAUUCAUAUAUGUAGGACAUUCCAAUGUCAUGUCUACAUUCAUGUAGAGUUUACAAAUGCUUAUCAAAUGCUUCACAACAAAUGCCCAUGUGCCAUAGUUAUUUUCAUUCAAUCAAUCAAUGCAAUGGCCAAUUGACAAUGCAAUAGCAAAAAGCAAUAAGUUUGCAACCACCACCAUUAUGGUUCACAUCUAAAAUUGCAUGGUUUUAAUACACUUCCUUAAACCAACUGCACGAACCUCUGAACUAGUGCUAGUCCUUGCAAAAUGUGACAACAUAUUAAUACAAAAUCAGAUAAUGCAUGCUUAGCAGUAGAUGAAAUACAUCUGUGCCAUAUUCAUCCAAUGUAUCAAUCUCGGGAUGUGCUGUCGGAGCAGAAGGGGAGGGAGGGCGCUGCAUGCGUAUCAACGAAAAGGAAAUAGAGAUUGCAAUGCUGUUGUCGCUCUGGUCAAAGCCCACUGAUGUUGCCGCUCUGGUCAAAGCCCACUGAUGUUGCCGCUCUGGUCAAAGUACGUAGCGUUAGGAAUACAGGGUCGUAUCGUUGUCGUGACGAGACGAAGUAGAAACACUUGUCACCGAAUGAUCCAGGCUGUGCUUUUCAAAAUCGUGGGUGAAGAUGGAAAGUGAAACCAACUUCGACUACACUUACAGAGGAUUAUACAAGAGACUCGACCGAAAGCAAACCGGACACAACAACCAAAUUCUGCAACGCACGUUUGCAAAUGUGCUCCCCCACCAAGCAUGUGGAGCACAUCCAAAGUUAAACUUUGUGACUUAUGUGUGUUUAGGAGGAUUUGAGGUGCUCAGGCUACGCAACCUUGCCCUGUCAGAGCCCUUUCCUGCUGCAUGUCCGGGAGCUCCUCGAGCUUUUUUGCCAAGAGCGGUUGAAAUUCGAUCUGGGUAGUGGUUACUCUGAAUGAUGCUACUUGUACACCACCGGUUGGACAAAUUGUAGCAACCGAUGUGUAUGCUGAUCGAUUUUAACUUAUUAUGUGUAAUUGGAUGUUAUGAAUUUAAAUAUAAUUGAAAAUAAAACAACUCACUUAGAAAACAAAUACAAGAAAUAUCAUAGCUUUAUGAGGUCCUUGAAUGAACUAGAUGUCUACGAUCUAAGAAUAAAUCUAAAACUGUAGUUACUUGUAAAAUAAUAUGUUUUGUUGCAAUUUUCCAUGUUAAAAGUUUCUUUUUUAAUUUUUUUAUCUUACUUUGAUAUUCUUUGUUUAUAUUCUAAUUUUUAUGUUACAUUUGAAUAUAUAUAUAUAUAUAUAUAUAUAUAUAUAUUAUUAAUAUUGAAAUGAUUAUAAGGAUAAAGUUUACUUCUUAAUUCAAAUUACAAAAUGGUCUCAAUUAAGAGUUGAUUGCAAUUAUUAGUACUUCAUAAGAAAUAAAGAAGAACAAGAAAAAAAAUAAAAAAAUAAAAAAAUAAAGCAAAGAAUUAUACAUUCUAAAAAAUAAUUAUAAUUUAUUUUAUGGAUUUUUAUUGACUAUUUUUUUAAAUAGCUUAAUUUAUAGAUUAUAAAUCCUAUUAAUAAAUUUUAAUUUAUAGAAUUAUUAAAAAUAAGGUUUUAAAUUAUUUAGAUACGAAAUAUUAAGAUUAUAAAGUCUAUUUAAUUAUUUAAGAAUUUAUUAUAAUUUAGAAGGUUUUUUGAGUUACAAAAGUCUCCUUAAAGAAAAAUUCAUAAAAAAUAAAGUCUAAGUAAGUCAUGGAAGAGGUUAUAUUAGUUGGUUUAUUAUUUUCUUUUAAUGGUACAAAUUAACAUUUAAUUAUUCAGACCAAUGUCUAUAUUGGUCUUAUGUUUAUAUAUGUUAUGUAUAAAAAAAAUCUCCAAAUAUUAGUUAGUAGGUAGAAGAAACAUAGAAAAGAACCUCAUAUCUUUUUAGUUAAUUAUAUAAUAAAAUAGGAUUUUUAGUUGAUUUAAAUUACUUAUAUAACUAUAAAGUAUCAAUAAGUUUUAAAAAAAUUAGUCUUAUUAAUUUUUUCCAAAUUUCAUUUAAAUUUUAUUUAGAUUUUUUUAAUUAUUAAUUUUUUCCAAAUUUUAUUUAAAUUUUAUUUAGAUUUUAUUUUUGAAAUUUUUAAAGCAUAUUCUUAAGAUCUUGGUAAAAUCAUUUUAUCACCUUGGGAGGCCAUUAUAAAGCAUUAGAGCAAGAUUGAAGAUCUUGUAAGGUCUUAUGAGAUCCAUUAAUAGAAAAUAAGAGGACUAAAAAAUCAUUUCUAUAUGAUACUUUUAUUAUAUUAUAUUUCUAUAUGAUACUUCUAUUAUGAUAUUUAAAUUUUAAUAUAGAAGUAUCAUAUAGAAAUGAUUUUUUAGUCCAAAAAGGCUUUUAACAUGGUUAUUAGAAUUAAAAAAAAAUAAGUGACCAUAUUAGAAACACUUUGUAAUAAUAAGUUACAAGAAUGCAUAGAUGUAAAGAAGCAAAAAAAUAUCAAUGUAAAGAUGCUUAUUAAUUUAAAUAUAUUUUAAAGAAUUAUUUCAAAACUAACAAGUUUAACAAAUGUUCAAAAUAUGUCAAGUAAUCUUUGUUUUAUUUAUCUCUAAUUCAUUGUAAAAAUGUAUUCAAAUUGUAAGAAAAAAAUUAUGAAUAUAAAAUAUGUCAUUCUAAUGAUAUAAGUUUUCAUAUUCAUAACAUUGAAAUCAUAGCUUUAUUGCUAAAAGAUUUCAAAAUAAAAUUUUUAAGUGUACGAUUUUUUUUAAAAUCAUGUAUAGUUUGCUACCAAGCUUCAACAACAUCCUUGCAACAUAGGCCAAUGUCAACAAAAAAAACAAACAGGUUCUAUUCUUUAAGAGCAUCUUUUGUGACACAAAACACUUCUACAAAUUCAUGAUAACUUAGGCAAAUUCGACAAUCUUGUAUUUUUUUACUUGAGUACAAAUACAAAAAAUUGAUCCAAUGAAUUUCUAUGAGCAAUAUCAAAAGGAUGUAAAUUGUUUCUGUAAUCUAAAAAGAAAAACUUGAUAUUUCAAUUGCAGAAAAUGCAAUUAUUAGUCAAUAGAUUGCACCUGUCCAAAAUAAUGUAGUAUUGCAUCUUCUAUGUCACAAAACAUAUUAAGUGAGGCUAAUAUUUUUGAAAGUCUUGAAUAUUAUUUUAGUUCUAAUAAUAGUGAUAAUCUUUCCUUGAAAUAUUUAAAACUUUAUUUUGAUAACAUGAAUGAUUUUGCAUCAAUAAAUUUUUAUAUUUAUUUAAUUAAUUUAAAUAAUAAAAACUAAUAUAUUAAUUAUGCUAUUACAAAACAUAUGACAAAAUAUUGUAGAUGGUUUUAAUCUUUUACACCAAAUAUGGCUCGUCAUGGAUGCAAAUGAUAGAAUAUUCUAUGCAUGUAGUUGUAAAAAUAUUCAAAUAUAACAUCUAAUAAAAAAUAAAUUAUUUUCUAGAAUUCUUAUGAAUAUAAUCUAUGCUUUUUCCUCAGCUUGCAAUUUAUUUUUUGUUGGUAUUGUUUCCAAGGAUGAUACUUUUAUUAUAAAUUUGGAAGUAUAUUAAUUCCUAUCAAAAUCAAGAAAAAUGGUUUUGAAAAAAUAAUGAAUUAGUCGAUUAUUUCGUCAUGAUUACUAUUUAUAUUUCCAUCAUACUUAGUGCCAAUAAGAUCCACAAUUAAUAUGACUUCAAUCUUGGCCACUUUUACUAAAAUUUUAAUAGAAAAUAGAAAAAUAAAAAACAUCAAUUUAUGGCACAAACAUGUGACGCAUAUUAACAACUCGACUAUUUAAAAAAAUUAUCAUAAUUCUUUAAUAGAUUUUAUCAUCAAAAAAAUUAAUUCCAAUGCUACUUUAUGUCAUGGUGGUAUGUUUAAUAAAUAAGCUAAAUAUAGCUACUUAGAAAAUAAUAUAUAUAUAUAUAUAUAUAUAAUUUCUAUCUAAGAUAAUUCUCUUAUGAUGAUAUUUUAAAAUAAUUCAAUAAAAAAUUAUUUUCUAAUAUUCAACAUAAUAUCUUGUUAAAAUAUAAGUUACAGCAUAUUCAUUUGUUUAUUUUGUAAAAUCAAAAUCCAAAGCAUUUUGACACUUUCAGCAUAUGGUAAAAAAUUAUUAUAUUAAAUAGAAGUAAUGAUGCUAAUCAAUUUCACAGAGAUGGAUGUAAAGGAUAUUUGAAUAUUGCUUUUUAAGAAUAUUUGACUAUUUAUGCUAUAAUAUGUAAGUUAAGUAUUAUAUAUACAUCACAACAAAGAAGCUUUAUUGAACAAGGCAAUUGUAUAAUAUUUGAAGUAAUGCAAUCAAUAUUAUAUGAAAAUGAAUUAUUCUUGUGGAUUUAGGCUAAAGCAAUAAGUACAAUUGUGUAUUUUUUUAAUUAAAUUAAUUAAUAAUCAAAGAAUUAUUCAAUCUCCAAUUCUUUUCAAUUACUUACUAACUUUUUUUUUUAUCUUCCUAACUUUUGCCCAUAUUAAUAAAUUUUAAUAUACUAAGCUAGAUAAAAAGAAUACACUAAUAUUUUUAAUAUUAAUGAUAGCAAAGUAUAUUAGCUAUAGUACUUGAUAAUACAUAAAGUCACAAAAAGUUUCAACGUCCAUUUUCAUGAGUAUUUAAAAAGUUAUAAUCAAGCAUUUUUUCCAUCUACAAUUUGCUACUAAUACUUGGUAUUGAAUAUGACAUCACUCAAUAUGAAGGCUUUAAAAUAUUGCAUAUCAAAAAGGUUAACAAUCCUUGAUUUAAAUGAUUAAUUUGAAGCAUGAUAAUAUACAACCAAUAAAAAAAUAUUUUUAAUUAGUGAUAGGAAUUAUAAAUUAAAAUUUUUAAUAAUCCAAAUUUAUAUUAAAUGCAUAUUAAUAAAAUAAUUUACCAUAAUUUUUUGUCAUAUGGUGUGAUUUUCUAUCUAAGAAUACACCAAGUACGUAGUUGUAAAGAGUUUGGCUUUAAGUUAUUUGACAAGUUCUAAUAAGUGAUGUAUUCUUAUUAUAAAGGAUAAAUAAAUACAAUAGUAUCAAGAGAUAUUCUACUAAGAAAAUCCUUUUACAGUUAAGAAGCUUUAUACAUAAGGCUUUUUAAAGCACUUAGAAAUGCCCUAAUAUCCUUUGCUAUACAAAAUCAUAACUAAUUAUUUGCCAAUGAGUUUGAUUUUCUAUAAGCUCAAAGAAAAUCCAUAAUCUACUUGCAGAUAUCCAUCUUUAUAUUAUAAUUUUUUCAUAGCUCCAUAACUCUAUCUUUAACAUAUAUAUAUAUAUAUAUAUAUAUAUAUAUAUAGAAAGUCUUGGCUUCCAAAAUCUUUUACUUUGUAUAAAAUGUUCAAAUUGUAGAAAACCCUUUCAAAACAUUUUUUGCAUCUAAAACAUUUUUUUCUUCAAACUUUAAAAAUUCAUAUACCUUGAUCCAACUAUUAAUUUUUUCUCAAAUUUUUAGAUAAUUUAGAAUUUAACUUUGAGCUUUACUACCAAAAAAAUAAACAAUAAAUCUACUACAAAUUGACUUGCAUCUUAGAAAUCCUAGCAGAUACUUUAAAUCCUAAUUUACAAGCACCUAACCACUAUUUUUUCCAUAUCUCAAACAUCCAAAUUCUAAAUGCUACAAAGUUUGUGUAUAAAAUUUAUUAAUAUGAUAAUACACGUUUUUAGAAAUAUUUUACCAAAAUCUUGUCAAAUUGCUCAAGAUGUAGCUCAAAAUACAACCAAUGGUAAAUCGGGUCAUUUACUGCCUUUAGAUAGCAAGCACUGAUUUCAACUUCCUAUAACUCCUUCAUCCUAGCUUAGAAUUCAUUAAGCAAUGUAUGAAAAGUAUAGUCAAAAAAAUAUUCUCUUCAAUCUUAGUUAUUAAUAUUUUAUUACAUUCUAUAUGUGCACGUUAUAUCCAAAAGAGUGACAGUAGCUACAAAAUCAACACCUUAACUUUGAGUGCCUAUAUCUCUUUUAUAAAAACUUUAAACUAUCCAAAAUUUAUACCAAAAACAUAGCUAAAAACCUAGUUUUUUUAAUCUUAGCAUCUUAAAUUUAAAUGCCCUCGAAAGAAUAACCCUAUUCUCUAAUAAGGCCUUGAGUAGUUGCCUUGAAGUCCAUUGGGUAUGCCUUUUGGCCAAUAACAAUGGAGAUUUUUUUCAUCCAUCUCCAUUCAUCCAUAUGGAUACUUUAACUAUUCUUUUUGCUACCAAAAUUCCUUUCUAAUAUUUUUUUUUAUAAGAUUUAUAUAAUAUAUGUCCUAAAUAUCAAAUAAAAGAAAUAAAAUAAGAUUUUAAGAAUCACUAAUAUCUAAUAAAGAAGGCUCUAAAUAUAUAAAACUAUCAUCAAUAUAAAAUCAACCUUAAUAAUAGCCCUUUUAAACUAACUACUUCAAAGUAGUUAUGUAACUAUAUUUUGUAACUAAUUAAAAUCUAAUAAUGUGGCUUUUAUUAUAUUAUAUAGUAAAUUAUAUAUUAAAUAUUUAUGUGUAUUAUUUUUAAAUAAUAGCCAAACCACAAUAUAACACCAUUUGUAAUGAUCCAACUCAAAAUCAUUAUAUUUUACUAUGCAAAUAGCGUUACAAAUUAUUGCAAAAAAUCAUGAAUUUUUUAUCUUUAGUAAUUAAUUAAUACCAAUUAUCUUUGAUAUUUCAAUAAUUUAUCUUCUAAAAAUAGAUAUAUAUAUUUUUUUUGAACCACAAAUUAAUCAUAAAGCUAUAUCUUGAAAGACUUCUUGCAAUUGGAUGUAAGCAAUAGAAGUUUAACAUGGUAUAUUUAUUACAAAUAAUACAUGAAAUUUCAAACUUCUUCUUAAUGAUUGAGAAUUCAUUUGAUGUAAAUAAAUGUAUAAGUUAAAAUACAAAUCUUAUAGCAAAUUGAUUAGUAUAAAUCUUGAUUAAUUGUAAAGAAAUUCACUUAAAAAUAUAGAAUAGACUAUUUUGAAAUCUUUGGUUUUAAUAUAAAACUUCAUUCAAUUUGAAUUUUACUUGCAAUAGCAAUAAUAUAAGAUAUAGAAUUAUUUUAGUUCAACAUUGAUAUGGCGUUUUUUAACAAAGACUUUUCUAAGAACAUUUACAUGAUUUAGUCCAAAUAUUUUUAGCAAUAUGACUGCACCAAAUUAUUUUAUAAACUCAACAAGAAUAUCUAUGCACUUAAAUAAAAAAAACAACAAUAAAAUAUAAAAUUUAAUAUAUUCCUUAAAAUAAUUGAUUUCAUAUCUUUCAAAGCCAUUUCUUAUAUAUACUAUAAUUUUAAUGAUCAUCUUCACACUAUUUCUGAUAUGUCAACAAAAACCUUAUUUUUUAUAAAAUUUAUAUAAAUUAUAUAUAUACAUACAUACAUAUAUAUAUAUAUAUAUAUAUAUAUAUAAUAUCUAGCUAUAAUUUUUUAAACCUUUACUAGAAAAACUGCUUAUACUAUAGAUUAUAAAUUUUAAAAACUUUUGCAAAAAAUAUUUUAUUUAUUUAUAAAAAAAUACAUAAAUAUUAUUUUUUAGCAUUUUUAAAUAUUAGAUUGGAAUUCCAGUAGUUACAUAGGUUGAAUUGAGUUCUUAAUAUUUUAUUAAUAAUAAUAUAAAAUAUUUAAUAAAUGAGUCUUUUUUAUAAUGUAUUAGCUACUUCAUAUAUACAAUAGUACCUACUUAUUAUAAUAAAACAUUUGUCCUUAUGAACGUUGCUUGAUAUCAACAACAACCAAAAUAAAACCACUGGAAUGCUUUCAAGUAAAUUUUUUAUUAUCUAAAAUAAAUCUUAUCUUUGGCAUUUAAUAUUCUACUACAUCCAAUUUUUUAUAACAGAGUUUUUUUUGAUGUAAUCUUUACUAGUGACAUCAAUAAUUGUAAGAACAACACACGAUAUGUUUAUAUUCUUGUAAAUAGUGCUAUCUUCUGGAACAAUCAACAUCAUAAAUUGAUACUCAAUUCUACUAUUAUUGUCAAAUUUGUUAUAAUGGAAAAAUCUAAAAAGAAGCUAUUUGGUUGAUUUAACUACUACAAAGCCUUGCCUUCACGGUUCUUACUCUAAUACCAAUUUUUUUUAAUGAUUAAGAAGUCAUUGCAUUAGUAAAAUAAUUUAGUAUUUCAUAAAUAGACCAAACAUAUAAACAUCAAUUGUUUCUUCAUAUAUAAGCUUUAGAAUUUAAAAUAUAUAUAUAUAUAUAUAUAUAUAUAUAUAUAUUUCCACUUAUUUUUUUUACAUAAGAUUAAUUAAUUGGUAUUUUUAUGAAAACCAUAUUUUUUUAAAAUUUCCAACAACUUUAUGCUUAUUUCAUGUGUAUUCCAUUAAUAGAUCUUUAUUGAUAGGAUUAUUAAAUUAUAGUUUUGAGUUAUUUAAAUACAAAAUAUUAGUAUUUAAGAAUCCUUUUGAUUAUUUUUAUAUUUAUUAGAAUUUAGAUGGAUUUAUAAGUUACAAAAGUCUUAUUAGAAAAAAAAUAUAUUAAAAUAAGGUCUUAGUAAAUCUUAGAGGUAAUUAUCUUAGUUAGUUCAAUAUUUUUUAUUUUUAAGUAGUAUUAUAUAGUUAUUAAAACUAAUAUCUAAAUUAGCCUUAUAUCUAUAUAUAUUAUUUGUAAAAAAAUCUAUAAAUUUUAUUAAGUAAUUAGAAGAAGCAUGAAAAAAACUUCAUAACUUUUUAAUUAUUAAUAGUAGAAAUUAGAUUUUAGUUGAUUUAAAUUUAUUUUAUUAUUAUGAAAAUUUACCAAGAUAAGAAAAUAUAGUCUUAAAUUGAUAUUAAAAUUAUAGAAAUAUAUUAAAAAUUUAUAGGAUAUAUUUAGAAUUUUUAAAAAAAUUAGUUAGAAAUUUUUGAGAACAAUAAUUAAGAAUUUGGUAAAAAUGAGUCUUAUCACCUUGGGAGCAACUAUAAAGAAAUUGAAGAAGAUUAGGAGCCCAUGUAAGAUUCUUAGGCUUAUUGGAUGUUUUUAAAUGCUAUGGUAAUAUAAAAAAUAAAAAAUAAAAAAUUUUGGAUUCUACUAAAAGAAAAUAAGAAGACUAGUAGUUAAUGUAGUCUUUGUAUGAAAGAAGGUGCACAAGUCCUAUAUAGGUUGUAGCACCUUUAAUGUAGAUAGGAGGAUAAGACUAAGGCAUUAAGGCAUUUCUAAGACAUCCAUACAUACUACUUGUGAGCCUUGGUGAAGCUCAAAUUUUUAAUCUCUUUAGUUUAUUUUUUUACUAUAUAUAUAUAUCAUUUUUUAAAUUGAAAUUUUACUGAAAUAACACUUUUAAAUCUUUUAGUUUUUUUUUAUUUAUUUAUUUUUUUUUAAUUUCAUAUGAAAUAUAUAUUUGUGUAUACCAUAAAAUAUUAUUGAUUCUUGUAUUCUAUUUUAUUUAGGUUGAAAACACAUGUCUGAAUAACAUCCUAAUAUUGACAUAAAUUAAGAGCAUAAAUUAAAGUACUAGUUUUGUAGCCAAAAUAAGCUUGUAUAUAAAUAUAUUAAUAGAAUUUAAAAAAUAUUUUAUAUAUUAUACUUAGAUAUAAUUAUCAUUUUAAAUUAUGAUUUAAUAAAAAAUAUAUAGUAGAUUAAAGUUUAAAUAUAAAUAUUAAAAAAAUUUAAUUUUUAAUUUUUGACAAAAAAUUUAUAUUAUUAGGAUUUAAAAAAAAUAUUAAAAUAAUAAAAUCAAUAUCAUAGGAUUAUAUAUAUACAAAAAUAAAAUUUUAGAUAAUAUUAAUAAUUUUUUAAUUUUUUAAUUUUUUUAAAUAAAUAGAUUUAUUUUAAAAAUUUUGAUAUUUUUUUAAAAUUUAAUUUGUAUCAAUUUCAUAUCUUGUAUUAGAGAAAAUAUAAUUAGUAUAAAACAUCUAGUAGAAAUUCGUAUGUAGAAGGCAUCUUAGGAGGCAUCAAAUUAGUAACUUUUUAAUAUCUUAGCAGAAUAUAAAAGAAAUCUAAAAUAUUCAAAAUUUUAGUACUAUAGAAUAUGUAUAUAAUUUAAAGAAGAUCUAUAUAUAACUAAAUAUGUUCCAAAUAUAAUCAAAAUAUAGACAAAUAUAUUCUAAAGACAUACAGGAUAUAACGUUGAUAUAGUGCUAUAUGAUACAAAUAUAGUAUGAUAUGGUAGAGCUAUGACAUACAUAAUAUUUUGUCAAAUCCAAAUACAAGCCAUGAAUUGAAUAUAGAAUAAGUGUCAUAGACAUAUAUAUGUAAGCCAAUAAUUACUUAUAUAAAUAGGUAUAUUUAGAUAAUAGUAGAUAAAAGUAGGUAAAUUCCAUAAUAUCUUCUACAAAAGCUUCUUAGAUGCUAUUUUGAUUUUAUAAGUGCUUUUAAUUGAUUUUUUAGGUUAAAAAGUGGUCAAUAAGUUGGCCAUAAACCACACAUGUUGAUAGCUUGAAGAACAAGCAAAUUAUGUGGUCCACAAAUAGAAUACUUGCCUUGUAAGCUAAAACAUGUGUACUGCAAAGUCAAUACAUAUUAGAGGUCUUAUAGAACAUCACCACAUAGCUCUAAGUUAUAUAGUAUAUAUAGAGACAAGAGAGAAGCCCUCUUCACUCUUCUCAGUUUUUUUCUUGCUUCUAGUUGUCAAGGAUAAGAACAUAAUAAAGACAAAUAAACAAGUGAGACUUCUUUCAAAGAAAGAUGAAAAAAUAGAAAUAACUUGAUAUGUAUAUUAAAAAAGAAACUAGAAUGGCUAUUGCCAAAAGACAAGAAAAUUAGAGACCCUUGAAACUAAACUAGAAGCAAGAAAAGAGUUGACAAGAGUGAAGAAGGCUUCACUCUUGUCUCUAUAUAUACUAUCUAACUAGGGGCUACAUGGUGACGUUUUAUAGGACCUCCAAUAUGUGUUGACUUUGUAGGACACAUGCCUUGACUUACAAGGCAAGUUUUUCUACGUGUGGGCCAUAUAGUUAGCUUGGUCUUCAAGCUAACAACAUGUGUGGCACAUGGCCAACUUCUUUACCAUGUUUUUAAUCCAAAAAGACAAUUAAAGACACCUAUAAAGUCAAAGCAGCGGCUAUAAAGCUUCUAGGAAGCUUUUAUAUGAAAUACUAUAGAAUUAAUUUACUUUUAUUUAUUUUUACUUACUUCUACCUAUUUAUACAUGUAAUUAUUGGCUUACAUGUGUAUGUCCAUGACAUUACCCCCCCUUCUAGGGACGAGUUCUACGAGGAGUGAUAAUCAUACGUUGAAGAAAUCUAUGAUGCGACAAAUUAUAUCCACCACAUACUCUCAUCUUUGUUAUCUUUAAAGAAGAUUGAUAGGGCCUCUCAACCAUCGGUAGUGUCCUAAACUAGGGCGGGAAGACCACCCAAUUAUUUGAUCAAUGUUGAGGCCUUCAAAACUUCCUUUGAAUAUAAUAUUUGGAAUACCAUCAGAAGUUGUUCUUACCUCUAGUAAAAUCAUCAAACAUCGAGAGUCCCUUCUAAGGUCGUGAUACCAAAUGCAUUAUAUUUUGCCAUCUAUUUGAGGAAGAACAUGUCGUUCUUGAAGAUCUUCAUCUCGAUUACGUCGUCUUAAAGGUUGAAACAAUCGUAAUGUCUCAUCUGGUAGCUUAGCAAAUAAAGGCUCUUGAGUCAAAUCUGCUGCUUGUUGGUUCUCCAUCUCUUGAGCAUAACAACUACAAAGAAGCUACAAAUAAGGAUUGAAAGUAGAAUGAUAUCUUGCUUAGAUCUUAUUUUUUUUAUAAAGAAGAUUUUUAUCUUGAUUUUGAUAGAUGUCGUCGAUGAAAAGCCUCCUUCGUCUUUGCUACAUUUGUAAGAUUCUUUAUUGACUUCCAUGUGCAUUCAUUAAUAUCAUAUCUAUACCAAUGGACAAGAUAUUCUAAUUUAUUUUGGCACCGCCUUGAAUCUAAGACUUCUUUCACUUCAAACUCUUCAUUAUUGUCCACUUCUAUAGGAAGAGGUGGAACUUGUCUUCUUCUUGGUAUGUCCACUAUCUUCUAUGGUUCAAAAAAAUAUACGUGGAAUACUAAAUGGAUUUUUAUUGACUUCGAUAGAUGUAAACAAUAUGCAACUGGAUUGAUUUGUGUAGAAAUAGAAAAUGGUCCAAGCCUUCGAUAGUCCAACUUGUUACAAGGACGAGUGGUCUUGAUAUUGUGUCCGCCAAAAUCUUGAAAAGAGUCCGCCAAAAUCUUGAUAUAAAUUGAAUUUCCUUAUUUGAUAUAAUAUCCUUAGGUAGUCCAUAAUAGCAAUAGAUAUUGUCAAGAAAAAGCUUAGCUGUUUCUUCACCUUUGAUAGAUUUUAUACAUGGUACAAAAUGUGCCAUCUUGGUAAAAUGAUCUACUGUCACGAAUAUAGAGUCAUAAGAACUUGAGAUUAGAAGGUCCGUAAUGAAAUCCAUAGAAAUAGAAGACCAUGGUUGUUUUGGAAUGGAUAAUGGCUGAAAAAGACUCUAAAGUUGAUGACAAGGAGUUUUUGAUCUCGAGCAAACAUCAUAAGAUUCUACAAAAUCUUUAACUGCUUUCCACAUUUGGUGCCACCGAAAGUCCCUGGAUAUUAAUUCCAAAGUUUUAUUGUACCCAAAAUAUCAUACUGCUGGAUAGUCAUGACGAGCUUGAAGAAUACAUAAUCGAGCUUCACCUUCUGAAACAUAUAAGCGUCCCUCAAAAUAUAGUAGAUUCUUCUUGAAUUCAAACUUGAAAGUAUCAUGAGACUUUGAAGGAUUUUCCUUAAUAUCACGAAUAAGAGGAUCAGAAGACAUACUUGACUGAACUUGUUUAAUAAAAGUUGAAUCAACAGUUAGUGUUGAUUUCAUUAUUUGAAGAUGAAGAUGCUCUAGCUUCAAGAGAAUUGUCAAUUGUUGAUCAAAAGCAAAAUCUCCUUCCUUUGGUACAAGAUAAGAUCGUCUAGAGAGUAUAUCUGACAAACCUUGUUAUUUUUCUAGUCGAUAAGUGAUCUUGAAUUUGAAUCUUGAUAAAGACAUACUCCAAUGAGCUUGGCGACGAUUCAAAAUACGUACUGACAUAAAAUAUUCAAGGUUCUUGUGAUCCGUAUACAUUGUGACUGCGCUAGAAGCACCUUCUAGUUAAUGGUGCCAUUCUUGAAACAAAUCUAUGAUUGCAAAAAGUUCUUUGUCGUGGAUCUUGUAGUUGAUCUCGACUGCUGAAAUUUUUCUGGAAUGAAAAGCUAUUGGAUGAAGUUUAUCAUCUGUUUCCAUUUGUGACAAUAUGGCACCCAAAGCAAAAUCAAAUGCAUCUGUUUCCAUAAAAAAUGGCUUAAAAAAAUUGAUGUGAUACAAGAUUGGUGCAGAAACAAAAGGUGUCUUCAAAGCUUCAAAUGCUACUUCUGCUUCUUGAUUCCAUUGAAGUUUGUCUUUACAAGUCAAACGUGUAAGUGGAGUUGUAACUUGAGAGAAGUCUUUGAUGAAGAUCCAAUAGUAGUUGGCAAAUCUCAAAAAGCAUUGGACAUCUCUUACCAUUUUUGAGAUCUUCCAAUCCAUAAUAGUUUGAACUUUCUUAGGAUCCAUCAUAAGUCCAUCAUUUGAAAUGAUGUAUCCUAAGAAGUCCACUUGAGUAGUGUGAAAUACACACUUUUCUAUCUUAGCAUAGAGUCCUACAACUUUUAGUUUUUAUUAUACUUAGUAAAUAUGAAGUUCAUGUUCUUCUAGGUUUUUAGAAUAGAUUAAGAUGUCCUCUAGGUAAUAGACAACAAAAUCAUCUAAAAACUCCUGAAAGACAUCAUUCAUUAGAUGUUGGAAUACUAUUGGUGCAUUUGUAAGUCCAAUAGGUAUGACGUUGUAUUCGAAAUGUCCAUAUCUUAUUCGAAACGCAGUCUUCUAUUCAUCUCCUUCUUUGAUGCUUACCAAAUUAUAUGCUCUCCAUAGAUCUAUUUUUGUAUAGAUCUUAGUUUGAUUCAAUUGAUCAAAAAUUCCAGAUAUCAAAGGUAGUGGAUACUUAUUUUUGAUAGUGAUUUUGUUGAGUCCUCGAUAAUCAACACACAUUUGCAAUGAUCCAUCUUUUUUCUUCACAAAUAAAAUUAAAGCUCUUGCUGGAGAUUUGGAAUGAUAUAUAAAGUUCUUGGCCAAAUUUUCUUCAAUAUAUUCCUUGAGUUCAGCCAACUCAUUUUGAGAUAAAUUGUAGAUUGGUCCAAAUGGCAGUUGUACUCCUUCUUGAAGGUCAAUUGAUCAAUCAUAGGAAUGAUGUUCCAAAAGAGGGUGCCGGAUUUGUUUUCUCAAAUAUAUCUUAAAAAUCUUGAUAUUGGCUUGGAAUGUCACUUGAAGUCUUUCCACCAAUAGAAAUAAGUGUGACAUAAAUGACACAAGGUGAUCCUUCUUUUGGAGCAUAUAAGAAAGCACUUGUACCUACAAAUAUAGGUUUAAUUAUACUAGACUUAUGACUUUUUACUUGAUUAACUACACUCUUAGUUAUACUUGCAGAAAAGUCAAGACUACAAAAAGUUCAAUCUAUUUUAGGGUUAUAUUUUUCUAGCCAUCAUAAAUCUAAAAUAAUUUGAUUAGAGAGAGAUCUAAUGAUAUUAAAUAUUAUAAAACUACUAUGAUCAUUAGUUGUUAUUUCUAUAGGAAGGAUUUUAUUAGUAACAUCUUUUGAAGACAACGAACGACCAUCUAUGACUUCUACAUGAACAAGUUUAGUUUUCUUUACUAAAAAUAUGCUAUGUCUUUUAGCAAAUUUUUCAUCUAAAAAACUUAUUGAAGCUCCUGAAUCUAGCAAGGCAGAGGCUUUGAGAUAUAUAGGUCUUAGAAUAACAUUUAUCGUAAAACAUGGAGAGGGUUCUGAGCAGAGGAUAGGACCUUUACUAGGCGUUGUACAAGGUUCCACCCCAAUGGUCCCUAUUACAGUUGGACAAAUUUGUUUUUUGACAUGCUAUCUUCUUUGAUCGAUGUACUCCUCAUUUUAUGGUUGCAUCGCUUCUUUGGAAAAUGUUGAGUAGAGUGCUUAGGUUCUCCAUAAUAUAAGCACAAUCCUUCUUGACGAUGACGAGUCUUUUCUUGCUCAAUAAGAGGUUUGAAACGUACUACAUCAAUUUGCAUAUCUUCUAUUUCUAAAUAUAUGGGUUGAAGAGAUGUUGGUAUUGCUAUUGAAUUAAAGUUACGUUGGAGUCCACUUCUAUGGUUAUCAAAUCGGAAUUCAAAAAGAUGACUAUUGCACUUCACAACAAAGUGAAUUGCUUGACUCAAUGUUUGAGGAUCAGGUAAGUUGAACAUUAAUUUUUUUUACCUCAUAUUGUAAUCCGUAGAGAAAUUGGCUAAUAAGUGCAGUAUCAUCCCACUUGAUACCAAUUACAAGUUGUCAAAAUUGUGAAGCAUACAUCAUUAUUGAUCGAUUGCCUUGUCGUAAAAUACAGAUCUUAUUAGUUGCAAUACAAAUUGCAUCAUGAUCUCCAUACAUGGAUCAAAACUCUGCCAAAAAAGCCUCUAGAUUAUCCAAUAUUGGAUCUCGUUGUUCAAAAAAAGAUAAAAACCAUGAUAAUGCUGAACCUAAAAGAAGAAUACAAAUGAAUCUAACUUGCAAUCCUGGAGUUGGAUAGCUUUGGAGUUGAAGUUCAAUCACAAGUUGCACUUGAUUGAUAAAUCCUUGAAACUUAGAUCUGGUGCCAUCAAACUUCUCGAUUAGGGUAAUUCUUGAUUCUCUAACACUAGAAGGGCAUUCCAUUAGAGGAGAAAGGACAUGGUUUGGUGCAGAUGUUGAAGCAGCUCCAACCAUUUCUAUAUCUUCACUUCCUACCAAUCUUGUUGCUCCUUGUAGUGGUAAAUUGAGUUGAUGCAUCGCAAGCAUUAACUCUUUCAAUUGUUCUUGCAUUUGUACCAUUGCAGUCUUCUUUUCAGCAAGUUCUGUCAUGAUAAUACUUAAAAAAAAGAAGAUGUCUAAUAUCCCUCAAGACAAAUAGAAGAGGGAACUUGAGAACAAAGAAAAUACUAAGGACAAUAUCAAUUUAGAAGAGGGUAAUUUGUAACUUCUAAUAUGCUUAUGUCUUAUUGUGAUUGUCGUUUUACUUAUUCUGAAAGAAACCUCCCAGAAUAAAUUUGUAUAGGAGAAUUCGAACUUAAAAAAAGACUAAGCGCAUGAAUUUCACUUGUUAGGAUCACACAAUUAACUAUAUUUUGAACCACUAAAAUCCUAAGAAAUACUACAAUGCUUCUUCCUAAUAACAAUACUCCUCCAUCAACUGAUAACCACAGUGUGUAACCUUGCACUCUCAAAAGACCACUCAAAACUUAAUAAAUUCCAUCUAACAUCAGAAAUAACAGACUUCACUCCAACCAAUUUGAAUUCACAGAAUUCUUGUAAUUACAGCCUUCUUCUGUCAAAACACAUACAUAUGACUCUCAAUAAACAACAAUCAUAAUCUCCCAUCCAUAAUCAAUCUUCCAAUAACUUCUCAUAUAAUUCAAUCACUCAGUACUCCAAUUACAUAAUCAAUAACUCAUAAAUCAAACUCUGAUUUAUUCCACAGACUCACUUCUUAGUAUUCAAAAACUAUCCAUUAUUCUUCAACAAUAAAGAAAACAAAAGAAACAAAGAGGAAGCACCAAGCUUAAUCCCAGCUCAUGACUAUUACACUCUGGCAUUUUCUUCCUCCCUUCCAUCUUCCUUAUACUACCCCAAGAUACCAAUUCUUAUACUACGGAUGAUAACUACUUUUCUUGACUAUUCAUCCAUUCUACCUAUUGAACCACCUUUUCAACAGUUAUCUAUCCUUGUUUACACUAUACACUAGAUAUCUACAUUUUGAAAAUAACUACUUAUUCUACAUAGCCCCACUCUUAAUUGUGCAACAUCCUCACAAACACAAUAUUGAUAAACAAAAACCAAUCUUUUUUUUUCUUUUUUUUUUUUUUUAACUGGAUUAUUCAAUCUCUUCAAUUUCAAGCGCUAGCUCUAUUUGGUUUUGUUCCAAUACUAUAUCUUCUUUUUCUAACUCGUCCUAAAUCUCUGCCUUUAAUUGAGCUAUUAAAUCUUCAUUAUAUGCUCCCAAUUCUCGAACCUGAGCUUCCAAUUGGAGUAUUCUGGCAUCUUUAGCUUCCAGUUGUUGCUGCUACUGUUGCAAUUUCUCCUCUAAUUUUCCAAUUCUUACUCCCGUUGAGGCAGAUGUCUGUGAGUGACCAAAACUGACCAAAUCACUCUCCAAUUUCGUUAAAGUUUCCUUCAAAACAACAAUUUUUGCUUGUAGCUAAUCCAUUUUGUUUCGAUAUUGGUCACCCAAUUGUUUCUUUUUAAGCUCCAAUGCCUCCUUCUUCUCUCGUUCCAUCUUCAACUGAGCAUUCAUCUUCUCAUGUUCCAAUCUAUAUGAUUUGUGAGUUUGUAAUAAUUCUUGCCUUUGAUUUUCCAGGAUAUGCUGAAUCCUCUAUUUCUCCUUUGACCAGUUUUCCACUCUUUCAUCUAAUUCAUACUUCACUCGCAUCUUGGAUUCUGAUUCUAUCUUGAUGACUUGUUCCUGUUCCCUGAUUUUAUAAUUUUACUCCAAUAUUAUAUUCUUGCUUGCUUCCACUUGCCUUUUUAAGCUACGUUCAUCUUCGAGCUUACUCAUCGUAAGUUGCAGCUGAGAAAUUUGACCCAAUAAAACUUCCUUAAGAUUCCACCCUUUCGUUAUACCCCAUUGAAAUCCUAAUUAGUUGCUUCCCCUUGGAAUUGAUAUUGGUGUCGUCAUCUUUAUUGUCGACCGAAUUAGAACUCGCUUUGGUAUAGAUAUUGGUCUUCUCAUUUUUCCAUUCUGCUAGAUUCUCCCACUUCAUACACCAUUAUCCUUGGGCUAACUAUUCUCGUUUAUAAACUUAGAACUACUGAUUGAGAUUCCUGUUUCAAUAUAUACUCAAUCACUGAGUUUACAUAAUUGGAACAUAAUAGUGAAGCAAACUUCUCCGUCUUCCACUUAGCUCCCAUUUUUGCAUGUAUCCUUGUCGCCACAUAAGCUGCUCAAUUGAAUAUCAUGCCUUCUACUGUUCAUAUCGCAAAAAACAGUAAUCACUUCAUCAUAUUGGUGGUAUGCCGAUUCAAUGCUAACCGAUUUUGAACGAACCGCAUCCAUUCCAUAAGUUCUGACAUAAGUGCCUUCUGUACCUUCCAUCAUUGAUUUUGCUCAAGAGACGAUAUUCCUCUUUUGAAGUAGCUUCCUGGCCUGAUGUCAUUUGACGCGUCUCCUCCCACCUCAAGCUCUUUGGUUGGUAAUUGUAAGACCUUGUGUAAGAUAUUCUCAUCUAUCCCAAUCAGGACUCCUCUUAUCACACUCAAACCAUCCUCUGGAUCAUAAUUUUUUAUAUAUUCCACCACUUAUUCUACAUCAAUUGAUGGUAGUUUAUCUGAUCCUCACAAAAACGUAAAUAACUAUGCAUUUCUAAAAAAAAUUUGCCUUUUCAAUGACCAACAAAUAUCAAACUUUAUUAGUUCCAUAUUGGUGAUAACUAUAAGAGAUUGCGAUCUGAGAUCGUACUUAGACCUCACAGUGCGGUGACUUUUUGAUCAUUCCAGUGCUUUCUUUGUUCUUUCCAUUGACAUUGUGAAAAUCAAACUCUCAAUACUUCCUCGUGCUAAUACUAAUUCUGAUUACUGUCAUAAAGCUUACAGUUCAAAGCACAAUGUCUGAAAUUUGCAACAAUGAAACCUUCUAUAAGUGCUCCGCUCCUAACUGCUCAUUUGAGAUCCGAAUCAAGAACGUCUAAUCCAGUGUACCUUAAUCUCAGGUCUAAUCAAGAAUGUCUAAUUUCUUGACUAGUCAGUUUUAAUACCCAAAACUAACCAUCAAUCAUUUUUUAGCUAUCAUAACCUUUCCAAUCUUGUCGGGUAAUUAUUAUUACGGAGACUCCCUCCCUCCACUGAGUAAAUUCCUCCCGGCUUUACGUAUAAUACAGAUGUAACCGGUUUCCAUUAACGCGUGUUGUGAUGUGGGUUCCUAGAAAAUCUUCCAAUUAAACUAAACCAUUAAGGAAAUCUUCUACCACCCGAUAUGGCCCAUGCGAUUGUACUUGAAAUUUACUAGGAAAUUUGUUAAAGCGGCUAUCAUAAAGUAGUACUAGAUCAUUGGACAUAAAAUAUUUUGACCGUAACUUACUAUCGUGAUAACUCUUUCCACGGCGCUCUGUAGCUUCCAUGAUUAAGAGAGCCGUAGCUCAAGCUUCAUCCAAUUUUUCCAAUUGGACUAAUCUAUAUUGAAGAGAUUCUUUGUCUCCCAUACAUUCAUCCAAUGCAAUUCGUAAACUUUGGACCUCCAAUUCAAUUGGUAGAAUUACCUCCUAACCGUAUACAUAUUGAAAUGGGAUAGAAUUGAUAGUUACUUUAUACACAGUAUGAUACGCCCAUAAAGCUACAAGCAAUUUAGUAUCCCAAUCGGUUCCCGCUCCUAAAAUAGUCUUUGUUAAGAUCUUACAUAGGAUACCGUUGGUCUUUUCUGUCUGCCCAUUGGCUCGUGGAUGAUAAGGUGUAGUUUUGCGGUAUUUGAUCUCAUUCUUCGCUGUUAAUGCUUCAAUUGUUGCAUUAAUAAAAUGUGUUUUGUGAUCACUAACCAAUUCUUUCAGACAGCCAAAACGAGUGAUAAUAUUCUCAUAUAAAAAUAUUACUAUGGUAUUGGCAUUCUUAGUUUUUGUUGCUAUGGCCUCCGCCCAUUUGGUGACAUAAUCGAUGGCUACUAGAAUAUAAUGUUUAUGUCCAUUUCGAGAGGCAGGUGUAAUAGGUCCUACAAAGUCAAUACACUAUUUUUCAAAUGGUGCCUAUGCCAAAAUCGGUACCAAUGGCAUUACAGAAGUUGUAGUAGGCUGACCAAUUUGUUGGCAAGGAUCACAAUGAUGAACAUAUUGGUGUGCAUCCAAAAACAUUGUUGGCCACUAAUAUCCAAGCAUUAAAGCCUUAUGUGUGGUGCUAUCACCCGCAAAAUGUCCUCCACAACUGUCCAAAUGACAUCCUUCCAAAAUUGUAUGUACUUCACUUUGAAAGAUGCAAUGGCAUAAAAUUCCAUCCCGCCCUUGUUUGAACAAGGCAUCUCCAAUCAUGGUAUACGGCACACUUUUUAAAAUCAUAUGUUUUUUUAAUUUUUUAUUAUAAGAAAUUGAAAAAGUUUGAAACGUUAGAUAUUAGAUCAAUUCACCAUAUUUGGGUGUAAUGACAUCUACAACAAAUAGUUGUGUAUCCAGAAAAGCAUUGUUUAUCGGCUCAUUACCUAGUAUAUUAGAUAAACGGGAUAAGUAAUCCGCAUUGGCAUGUUUCUUGUCGGGUCGAACGUUAAUCGUAAAGUUGAAUUCUUGAAGAAGUAACAUCCAUCGAGCAAUUCGUCCACUCAAUUGAGGUUUAUUUAUCAUGUACUUAAGUGCAUCAUGAUCAAUGUGGAAUACAAAUAGGUAUCCAAGUAGAUAGUGGCAGAAUUUCUGUACAGAGUAGAUCAUUUUGAGGGCUUCUCGCUCGGUAGUAUUAUUAUUUUAUUUUACAGCAACAAAUUAUCGGCUUGCAUAAUAUAUGGGAUGAUCUAAUCUUUUUUCAUUUUUUUGAUUGAGAAUGGAUCCAAUAGCAACAUUGAACACAUCCACAUAGAUAUGAAACAAUUUUGUCCAACAAGGUGGUAUAAAAAUUGGAACAGAUACCAAUUUUUAUUUCAAUUCGUCAAAUGUAAAAGUACAAUCUUCAGUCCAUAUUGAGCUAGAUCCGUUUGACAGGGAUUUCUUUAAGAAGUUGGUUAACGAUUGAUAGAUAACUGCAAAGGAUUCAAUAAAACGCCGUUAGUAGCUGACAUGACCGAUAAAAUCGCACACGUCCAACACUAUAUCUGGCUUUGAUAAACCCAAUAUACGAGUAACUUUAUUGAGGUCGAUAGCGAUACCUUCAACAGAGACAAUAUGUCUCAAUAGCUUCCCCGAUGGUACGCCAAAUUGACACUUUGUCGAAUCUAGAGAUAUUCCAAACUUGUCGCAUUGAUUCAAACAGUUAUUCAGACAUGCUAGAUGCUCAGUCGUUGUGCUAAAAGUGCAGAAAUCGUCCAAAAAUAUCUCCAUUGAUAAACGUAGGUAAUCUUGAAAUGCUUGUGUUAUUAUCCAUUGAAAAGUAGCUGGGGCAUUACAUAACCCAAAUGACAUUACUUUAUAGGCGAAUGUACCCCAAUUUGUGGUAAACGUAGUCUUCAAUUGGUCCUCUUUGAUAAUUUUAAUUUGAUUAUAUCCCAAAAAUCCAUCCAAAAAUGAGUAACAUUCAUGUCCGGCCAGUGCGUCCAAAAUACUGUCUAUAAAUGGUAAUGGAAAAUAGUCCUUUUUAGUAGUCGUAUUUAACUUUCAAAAAUCCCGACAUAUCUUGAUUUUUCCAUUCUUCUUCGGUACCAUCACAAUUGGUGACACCCAUGUACUAUGCAAAACAGGAUAAAUAAAACCCACGUCAAGAAGUUUAUCCAAUUCUUCUUUCACUAAAAAGAAAUAUUUUAAGUUAAGCCAGUGUUGUCUUUGACAAACUCGCGUAACACCCUCCUCCAAAAUAAUCUGGUGCUCACAUACAGUUAUUAUAAUAUCCUUCACAUCUACAUACGUCCAAGCAAAGGACGAUUUAUGCUUGAGAAAGAAUUCAUUCUACUUACUCAACUCGUUACCUUGAAUACCCACAUAUAUCUUUAUAUUCUGGGGUGCUUCAUAGGUGCCUCAGUUCAUAGACUGGAAAACAGGUUCUUCUACAAUUACCGAUUUAAAAUUAUCUAUUGGCCCAUCGUCUUGCGUAGAAGACAGCAACUGCUAGUUGCUCAUUUCUGACCUCAUUGCACUCACAUGAUUGACAUCAUAUUUAAUCAUCCAUUCCGUAAUAACAUGAUUUGAGUUAGUCACAUCCUCUUGAUGCAGUAAAUAUUCGUCGGGACCUCCACAUUGGUAGAUUUCUGCCUUUGGUGUUGAAGUGUUUUGUCCUACUCCAAAUUGCGGUGAACCUAUAGCAUCGUCAUCUUCUUCAAUCGAUUGGCUCUCGUUGUCCGAUGUAAAUUAUGAUUAUAGAAAUUGAGAUUCUCCAUAAUAUUGUACCAGAUACAUCUAUAGAACAAUCUAAUCAUGGCCUUUUCCAAUUGUCAAUGUGCCUCGGCUCCAAUCGUUCUUACCUUUGGCUUGAUAAAGCCAAGGUCUGCCCAAAAAAUGGGAUAUAAUAACAUAGAACUCUAUAAUUGAAAUACAAUAUAAUCGAUUUUAUAUGUCAAUCUCGUGAUUACAGUGGCAAUAUUACGUAAGAUUUCCAUUGGCUUUACCCGACUAUGAUCUGCCAUUUGCAAGACCAAUGUUCUAGGUAGCAAUUGCUUUAGAUCCAAGUCCUCUAUUGUAUCCAUGUUCAUUAAAUUCACACUGGAGCUACCAUCGACUUGUAUCCCUGGAAUUAAAAUGCCAUCGAUUGAUACAUCGAUUAUUGGUGUUUCCGGAUCUAGUUUUAAGCUAACUUCAUGAAUUUCUUUGGUGCAGGAUCUUCAUCGUAUUAACGUAGAAUUCAAUAUAGAUCGAUAUUUUGGUGCUAUAGUCAAAAGUUGCUUCAUUGUAAUUGAAGGCUGAAUAACAUCCAAAUCCUUCAGAAUGUCAUAGGGUUCCAUAUUGAGAGUAAUUCCCAAUGCUCUUUUGCGUUUCAUUAGUUUCAAUUUUACUCCGUUUGGCAGUAAUUCCUUCUUGGCGAUUGGGAUUGCCACUGGUAACUUUGUCAACUUUUCUACCACUAAAGAUUCUUUUAAUGCAUAAGAUCUUUUAUUGGGUGUACAAGUAUUGGUAGUUGGUCAGUUGAGAUCGUUCUUGAUGGUCCCGACAAAUUGGCACGUGGAACCGAAUUAGGUUCCUUAGUCUGUUGAGGUCUCAAUAUUGGGAUACAUUCCAAUACUGAUAUUGGUUCGUUUAGCCUCGCAGAUGGCAUUACUUACUCUCCUGCGAUUGGUUCAUCCAGGUCUUCAAUUGGAUUCUUGUCUUUUUGUUGGCCUCUAGUAAGCACUGCAUUCACGACCUCGACAUGUUGUACUAGUGAGUCCCGUUGAAUAGGACCUUUGUCCUUCAUCGGUUGGCUUGUUUACAUUUGCUGGUUCCGGUUAUUAUAAUUAAAAGGCGCAUUGCACUGCUGAUAAGUAUGAUCAAAUUGCUUACAAUUUCCACAUAUUUGAGCAUAGUCAUCAUUGGCCCUUCGAUUAGGACAUUCACUCACAUAAUGUCUGAUUUGUCUACAAUGAUAGCAACGAAGUAGUCUCCUGCCAACUCCUUCAGGGAUAUUGGGUGUUUCUACUGGUAUAUAAUGGCUAGGUCUAUUCUAUGUCGGAUGGAUAAAUGAUCUCGGUUGUCCAAUUGGUACUACAGACUCUAGCAUUGGCUUUGUCAUCGGUGGAUAUUGAUGGUAUCCUUGUUGGUUUAUCGCUAAUUCGUGAAUAUUGAAUACACCUUCUUGGUGAAUUCAAAGUUUAGGAAAUUGGAAUAAUUUGUGUUUUGUUUCUUUGCUUGAUUUCCAUUCCAGCCAAACCUAUUAUUUGUUUGUACUUGAUUGACAUUCCACAAAGUUGGUUGAAUCAUGGUCUGUUUUUCGACUUGUUGUUUCCUUAAAUUCCAACAAUUGGUAGUGGUAUACUUACCCCCACAAAAGGUACAUUGGAUCGUCGUUUGGGGUGGUGAAGAGCAUUCAGUUAUCAAAUGAUCUUAUCCUUUACAAUUACUACACCAAACAUUGGGUCACAUAUUGGUCGAUUCAUGCCUUUUUUCUUUAUUCUUGGCCAAAUUCAUCCAUUUUUUUUGUCAAUGUUAACAGCAAUGACUCAUUGGGAUCCCUUGAUACCAAUGCAUUUGGCAAUUCCUUCAUAGGUAUUGAUUUUUGAUACGUGAAAUAAAGCACAUACGGGUGUCAUGAUGAUGGUGGUAUAGCUUACAAUGGAAUAGCAUCCACUAUUCCCAGUGGAAUUGUACCAUAAUCAUUCCUUUCCAGAUAACUUUCCGAUGCGUCAUUUCAAUUUGUCAUUUGAUAACCUCCUUGAGAUGGAAUCAUCGUGGCACCAAUUGUUAAGUUUUGCUCAUAGUAACAUUCCUCCCAUACUUUUGCUCGCUCAAGAGAUGAUGCAAUGGUGGCUGAUUGGGCCUCCUUUACAAACAUCUUCAAUUCUAGUGGGUGUAGUCCAUUAACCAAUAUGGACAACACAAACGAUUCCUACAUUUGGUUAUUUGGCCAUUUUCGAAGUAUAUCUGCUACAUGACCAUAAUAUGACUGUACUACUUUUCUUGGUACCAUUCUACUGUUCAUUAAUUUUUCUCUAAGACGUUCUUCAAAACUAAUUGAUCAGAAAUGGACUAAAAAUGUAUUUUUCAAUGCCUCCAAAUUGAUAAAUUAUCCCACAAGUUAGCGAUUAUACCACUCAAAUAUUGUGUCUUUCAAUGUUGCUCGGAGUCAUCUCAACCAAAUGUCUUUUGUUCUUCUAUUAUUCGCUACACACGUCGUCAAGAAUUGAGACAAAUGUUGAUCUGGAUCUGCACCUGGCAAACCCCAAAAAGUAGGUAAUGGAGCCACACUCAUUGUGCAAUCGCUUACGUCACCCAUUUGUACUCCUAUUGGAACCGCUGGACCACCCGUCGCCAUUGAAUUUUUUGUUCCGCUGAACUCCAUUUUAAAACAAUCACUACUUCCACUUAUUCUAAUUUUCGGUCUCUCAGUGCUCCUCAAUUUAUUGUUAUUUUUCAUAAAUAGUUUUAUAGGUUGAAUUACAAGUAAAAACGUCGGAUUUUGAAAUAUAAUAUAUUUAUCUUUAUUAGCAACCAAUUUGUGCCAAUCUAAAGAGCCACUAUUGUUUGUUUCGGCAAUACCCACUACUAGAAAAAUACCCAAUGGAGUACCCAAUUCUUCUAUGUCUCCUUUACUUUGAGUUAACGGCCUCAAGAUUCCUCCUAAAAUGUUAACAAAAUUUCUCGCGAAUAUUCUUGGUAGUUUUUCUAAUGGUACAUAUGACUGUAGAAUUAACAAUCUGUCCAAUUCUUGAUAUGUUUGGAUGUGCCGACAAGCUUGCAACCAUAUUUUAAUUCAACUCUAUCGAUGCUUCCUUUUAAGAUUACGUUCUUGCUUCUCUCUAAGUAAGUUUCUUCCUUGCGCUCUUUCCUGUCUUUCUCUCAACUGAUUUAUUUUCCUCCAUGCAAUGUUCUCAUUCUCAUUAACCAUAAUCUUUCACUAUAUACUACUGAAUUUUCUUCAUAUUUUCCAUCUACUCAUCCUGUAGUUAAUUCCUAACACUCAAUGCUAUUGUCAAUCCCUGACAGCGGCGCCAAAAUGUGAUUGUUGUUUUACUUAUUCUGAAAGAAACCUCCCAGAAUAAAUCCAUAUAGGAGAAUUUGAACUUAAGAAAAGACUAAGGGCAUAAAUUUUACUUAUAAGGGUCACAUAAUUAACUGUAUUUUGAACCAUUAAAAUACUAAAAAAUACUACAAUGCUUCUUCCUAGUAACAAUACUCCUCCAUCAAUUGAUAACCACAGUGUGCAACCCUGCACUCUCAAAAGACCGCUCAAAACUCAAUAAAUUCCAUCCAACACCAGAAAUAACAGACUUUUUUCCAACCAAUUCGAAUUCACAGAAUUCUUGUAAUUACAGCCUUUCUCUAUCGAAACACACACACACAACUCUCAAUAAACAACAAUCAUAAUCUCCCAUCUAGAAUCAAUCUUCCAAUAACUUCUCAUAUAAUUCAAUCACUCAGUACUCCAAUUGCAUAAUCAAUAAUUCAUAAAUUAAUCUCUGAUUUAUUCCACAGACUCACUUUUUAGUAUUUAAAAACUAUCCAUUAUUCUUCAACAACAAAGAAAACAAAAGAAACAAAGAGGAAGCACCAAGCUUAACCCCGGCUCAUGACUAUUAUAGUCUGGUAUUUUCUUCCUCCCUCCCAUCUUCCUUAUAUUACCCCGAGAUACCAACUCUUAUAUUAUAGAUGAUAACUACUUUUCCUAACUAUUCAUCCAUUCUACCUGCUGAACCACCUUUUCAGCAGUUAUCUAUUCUUGUUUACACUAUACACUAGAUAUCUACAUUCUGAAAAUAACUAUUUAUUCUACACUUAUCAAGAAAAAGGUGUAAUCCACUCUUAAUCAAGAUUAGACAAAGCUCUGAUAUUAUAAGUGUACACUUGUUAAUCUGUCAAGGACAAGAACAUAAUAAAGACAAAUAAACAAGUGAGACUGCUUUCAAAGAAAGAUGACAAAAUAGAAAUAACUUGAUAUGUAUAUUAAAAAAGAAACUGGAAUGGCUAUUGCCAAAAGAUAAGAAAACUAGAGAUCCUUGAAACUAGACUAGUGUAAGCCAAUAAUUAUAUAUAUAAAUGAUAGUAGUAAGUAAAAGUAGGUAAAAGUAAGUUAAUUCUAUAAUAUUUGAUAUAAAAGCUUCCUAAAAGCUUCAUAAAUACUACUUUGACUUUAUAGGUGUCUUUAAUUGACUUUUUGGAUUAGAAACAUGGUCAACAAGUUAGCCAUGUACCACACAUGUUGUUAGCUUAAAGACCAAGCUAACUAUGUGCCUCACAUGUAGAAAAACUUGUCUUGUAUGUUAGUGACACUAGUCUAGUUUCAAGAGUCUCAAGUUUUCUUGUCUUUUGACAAGAAGCUAUUCUAGUUCUUUUUAAUAUACAUUCUUUCUUAUUUCUAUUUUGUCACUUUUUCUUUGACAUGGAUUUCAUUGGUUUAUGCAUCAUCUUCUAAUUCAUGUCCUUGACAGAUUGACAAGAAUACACUUACAGUGUUAGAACUUUAUCUUAUCUUUAUUAAGAGUGGAUUACUCAUUUUUCAUGAUAAGACAUAAGCCUAUUAAAAUUUAUGGAUUACCCUCUUUUAAAUUGAUAUUGUUCUUAAUAUUUUAUUUAUCCUCAAGUCCUUUCUUCUAUUUCUCUUGAGUAGUGUUAGAUAUUUAAUUGAGUAUUAUUAUUAUAGAGCUUCUUGAAAUAAAGAUAGCAAUGGCACAAAUGUAAGAACAAUUGAAGGAGUUGAUACUUGUAAUGUAUUAACUUAGCUUACUACCACAAGGAUCAAUAAGAAUGGCAAGAAGUGAGGAUAUAGAUAUGUUUAUAGUUGCUUCAACAUCUACACCAAAUCAUGUCCCUCUACCUAAAAUGUCGUGAUGUAAUAUGACUAUAUGGUGAAAGAUGAUAAUAUGGAUCUUGUUAUAGAAGAGCCAAGUUAAAAGAUAAAAUAAAAAAAUAUAGAUAAAAGAUAGGGAGAUAGUAAAACUUUUAGCAGUAAUACUACCUUUUCAGAAAAGUAACUUCUACUUAUUUUGUAGGACCAUAAAUAAGGCAAAACAAAGUAGAUUGGAAAAGAAAAUAACAUAAGCAUCUUGAAGAGGAAGUUUAGAAUAAAUUCUAAUAAAGUUUACUUAGAAAAACUAGAUAUUGAUACUCUGAGAGGGCUGGUUAUGAACUAGGAUCGAAAUCAGACCCUGAGGCACAAAACUGAGUCUCGACGAUGACUCCAAGGUUCUUUUAUAAAUUAGAGAGUAGGAUGUGAUAGAAAAUUGGAUAAGAUUUCUAUAAGCAUUGAUUUUGGAUAAUUUGAAGUUUUUAUGACUUUGUAAGAGCUUUACAGAGUCAAGAUUAUUUUCGGAUGACUUGGGUUUUGUGAAUUAAAAUAGGAUUGAUGUUUCUAGUAAUUUCAAGAGUUUUGUAAUAGAUCUAAAAGUGAAAUAAUUUGAGGUAAUGUUCAUAGUUGUGCUUAAUAUUUAUUGUAAAUCUUAGCUCGAUCUAAUGGUUAAAUUGAGGAUUAUUGAGGUUUAAGUGAGUCAAGGUCUCAGAAAGUAGAAUUUUAGGUCUAGUGAGGGUUUUUAAGAUUUCUUGCAAUGUGUUUAUUGAAUUGAAGUGAAAUUUAUGUAUAAGGAUAUUAGACUUGUUUUUCUAUGUAUAUGAAAAUUUUGAAAUCAAUCAAAUAGUGAAAAGGAGAGAUAUUGACGCUAGAAGAUUCGCAUCAAGGUUGGAGAAGGAGGUUGGCUAAUACCCAAGCACGUUUUUGAGGUUAUUAUCUAUUUGGUAAUUUCGAUCUUUUUCAAAAAUUUUGUGUUUGUUUUCAAUUUAGUUUUUAAGAAGUAUGUAAAAUUUGAAUUAAGAUCGAUGGUUCAUUCAUUAGUUAUUGAGGUUUAAUUCUCUUGUAGAAAUUACUAGGAUUUGAUUAGGAUUUGAUUUAGGGUUAGGAUUUGGUUAGGAUUUGAUUUAGGAUUAGGAUUUGAUUAAGGCUUGGUUUAGGAUUUAGGAUUAAAGUUAGGGUUUGGUUAGGAUUUGAUUUAGGGUUAGGAUUUAUGAUUUGGUUAGAAUUUGAUUUGGAAUUAGGAUUUCAUUUAGGAUUUAGGGUUUGGUUAGGAUUUGAUUUAGGAUUAGGGUUUGGUUUAAGAUUUAGGAUUUGGUUUAGGAUUUAAGAUUUGGUUAAGAUUUGAUGAAGAUUUAAUUUAGGGUUUAGGAUUCUAUUUAAGUUUAUGUAGGAUUUAAGAUUUAGUUAGUUUUUGGCCUAAAGUCUGAAUGAAGUCCAAUAAGAUUUCAACUAGGACUAAAUUAAGAUUGAAUUGAGAUGUAUUUGAGAUAUGUUUGUAAUCAUUCUAAUAUUUUUUUAAGAUUUCUUAUUAUUUCUUUGGAAUUUCUUUGAGGUUUCUUUCAAUUUGAUUAAAGCUUCUUUAGUAUUAUUAGUUAUAUUAGAAUUAAGAUUUUGUUGUUGCAAUUUUCAUUCUACCUUCUACAACUAGGUGUCCGGAGCAUUCUCAAGCAAGACUUUACAUAUUAUAAUAAUAGUGGAACAUCUUUCAAGUGUUGGAGAACUAAGAAUUACCUUGCUCGAGAAGUUUGAUGGUAUAAGAUCCAAAUUUUGAAGAUUUAUCAAUGAAGUAUAACUUGUGAGUGAACUUCAACCUUAAAGCUAUCCAAUUCCAAGAUCACAAGUUAGAUUUAUUAGUACACUUCUUUCAAGUUUAGCACUAUCAUGGUUUUUAUCUUUUCUUGAAUAAUAAGAUCUAAUAUUGGAUAAUUUCGAGGCAUUUUUUGGCAAAAUUUUAGCCUACAUAUAAAAAACAUGAUGCAACUUAUGUUCCAACCAAUAAGAUCCAUAUUUUGCAACAAGACAAUUGAUCAAUAAUAUUAUAUGCUUCAUAGUUUGAAUAACUUGUAAUUGAUAUCAAGUCAGAUGAUGCUACACUUAUUAGCCAAUUUUAUAAAUUAUAAUAUGAAGUAAAGAAAUUGAUACUCAACUUACUUGAUCCUUAAAUAUUGAAUCAAAAAAUUGACUUUUUUGUGAAGUACAAUAAUUGACUUUUUGAAUUUUGAAUUGUAAGUCACACAAGUAGGCCUCAAAAUUACUAUAAUUUGAUGGCAAUACCAAUGUCUCCUCAACACAUACAUUCAAAAGUAAAGGAUAUGAAAAUUGAUGCUAUACAUUUGAAACCUCUUAUUAAAUAAGAAAAGACUUGUUGCUGUCAAGAAGGAUUGUGCUUAUAUUUUGGAGAAUCUAAACACACUACUGAACAUUAUCUAAAGAAGCGAUAAAACUACAAAAUGAGGAGUACAGCUAUCAAAGAAGAUAAUAUAUUACAAAAUAAAUUUGUCUACCUACAAUAAGGACCAUGCAGCUAAAAUCUUAUACAAUUUCUAAUGAAGAUCGUAUCCUCUCCUUAUUUUAUAAUAGAUUUGCAUUUAGGACCUAAUAAUUGUAAAGCCUCUGCCUUGAUAGAUUCAAGAACCUCAGUUUGUUUUUUAGAUGUAGAAUUUGAUUAAAAUCAUAAAUUAAUAUUAAUAUAAAAAACUAAAUAUGUUCAUACAGAAGUCAUAGAUAGUCAUCCAUUGUCUUAUGGAGAUGUUAUUCACCAAAUAAUUUUUAUAGAUGUAGCAAUAAAUAAUCAUAGUAGUUGCAUAAUCUUUAAUAUAAUUAGAUCUUCCUCUAAUCUAGUCAUUUUAGGUUUAUUAUGAUUAAAAAAGUAUAAUCCUUAUAUAGAUUUGAUUUCUUCUACUCUUGACUUUUCUAAAAGUAUAAUUAAGAGUAAAAUUAAUCAAGUAAAAAGUCAUAAGUCUAACACAAUAAAACUUGUGUUUGUUGGUGCGAGAGCUUUCCAACAUGCUGCAAAAGAAGGAUCACCUUGUGUCAUUUAUGCCACAGCUUUUUCUAAUGAUAUAAAGACUUCAAGUAGCAUUCCAAGCCAAUAUUAAGAAUUUCAAGAUAUAUUUCAAAAGAAGAAUGGGGAUACUCUUCAGAACAUCAUUCCUAUAACUGCUCAAUUGACCUUCAAGAAGGAGAACAACUGCCAUUUGGACUAAUCUAUAGUUUAUUAUAAAAUGAAUUGGCUGAACUCAAGAAAUAUUUUAAAGAGAAUGUGGCUAAGAAUUUUAUAUGAUAUUCUAAAUUUCCAAUAGGAGCUCCAAUCUUAUUUGUAAAGAAGAAAGAUAGAUCAUUGCAAAUAUGUUGAUUAUUGAGGACCCAACAAGAUUACCAUCAAGAAUAGGUAUCCUCUACCUUUGAUAUCCAAACUUCUCAAUCAACUGAAUUAAGCUAAGAUCUAUACAAAAAUAGAUCUAUAGAUAGUAUACAAUUUAGUACAUAAUAAAGAAUAAAAGAUUAUAUUUUGAACUAAGUAUGGAUAUUUUGAAUACAAUGUCAUGUCUUUUGGACUUACAAAUGCAUCAGUAGCUUUUCAACUUCUAAUAAAUGAUAUUUUUUGAGAGUUUUUGGAUGAUUUUGUUGUCUAUUAUCUAGACAAUAUCUUCAUCUAUUAUAAUAAUAUAGAUGAACAUGAAUUUCAUGUUUGUUGUGUAUUAUAAAAAUUAAGAGAUACAUGACUUAUGCCAAGAUAGAAUAGUGUAUAUUCCAUACUACUCAAGUAGACUUCUUAGUAUACAUCAUUUUAAAUGAUGAACUUGUGAUAGAUUCUAAGAAAGUUCAAACUAUUAUGAUUUGGAAGAUUCCAAAAAUAAUAAAAGGUGUCUCAUGCUUUUUAGACUUUGUUUUGGGUGUUGUAUUAUUACAAAUGGAAACAGAUGAUAAACUUCAACCAAUAGCUUUUCAUUCCAAAUUUUUUUCAAGAAGUGAGAUUAAUUAUGAAAUCCACAAUAAAGAGCUUCUUACAAUUGUGGAUUUAUUUCAAGAAUAGCAUCAUCAUCUAAAAGGCGCUUCUAAUCCAGUCACUAAGCACACAGACCACAAGAAUCUCAAGUACUUCAUGUUAGCAUGUAUUUUGAAUUAUUGCUAAGUCCAUUGGAACAUGUCUUUAUCAAGAUUUGAUUUCAAGUUCACAUAUUGAUCCAGAAAAGAAUAUUUAUUAGAUACUUUUUUUAGACAGUCUUAUCUUAUACCAAAAGAAAGAGAUGCAUCUUUUGAUCAACAAAGAAUGAUUUUCUUGAAAUCAAAGUAUUUUCACCUUUAAAUAAUGAAAUCAACAUUGAAUAUUGAUUUGACCCUUGUGAAACAAAUCCAAUCAAGUAUGUCUUUUAAUCUUCUUCUUUACAAUAUCAAGAAUCUUUCUUUAAAGGCCCAAGACACUUCUAAGUUUGAGUUCAAAAAUAACCUACUCUUUUUUGAAAGUUGAUUAUAUGUUCCAAAAGAAGAAGUACGAUUAUGUAUUCUUCAAGCAUGUCAUGACUUUCCAGCAGUGGGACAUUUUAGAUACAAUAAGACUAUAGAACUUAUAUCCAGAGAUUUUUGGUGGCCACAAAUAUGAAAGGAUGUCAAAGACUUUGUUCAAUCAUGCAACAUUUGUUAAAGAUCAAAAACUCCCCGUCAUCGAUCUUAUGGACUUCUUCAACCAUUAUCUAUUUUCAAACAACCACGGUCUUCUAUUUUUAUAGAUUUCAUCGAAGAUCUUUCAAUUUCAAGUUCUUAUGACUCUAUAUUCAUGAUAGUAGAUCAUUUUACCAACAUGGCACAUAUUGUACCAUGUAUAAAAUCUAUCACAAGUGAAGAAACAGCUAAAUUCUUUCUUGCCAACAUUUAUUGCUAUCAUGGAUUAUCCAAGGAUAUCAUAUCAAAUAGGAAAAUUCGAUUUGUAUCAAGAUUUUGGCAGACUUUUUUCAAGAUUCUAAAAGUAAAAAUAAAAUUAUUUUCAACAUUCUAUCCUCAAACUGAUGGACAAAGAAAGAGUAUUAAUAAAGUUUUGAAGUAGUAUUUAAGAUGUACCAUCAACUAUCAAUAAGAUGAUUGGACAAUUCUUUUUUUAUUAGCAAAGUUUGCUUAUAAUAAUAUAUUAUAUUUUUUUACAAAAUAAAUAUAUUUUUUUACCAAUUAUGGUUAUCAUCUACAACUUGAUACUUUUGACUUUUUAGAAGCUAACAAUCUUGUGGCAGAUGAUUUGGUAAAUUAUUUUUCAAAGCUAAAUGCAAUAAUUAAGACGUAGUUAAAAGUAGCUCAAAAACAACAAAAGAUCAAUGCAAAUGUUCAUAAAAAGGAACAACCACCAUUCUAAAUGAGUGACAAGGUAUGAUUACUUCAUUGCAAUAUUAAGACUAUUCAUCUUUGUAACAAGUUAGACUAUUGUAAACUUCGACUAUUUUCUAUUUAUACACAAAUCAAUCCAAUUGCAUAUCAUUUACACUUACUAGAGUCAGUAAAAAUCCAUCUAGUAUUCUACGUAUUUUUUCUUGAAUCAUACAAUAUAGUCGACAUACCAAGAAGAAGACAAGUGCCACUUCUUUCUAUAGAAGUGGACAAUAAUGAAGAAUUUGAAGUGGAAGAAGUCUUAGACUUAAGGUGGCGCCAAAAUAAGUUGAAAUAUCUUGUUCAUUGGUGUGAAUACAAUAUUAGUGAAUGCAUAUGGGAGCCAGCAAAGAAUCUUACAAAUGGUGAAAGAAGGUAGACGCUUUUUAUCGAUAAUAUCCAUUAAAAUCAAAAUGAAGACCUUUUCUAUAAAAAAAAUAAGAUUUGAGCAAGAUAACAUUCUACUUUCAAUAUUUGUUUGUAGCUUCUUUGUAUUUGUGAUGUUCAAGAGAUGGAAAACCAACAAUCAAUGGAUUUUACUAAAAAACCUUUGUUUGCUAACCUGUUGAAAGAGACAUUGUGAUUAUCACAACCUUCAAGUCAACGCAAUCAAGAUGAAGAUCCUCAAGAAUGACAUGUUUUUCUUCAAAUAGAUGGCAAGAUACAACGUGUUUGGUAUCACGACGAUGGAAGAAACUCUUGAUAUUUGGUAAUUUUAUUAGAAGUAAAAACAAUUCGUAACGGUAUUCCAAAUGUUUUAUUUGAAGGAAGUUAUGAAGGCCUCAAUAAUGACCAAAUAAUAGGGUGGUCUUUUCCUCAUGAUAUGAGAUACUAUCAAUGGUUGAGAGGCUCUAUCAACCAUCUUCAAAGAGAACAAAUAUAAGAGUAUGUGGCAAAUAUAAUUUGUCGCAUCAUAGAUUUUCUCAACAUAUGAUGAAAGCUCUUUAUGGAACUCGUCCUUAGAAGGGAGGUAAUGUCACAGACAUACACAUAUAAGCCAGGAAUUACCUAUAUAAAUAAUUAUAUUUAAAUAAUAAUAAAUAAAAAUAUGUCAAUUCUAUAAUAUCUUCUAUAGAAGCUUUCUAUAAACUUUAUAGACAAUGCUUUGAUUUUAUAGGUAUCUUUGAUUGAUUUUUUAGAUUAGAAACGUAAUUAAUAAGUUGGUCAUUUUCUACAUAUAUUAAUAGCUUGAAGAAUAAGCUAACUAUAUAGCCUACACACAGAAAACAUGCCUUAUAAGCUAAGGCAUGUGUCUUGCAAAGUCAACACAUAUUAGAGAACUUAUAGAACAUCACCACAUAGCUCCUAAUUAGAUAAUAUAUAUAGAGGCAAGAGUGAAGCCAUCUUCACUCUUGUCUAUUCCUUUCUUAUUUCUAAUCUAAAUUCAAGAGUCUAAAGAUUUCUUGUCUUUUGGCAAUAAGCCAUUCCAGUUUCUUUUUAAUGUACGUACUUCCUUAUUUCUAUUUUUUUACUUUUUCUUUGACAUGGAUUUUAUUGGUUUAUACAUCAUUUCUAGUUCAUGUCCUUGACAGUAGGUCAAUUAUCAAACAAGCCGGGUAGUAGAAGCUAAGUAUUAGUUGGACCAUUGACCUCUGCCUUCAGAGUGAAGCUAUAGCCAUUAAAGAUCUGACUUAGCUCCAAUGCACUUCUUCUUGUUGUUUAGUUUUAUCUAGACUACAUUGUAACCUUCCAUGAUUUUUGAUGUUGUAUCAAAAAGUACACUAAGUCAAUUGAUUCUUCUUUAUUCCUUUAAAUUUUAUUUCUUAUAUACAAAAAAAGUGAAGGUAGUCGAUUAGAAGUCAAGAUAUUGCAACAUAAUGGUCCUCUUUCUUAUUAGCUUACUUUGAUUUUAUAUUUGAAGUUACAUUGUCAGGGUAGAGAGAAUUUACUUCAAGAAAAUGCUAGGCUUUUAGCUAUUACUAAUCGUUCAAUCAUGCUUCAAAAUAAGGAAAGUCCUAAGUUUAUAUAUAAAUUUUUCCUUUUGAGCAAUUACACCAAAUACACAAGCCUCAAGUAACCAACAACACCAAAUAUAUGAUAAAAUUUUCUAAAACCUUGUAUAUCCUUAUGUGGAAAUUUUCUUGAACUUCAACACCUCAUAUCACUUAAUCCGACUAUCGGAACAAAUUCAAAUUUUGUAUGAGGUACUGAUGUAUUCUUAUUAACUUCUACAACAAAUUUCAACUGCAAAUUCAUUGUGGAUCUUGAGAUAUCUUGAAAACCCUAGCAGUCGUUUCAAAUCUUUAUUUUUAUAUAUCCACGUGCAAUUUUCUUUAUAUCUCACGAAAUAUAAGCUCAAAUUCCACGAAAUUGUAUGUAUAGCUUUUUAACACAAAAUGUUACAUUUUCCAAAAUGGUUGAGCUAAAAAUUCAUCCGAAAACUCAAGUUAUGGCUCCAACCAUUAUUAUAAACAAAACCGCUCACUUACCGCCUUUGAUUUAGAAGUGCCGCCUUCAACUCCUUACAACUCCUUUAUAUGAACUCCAAAAGCAAUAACUUUUUUAUGAAAGAUGUAGGCCUUAAAAUCGCUGUUCCAUUGGCACCUUCCGAACUUCAAAAACUAUUGUACAACUCCUCGUAUCCUCAAAAGAAUAACAGUAUAUCUUAAAUUAAUACCUUAACUUCAAACGGCUAUAACUUCUUCACCCUAACUCCAAAUCCUCUAAUUUUUACACAUAAAUUGUACCCCAAAUUCUAAACUUUAUAACUUUAGCUUCUAAGUUCCAAAUGCCUUCUUUGAAGUCGCCGAAACCCUUGUUAAGGUCACAGGCAGCGUCCUUAAAGCCCAUUGGGCAUGGUAUUCGACCAAUAGAGAUGAAGUUUCCCAUUUCUUGUCUUCAUCCGACUAUACCUUGCUUUCAUCCCUCCCAAUUAGCCUCGUACAAGUUUAAAUUUUUAUCCUUAGGCUUCCACCUUCUCCCAAGGCUUCAUACUAAACAUUUUGGUCCUAUAUUUUUUUUUAAUAUCAAAAUCAAAAUAAAUAAAGAAUCAAAAUAAAGUUUCUUAUACUAACUCUUUUUGAUUUAAUCUACUAGCUAGUCUAACACACAUCUAGAUUUAUUAAUAUAUAAUAUAUUUUAACUAAUUUUUACAUAUUAUAAGAAUUUACAAUACGACACCGUCAAUUCCAUGUCUAUAUAAUUUGCCACCAAUUAUGACAAAGUAUCUACUAUUAAUUCUUACCUUCUUAUGUUCUAUUUUAGAAAGAUGAGGAGGCAAGGCUUGAGUUGUUAGGAACUUGGUAAUUAAUUCAUACUAAGUGGGUAUAGUUAAAACAAUAAAUAAGUUUUUAUCUAUCAAUGUGUCAUCAAUUGGAGCUUCACUAAUUUGGUCUGACAACCUAGAUAAAUGAUCUGCUUGCUUGUGUAUCUUGCCUGGCUUAUAUUCCACUGUAUAAUCAAAUUCUUCUACUAGAAGUAUCCACCUUGCAAGUCUACUACUUAAAUCAGUCUUAUUCAUAAGAUGCUUGAUUGCCAUGUGAUCCAUAAGAAAUACCACUGGAUUUAAGAGAAGAUAAUGUUUGAACUUCUUAAUAGAAAAAACCAUAGAAGAAUUCUCAUUCCAUGGUAGUAUAAUUUCUCUCCACAUGAUUCAAUUGCCUACUAGCAAAGGCUAUGGGAUAGUCCUUGCUUUUUAUCCCACUUCCUUGACACAAUGUGUUCCCUAUGAAUGCAGAUGAAGCGUCACAAAGCACAUAGAAGGACAAUGACCAAUUAGGGGAUCUUGAGAUAGAAAAGUACUAAGUUUUUUUUUAAAGAUAUUAAAUGCCUCUUAGCAUUUUUCACUCCAUUCAAACUUCACUUCUUUUUGUAUUAGUCGAGUUAUGGGUAUGGAAAGUGUAGCAUAAUUUUAUAUGACUUCUCAAUACCAUCCUAUGUGUCCCAACAUCAUUUGUACUUCUUUCAUGGUGGAAAGAGGUUUUAAUUCUAUAAUAACUUUGACAUUUUUUGGAUUGGAUUCUCUACCCUUUUCUAAUACCACAUAUCCUAGUAGAACUCUCUUUUGAACUACUAAGAAUAUUUUGUCAGGAUUUAAUACAAUCCUACAUUUUUUACAUCGUUGAAGACUAGCUUGAAUACAUUCCAAAUGUGUUGUGUUAGAAGAUUGGGUACUAAAGUUGUCAAUAAACAUUGUCAUUGACUUAUGUAAAAGGUCAGACAAGCCAUAGGACAUGGCCCUUUGAAAUGCUGUUGGAGCAUUAUAAAGUCCAAAGAGCAUCACUACAUAAAUGAAGGUGCCUCAAGGUGUAGUGAAAGUGGUUUUAUGGUGGUCCUUUAGAGCUAUCGAUAUUUUUAUUCACUUCCACCUUAUUAUAUUACCUAUAUAAUUAUCAAAGUAACUAUAAGUUUGUAAUAUUACUCUCUUUUCUAGAAAAAAAUUUCAUAAAGAGUGGUGAUUAUAUGUUGAUUAAGUCUAAGAUGUGACAAAUUAUAUUUGCCACAUAUUCUCAUCAUUGUUCUAUUUGAAGAUAGUUAAGAGGUCUUCUCAGCCAUUAAUAAUAUCUCCAUUCUAUGGUAAGAAGACCAUCCUAUUAUUUAAUCAUUGUUGAGGCCUUCAUAAUUUUCCUUAAACCAAAAUAUUUGUUACACCGUUAGGAGUCGUUCCAAUCUCUAAUAAAAUUAUCAAGCAUCAAAAGUCUCUUCCAAAGUCAUGGUAUCAAACACAUUGUAUCUUGCCAUCCAUUUGAAGCAGAACAUGUCAUUCUUAAGGAUCUUCAUUUCAAUUACAUGGUCUUCAAGGUUGUGACAAUCAUAAUGUCUUAUUAAAUAAGUUAACAAAUGAUGGUUCUUGAGUUGAAUCUAUUAAUUACAAAAUCUCCAUCUUGUUGUUAUUAUUAAAAUACAAAGAAUUUACAAUGAAGGAUUAAAGAUAAGAUGAUAUCUUUAUUAAGUGUCUUUUUUUUAUAGCAAAGAAUUACUUAACUUGUCAUCUUGAUAUUAAUAGGUAUCAUUGAUAAAAAGUUUUAACCUUCUCUAUUAUAUUUGCAAGAUUCUUUGCUCGAUCCUAUGAGUAUUUAUUAAUAUUGUAUCCACCCUAAUAAAUAAGAUAUUUUAACACAUUUUAACACCAUUAUGAAUCUAAGAUUUUUUCUUCUUUCAACUCUUAAUAAUUAUCUACUUUUUAUAGAAGGUGGUGGUAUUUGUCUUCUUCUAAAUAUAUUUACUAUCUUGUAUGGCAUAAAAAGAAAUACUUGAAAUAUAGAUUAGAUCUAUAUUAACUUUAAUAGGUGUAAUUAAUAAGUAAUUAGAUUGAUUUGUUUACAAAUAAGAAAGGUUCUAAACUUAUGAUAAUCCAACUUAUUACAAGAAUGAAUAGUCUUUAUUUUGCUACAAAGUAACCAUACCUUGUCAUCUACAUUAAAUUUUAGUUGUUUCUUCUAUUAUGCAUUGGUAUUGAAUUUUUAUUCUUUUUGAGCUUCUUUUAACUACGCCUUCAUUAUUUCAUGUAGCUUUGGCAAACAAUUUGCCAAAUCUUUUGCUACAAGAUUAUCAACUUUUAAAAAGUCAAAGAUAUCUAAUCAUAGUUGGUGACCAUAAUUAGAAGAAAAAAAAAUGUCUAUUAAAUACAAAAAUAUACCAAAUUAUUUUAUGCAAAUUCUACUAUUGGCAUAUGGGUUAUUCAAUUAUCUUGAUGAUAAUUGAUGGUAUACCUCAAAUAUUCCUUCAAAAUUUGUUUUUAUUUGUUUUGCUUGUCCAUCGAUUUGAAAAUAAAAGGUAUAAGAUAAUUUUAUAUCCACUUCUAAUAUCUUAAAAAAGAUUUUCUAAAAUCUUCAUACAAAUUGUGUUCUUAUAUUUAAUAUAAUAACUUUUAGCAAUCCAUGAUGGUAAUAAAUGUUAAUAAAAAAAGCUUAGAUAUUUUUUACCAAAAAUAACUUUUAUACAUGGUAUAAAUUAUAAUAUUUUAGUAAAAUAAUCCAUAAUGACAAAUAUAGAAUCAUAUGAAUUUGAACAUGGAAAAUCCAUAAUAAAAUCUACUAAAACAAAAGACCAUGGUUGUUUUGGAAUAAUCAAUGGUUGGAGAAGUUUAUAAGAUUAAUGAUAAGGAUUUUUUUUUUUUUUUUUUUUUUUUUUUUAACCUUAAGCAAAUACUAUAUGACUAUAUAAAGUCUUUCAAAACCUUUCACAUUUGUGGCUACCAAAAAUCUCUAGAUAUAAGCUCCAAAGUCUUGUUAUAUCUAAAAUGUCCUAUUGCUACAAAGUUGUGAUAAAUGUGAAGUACAUGUAACAAGCUUCUCCUUUUAAAACAUAUAGGUGAUCUUUAAAAUAAAACAAGUUGUUCUUGAACUCAAACUUGGAACUACCAUAAGACUUAGAAGAAGUAUUCUUAUUAUCAUGAAAAAAAAGAUUAGAGGAUAUAUUUGAUUGAAUUUGCUUAACAAAGAUUGAAUCAACAAUCAAUGUUGAUUUUAUUGCUCAAAGAUGAAGUUACUUGAGCUUGAAGAUGACUAUUCUUUAUAGAUCAAAAGCUACAUCUCCUUCUUUUGGUACACAAUAAGAAUGUCUAGAAAGUAAGUUUGACAAAUUUUAUAGUUUUUCAUGUUAAUAAGUGAUUUUAAAAUCAAAUCUUGAAAAUGACAUAUUCCAACGAGCCUAGCAAUGAUUCAAUGCCUGUGUUGAUAUGAAGUACUUAAGAUUCUUAUAAUCUAUAUAUGCAUUGACUCAACUGAAAGCACUUUCUAAAUAAUGGCAUAAUUUUUAAAAAGAAUCUAUAAUUAUAAGAAGUUUUUAUCAUGGAUUUCAUAAUUAAUCUCUACUAUUGAAAAUUUUCUAGAAUAAAAAGCUAUUAGGUGGAAUUUGUCAUCUAUCCCUAUUUGUGACAAUAUUGCAUCGAAAGCAAAGUUUGAUGCAUCUAUUUCUUGAAAAUUCCAAAAAAAAAAAAAAAACUUAUUUUUUUGCACCAUUUUAAUCUAUUUUCUAAUAAAUUGCAAUACUAAUGGUAUAUCAACAAAAAUACUUGAGUUUUUUAAUGAUAAAUUCCAAUUUCUUAAAAGAAAUCACAUAAUUAUUUCUUUAAGUUUUUUUUUCAAUAUAAAUACCAAAAUUUCAAUAAAUAUCAUAUACAUUGGAUAUGUUUUUUACAUAAGUAUUUUUUUCUUAAAUGUUAAAACUGUAGUGAUAUUUUAAAUCACUGAAUAUUAUUUAAAAUAUCUUCAAAAACUUAAAUAUUGCAUUUAAUUGGGAUUUAUUUUUUAAAAAAGAAAAUCGGUUUAGUAACCAAAGUAUGAUUCUUUAUCUUUUUACAAUAAAAUCAAAUUUCAUUGGAUUUCUCUUAAAUUAAUAGCUACAUAAUUUCAUAAUAAUUAAUAUUAAAUAAUAUUAUUAUAUACUAAUUAAUUGAAAAUAAUAUUAUUAUAUACUAAUUAAUUGAAAAUAAAAUAAAAUAUAAAUAAAUUCUUAAAUAUAAAUUAUUACAAGAUUAUAGAAUAUAAAAGAAAAGUACACGAAUUUUGUUUUAUAUUGAAAGAAAAUUAACUUCUAUAUUAAGUAAUAAAAAUAUGUUUCCUAAGGUUGAAAGAAAAUAAAAAGAUAUUUUAUUUUUAUAAAAUAUUAAAAAUUAUAUAAUUAAAACACUUUUCACAUAUUUGAAAUUGUAUAAAAUAUCAUCUAUUAAAAUUAAAAAUUUCCAUUUAACAAUUUAAAGAUUUUUUUGUCUUUGAUACUUUUUUAUGUUUUUAAUUAAUUCUUAAAUAAAUUAUUAUAAUGAUAUAUUUUUUUAAUCUACACAUAAUUGAAUUUAGAGUAAAAUACUUUGAAAUUAUUACUUAUAAUUUGUAUUUUAUUCUUUUCAUAAAAACUUCCAUCAAACAAAUAGAACCUAUAAUCUCAAGGAAACCUAACUCAAAAUUAAACCCAUUAUUACAAAAUUAAUGUAAAUUAAAAAUAUUUAUAUAUCUAAGUAAUUAUUGUACUAAAUAAUUUUUUAUUAUUUUACUAAAAUAUAUAGUAAAAAAUUAGGUGUAACUUUUGAAUUUAUAAUUCUUUUAUUGAAUUUGAAUUUUACUAUUUUUUUAAUAAAAAAAAAUCAUAACAGUUUUAAAAUGUCAUGGAUUCAUAUAAGAAGUAUUUAGACUAACAUGGUUUUCCAAAAACAUUAUAUAAAAUACGUAAAUUUUAGAAAAAAUUAUAAUUAAAAAAUAGAUUACUCAAUAGUAAGCCUACUUUAAGCUAUGUAUGUAUGCAUGUAUACAAAAGAGACAACUAAUAAAAUUUUAUAAAUACAUAUUUUUAUAAUUUUCUUAAUUAUUAGUGCAUACAUUUUAAAUAAGUAAAUAAACAAAAGAGUUUAAUAUUUUAAAAUUUGGACAUUAUAUUUUGUAUAUUUCUAAAUCAGAAAAUUUUUACUUCUGUAAAUGUUUUAGUUAUCUACUUAAAUAUUUUAAAUCUUAUUUUUGAUAACUCUCACUUCUAGGACCCAAUAUUUAUGCAAAAAAUACAAUUCCUACAGUCCAAGUCCUACAUGUAUUAUCUACAUCACACGAGUCUCUUUACGACAAAAAACAGUACAAGUUUCCCACACCACUCAAAGGUUUUGUUUAUUCAUUUGAUCCUACAACUAAUACGUAUAUAAAAAAAUAAAAAAUAAAGAAAAAAAAAAUUCAGAUAUAAAAUUUUAAAAUAGAAAUUACACAUUUUAUUUUAGAAAAUAAAGCUAUAUGAAACCUACCAUUAUAUUUCACUUAUAGACAUUUUAGAAAAUAAAAAAAUAAAAAAUAUAUGUUAACUUAUGUUAUUUGAUGAAAACAUAAACAAUACAAAAUUAACCUCCAGUAGUCUCUCUCGCUCUCUCGGUAUGUGUAUAUAUAUAUGUAUGUAUAUACAUACAUAUACACACAGUUAUAUCUGAAAUAUUAGUAUAAAAGUGAAAUUGGCACCCUGCAGAGGGCCAAUGCAGCAGUUUAGUUGGGCAAAUGUGAGAGAAUAGAGGCGGGGUUCCAGUUUGGGGGAAGAGAGGCCCGCCACAUUUGGUGGCCCCUGCCAAUACUCCCGCUAUCCCUCCCGCUACUCCUCCUCCUCCACUUCCUCUUCCUCCUAUUUCUAGUCGGACUUGCCUCGCACUGUCUGUGUCACCUCCGCAUCUAUCUGUCUGUCGUUUCUAGCUCCAAUACGCGCCAUCCUGAGCAUAUUUCCGUUUCCGUAAGUAAAUCACCACUUAAAGGCCCCGCGCUGCCCUUCAUCACCGUAACGAUUCCUCUUCUCGUAGCUGGCAGUGGCGACACGGAUGAUCGCGACACCCUUUCUCAUCGGGUUUGUCAUGAGCUCGCAAUGAACGAUUCGAUUCCGCUGUGAGUCCCAAUUCCCCUCCCCGUGCACCUCGAUUUCGUCUCCGGUCAUGCAUAAUUUUACUUGUUGCUUGGUCUCUCGAGCCUGUGUUCUGCUAGGUUGUUGGCAGAAGAGGUGUAAAUGUUGCGAAUUUUUUUGGAGAUGGCUAGAUGUAGUCGGUCACCCCGUGUUAUGCGACGUUGUGCUGGUUUUGUUGCACACGAGGUGUAGUAAUUGGUCUUCAGGCUUGGCGUCGGACUGCUAUUUCGCACCAUGAUCCUAUCGGAAGACGUCUCUGUUAAGAUCUCCCGUCCUCAAUUAUUCAACCGCUGGUUUGUCCCUUGAUUCGUGCCAUAUUCUUGCAUCUUGCCUAACGUUGGUCACUAGGUCAUUUUUGCAGAAAUAAAAAACUGGUUGUGAAGCUGUUGGAAGCGUUUCUUUUGUACGCGAGUCCAUGGUGAGCACCGUGGUCCACACUACCGUACUUAUAAACCUAAAACCCUAAUUGGCUCUGGACAUGGUUAGGUUUUGCACGGCAUUGCUUCGACAAAUUUGUGGAUUCAUAGCUGUGACUCUGUUACUCUAGGAAACUGUGGGUGGGCUUGUUCACCAAAAUUGCGACGUGGCUAGAGUAAGUGGAGCAAGGUGGACGCUUUAGCUCAAUGACAAAGUUGACGAUUCAGGCGGAGGAGCGGAUUUUGGAUGCUGUUCAGAAUACUCGAGAGAGGAAACCGAGUCUGAAGGAAGCUGCAGGAGCGUACAAAGGGUGUGCCCUAUACAGAUGUUCUGUGUCGCAUGCAAGCCUAUGACUACGGGGCGUGCUGGUGGCAGGUAUGGGUUGGCAUGUUGCAUAAAAUUUGUGUUCCAAAGAAACGAUGGAGCAACAUGAUUCCGGGCAAGGGGCAGACACAGUUGUGUCUGUGCCGAUGGCCCUGGGUAUCUCCUCGUCUUCUGCCUCACCUGCUGCCUCCUCCAUGUUGGACGCACAUCGGGAACCUCUUGCAAAGCCUCCGAGUUCCGAGAUUUGGGGCAAGAACGAUGCGGUUAUUUCGUCUUCCGAGGUGCAAGAUGAAGUCACCCACCUUGUCGAGUCGGUGGGGAGACCUGGCGGAGGGUCAGGAGACGGAGGGAUCUUGUUAGCCGAGGAGGUGAACGCCGAUGACAAGGUCGUAGAGAGCUGCAAGAAUAAGGACAUUGAUAGCAAGAAAGGGAGAAGGGNNNNNNNNNNNNNNNNNNNNNNNNNNNNNNNNNNNNNNNNNNNNNNNNNNNNNNNNNNNNNNNNNNNNNNNNNNNNNNNNNNNNNNNNNNNNNNNNNNNNNNNNNNNNNNNNNNNNNNNNNNNNNNNNNNNNNNNNNNNNNNNNNNNNNNNNNNNNNNNNNNNNNNNNNNNNNNNNNNNNNNNNNNNNNNNNNNNNNNNNNNNNNNNNNNNNNNNNNNNNNNNNNNNNNNNNNNNNNNNNNNNNNNNNNNNNNNNNNNNNNNNNNNNNNNNNNNNNNNNNNNNNNNNNNNNNNNNNNNNNNNNNNNNNNNNNNNNNNNNNNNNNNNNNNNNNNNNNNNNNNNNNNNNNNNNNNNNNNNNNNNNNNNNNNNNNNNNNNNNNNNNNNNNNNNNNNNNNNNNNNNNNNNNNNNNNNNNNNNNNNNNNNNNNNNNNNNNNNNNNNNNNNNNNNNNNNNNNNNNNNNNNNNNNNNNNNNNNNNNNNNNNNNNNNNNNNNNNNNNNNNNNNNNNNNNNNNNNNNNNNNNNNNNNNNNNNNNNNNNNNNNNNNNNNNNNNNNNNNNNNNNNNNNNNNNNNNNNNNNNNNNNNNNNNNNNNNNNNNNNNNNNNNNNNNNNNNNNNNNNNNNNNNNNNNNNNNNNNNNNNNNNNNNNNNNNNNNNNNNNNNNNNNNNNNNNNNNNNNNNNNNNNNNNNNNNNNNNNNNNNNNNNNNNNNNNNNNNNNNNNNNNNNNNNNNNNNNNNNNNNNNNNNNNNNNNNNNNNNNNNNNNNNNNNNNNNNNNNNNNNNNNNNNNNNNNNNNNNNNNNNNNNNNNNNNNNNNNNNNNNNNNNNNNNNNNNNNNNNNNNNNNNNNNNNNNNNNNNNNNNNNNNNNNNNNNNNNNNNNNNNNNNNNNNNNNNNNNNNNNNNNNNNNNNNNNNNNNNNNNNNNNNNNNNNNNNNNNNNNNNNNNNNNNNNNNNNNNNNNNNNNNNNNNNNNNNNNNNNNNNNNNNNNNNNNNNNNNNNNNNNNNNNNNNNNNNNNNNNNNNNNNNNNNNNNNNNNNNNNNNNNNNNNNNNNNNNNNNNNNNNNNNNNNNNNNNNNNNNNNNNNNNNNNNNNNNNNNNNNNNNNNNNNNNNNNNNNNNNNNNNNNNNNNNNNNNNNNNNNNNNNNNNNNNNNNNNNNNNNNNNNNNNNNNNNNNNNNNNNNNNNNNNNNNNNNNNNNNNNNNNNNNNNNNNNNNNNNNNNNNNNNNNNNNNNNNNNNNNNNNNNNNNNNNNNNNNNNNNNNNNNNNNNNNNNNNNNNNNNNNNNNNNNNNNNNNNNNNNNNNNNNNNNNNNNNNNNNNNNNNNNNNNNNNNNNNNNNNNNNNNNNNNNNNNNNNNNNNNNNNNNNNNNNNNNNNNNNNNNNNNNNNNNNNNNNNNNNNNNNNNNNNNNNNNNNNNNNNNNNNNNNNNNNNNNNNNNNNNNNNNNNNNNNNNNNNNNNNNNNNNNNNNNNNNNNNNNNNNNNNNNNNNNNNNNNNNNNNNNNNNNNNNNNNNNNNNNNNNNNNNNNNNNNNNNNNNNNNNNNNNNNNNNNNNNNNNNNNNNNNNNNNNNNNNNNNNNNNNNNNNNNNNNNNNNNNNNNNNNNNNNNNUGAGGACGAUGUUGUGAUUGGUGACGUGGCGUUUAGGGGAGGUGUUUGGAAGGGUGGUGUGAUGCAGGGAUGUAGUUUGGUGAUAGGUCAUGAUUGGAGUUGCAGUGCUGAGUGUGAUUUGAUUUGGUUGUGUGUUUUUGAUACCGAAAGCUGGCGGUGGGAGAGUGGUGGGGGUUUGGAAUGGGGUCUGAUGCUGUGAUGUUGUAGGCAUCGAAUGUGGAGGAGCCGAGAAGCGACGAGGGCGUUGCGGUGGGUGGUCAAAACGCUGAAGGGGUGUGGAGAGGUGCGGAGUCGAGAAAUGCAGAGAGGCCGCUGUCUGAGUUGGAGGUGAAGGCGAUUGUGGCGGCGGAGGAGGCACGGGCUGCAGCGGCUGCAGCUGCAGAGGUAGGUCUGAGGGUGAUGCAUGAAGUUGAUUGUGGGUGAGGUGUUUGCAGUCGGAAUGGAGAAGAGGGAAGGUGCGAUGGUGGUGGUGGUGUGGGUUGUGUGCGUGGAAUUGUAGGGGUAGUUGUGAUGUAGGUAGAUAGUGGAAAGCCAGGUGACAGGCAGGUCGGGAACGUUGAGGGCUUGUGUGAGAUGGCAUGCAGUAAUUAGGUUGGGGUUGUGACGUUUGCAGGCGUACGCACAAGUGGAGGCUCAGCGAAAGGCUCUUCCGGAGCUGCCAAAGAUCUUGUCGUUUCAUAGGUUUGCAAAGCGCGAGAAGGAGGAUAGUAUGGACUGGAAGACGAGAAGCUGGCUGGGGAUGGGUGAGAAUCCUGCAGGCUCCAGCGCAGGCGCAGGUCCAGCAGGUAUGGACGGAAUGGUGGAUGUGAGUUUCGUGGAGGGAUGGCAGGGAUAGGUGGAGGUGAAGACGAGGGAGGCGGAGUGUGAUGGUGACAUGAAAGUUGAGGCGGGGUGUGGGGUGUGGGGUGUGGGCGUGAGUUUUGAGGGCGGAUGUUUUAGUUGACGCAGUCGGCGUAAGGCGUGCAGGUUGAGGUGGAUAGGAGUUUGGAUCGUUGAGGUUGCGGGUGGUGUUGCUUGGUGUAGAUGUUUUGCAAGGAGUUAGUGGGAAGCAUGGUAGUAGGUUGUGUGGUGGGGGUUGCAGGAGCGGAUGUGUCGGUAAUGAUGGAGGAUUGUUGUCGUUCAGGUUUGGAGCAGAGAGUGGCACAAGAGAACAGCUGUGUGUGGUCUGAGCAGGGGAAUGGGGGUGAUGGUACGGGCGGAGUGCAUCAAAGUACACCAAGCGAGCAGGGCGAUGGGUCGGUUUCGGGUGUGCCGGCGUCAAUGGUGGCUAGUAGCGACACGAAUGGGCACGCGGAGACUCAGGCGGAUGGAACGGGAAGGAGCGGAGAUGUUGGGAAAGCGGCGGAAGAUGUUGUGUUGAGUAGCAGUUGUGCGAGAAUGGAAUCGUUAGGCACAGGAGAGGAGGAGGGUGGUUGUGGAACGGAGGCUGCGGCAGGUAGGGUGGAGGGCGCAAGCACAGCGUGUCCAGAUGUGGGUGGUGCGGAGGCAAGUGCGGCCCCUGCAGAGAAGCGGGGAGGGGCGGACGCAAUCAAGAAGGCGGUGUCAGACUACGUGGUUCAGCUGUUGACCCCUCUGUAUAAGACGAGGAGGAUACAGAAGGAAGACUUCAAGGCCAUAGUGAAGAAGUCGACUGCGAAGGUGAGAAGGUGGUGGGUAGUGUGGGGGGAAGGCAACGAAGGUGUGAUGGGAAGUGUACGGAGAGGGAGUGGAUAUGGGAGGAGCGAACGAGUGUGUGAAGUUGUAUUGGUGAAGUUGUAUUGUGCAGUAUUGGUGGAGUUAGUGAUGGGAUAGGAAUGAGUGUGAACGAGGAGUUGAGCGUGACUGAGCGGUGGGUGGUGUGCAGGUGAUGGACCGGAACACUGCAAGGGACAACAGCAUGGACGUCUCUGAGUUUUUGAACAUGAAGCGGAAAGUGAAGGUGUGGUGAUGAAUGGUCUUUAUUUUUUAGGUUUUUGGUAGUGUCUGUUGCAUGUCAAGGGUUUUCUCGAGAAUUUGAAUUUGAAUUGGAUUGUCGGUUGGAUUAUCUGGACGUUCCUGACAACAUUGUGAGCGGGUGCGAUAUGUUAUCUGGAGUCUGAGGAAGUUUGGUGAUUGUUGUGUUGCAGAUACGAUCUUUGGUGGAUAUGUUCAUAGAGAAGUAUCUCAAAGGUGAAACACAUUGACGUUGUAAUAUUGGUGCGAGAGUCCGCAUAUUUAAGGAUCAGAUUAUGUUGCGCAGAUUUUUUUAUGAGAGACUGGGAGUUUUAGUAUUUGAGCAAGAGCAUUCUUCAAUCACAUUACUUGUGAUAUUUAUUGUUUGUAGUGGUUUUAUUCAAAUUUGUUACGAGUUACCAGUAUGAAUUGUCAUGGCACCAGGUACGGAAAUGUACAAACAUGGUUUAAUCACUUCUGCACUUCUCUGUCCACGGGAAAAUGAAUUAAAUUUUCUGUAAAAUGAAGAGCUCAAUUCUCAGGUUGCAACUGUCACGAUUCGGACUGUGUAUGCUAUAGAUAGUCUUACUCAAAUGAAAAUCCCUAUGCUAAUGUUUCACAUGCCAGGACCGCCACCUAGGCCAGGUGGCAUUCCUAGGCUCUCCGCUAAAGUCUUCAUACGCUCCUUCAUGGCCUGUACAUUUUUUUAAGGGGCAGUCAAAUUAAAUGGAUUAUCACACGUCAAAUCCCUCUAUUACAUCUGGAAUUGCAACAAACAGUAUGGUAAAAACAGGAAGAUACCUUUGAGUUUUGAUCAACGUAUCAAACAGUCUCGAGGCUUGCUUCUAGUUAUAAGUGAACAUUACUAUGAAACCAUGCCUAGUUCUAAUGACAUUUAACAGCAUGAAAUGAUACUCUCAAUUGUGGGAGAUAUAUUAGAGGAGAGCUUCCGUACCGCAACACUUUUCGUGUGAGCAUCCUUGUAUGCUUGGUUCACCAACUCAGAGAGAACCUGCAUAUACAAAGAGUCACAGUUUCAUCCUUUCUGACAUGGUAAAAAACGAAGUGAACAACUAAGCAUCUGUUUUGAAAUCAUAUAUGAUGACAAAUUGCUACAUUUAAGAUGCUACUCACAUCAGCGCCCCUUUCCAAGGCGGCUUCGGUAAUCUCAACCCGAACAGGUUCUUGGUUGCCUGAUAAGGUCACUCUCACAAGCUCGUCGUCACAGUAACCGUCGAACUCCGCACUGCGUGUAUGAAGGGUUUUCACGACUCAGCUACUAGAUCAACGUUCUUCGCUUAUACCCUAAAUGAAAUCGCAAUGCAAAGCCAAACCAGUCGUAUAUAAAACAACAUGAUCAUGAUAUCCUUGAACUUAGUUAGCAUUUCAGGCCUACCAUGUGACAGUAUCAAUAACACACAGGAACAGCAGCGUUUAAGAACGUACGCAGCAAGCUCUUUCUGGACGCGGACAGCCUCGACUUGAACUACCUGUUGGGCUUUCCUCACUGUGUCAUAUAGACCCUGCAUGUUCCCAAGCAUGUUUCCUAACCCUUGCUGCAGCACAAAGUAAAGAGAAUGUGACAGGUUCAUGUUAGUAACGACCCGAACAAGGUGAUGCACUUAGUGAUUUCAGAAGCUUUGUUUAUGUCGUCUAAGUGCAGAGACCUCAGAAGAAGCAGAAAUAUUGGAGAUUGAUGUGAAAGCUUACACAUUCAUUUCAUCACAUUACCUAUCAGCAAGCCCUAGGAGCCAUAAUGGCACAGCGCAACAGGACAUCAAACUACAUAUAUAAAAGAAGAUCAACCUCAGCACUUGCAGGACGAAUCAAGUUGAAGAAGUCUUCUUAAUCCAGAUCAAUGACAUAUUAUUGUAACAACCGCGUGAAGAUGAAUGCAUUGCGUGCGAAAUUCACCUUCUUGGCGGCAUCGUCUGGGUUCUCCUCUUUUUUCCCACCCCACAAGCUGGUAACGUUCAGAGAGCGCUGAUUAAAGCAGAAUGACCGAUGUGUUCUCUUUAAAAAUACAUUUGAAACCCUAUAACCUGUACAGAACAUCAAGACGUUAAUUCAUAAUCUUAUUCAAACAAAACCUCAAAGUAAUUGAUCCAUACAUUAUCGAACAAGCCGAAUAAGAUGUGACCACCCAAUGUGCAGGACCUGCUCAUUGCAAGAGAAAAACACAGAAAAAGAGCCUCUUUUACGAUUCUCAAUCCACCAGUGAACUUUUAGUCCAAAAAGUAGAUUUCUUUGCUAACAAAGCAGGAACUUAUUCUAUGAUUCUCUCUGCCACAGUUCAACAUAACACAUUUUUAAAGAGAAUACACCAAUUUGAGUUCACUUGAACCCCGCACUAGAUGAGAUUGAAGAUUCCCAGCGUUCUUGACAUAGAAGUACUAAUUCAAUUAAAGGUGAAAUUGGGAAAUAGUCUAGUUGCAGCUUAAUACAUGGCCACCAAUCGAAAUUACUACUACGGCACUCACAAACUUGACACAAAUGCAGACACUAAGAGUGAAUAUUUAAACAAACGAGUCUCUAAGAAGGUCAAAUAGGAGAGAGAAAAUUAUAAUGACCCUCACUAAAACUCGGAGGUGCUCGAGAAACGGGGAUGCACAGAAGCAAAACAAAAGGAGUGAAAGGAAGAGUUCGAAUUUCUAGGGCUCCCCAAACCCCAAGCUGUACAGGCACUAAUCAGGGCUUCAACCUCAAAAAUACAUUCAGAAGCUAAAUUCGAGACUUCUAAUUCACCAAACAGAGGUUUCAGAAUCGAAGGUAACCUAAUUGCAGUUCAAAACGACAAGCACAGAAUCUCUUGAGUAACAAAAGAAAUCACAAUUCAGCCAGCCAGAAAAUAACACAACAAAUCCUUUCAAUCUACACACAACCUACACAACCUCGUCAGCGCAAAUGCUCACAUUAGCCCUGGAAAACCCAAAAUCCUGUUCCACACUCUACUCUCCAACUCCAUAUCCACAAACACACAACCUCGUCCUCAUCCUGGUCCUACACUUCCUCGAAAAAGUCCAAAUCCACUGACCACAGAUUCACCUCAAAAACCCCAACUCAGAAUCCUCCAGUGCGAAUCCCCUGGACACUUACCGAAGGGGGAUGAGGAAGAUGAAGCACCAGCGGGGUUGAGCUGUGGGAAGACAGACACUCCAGUAGCAGCCCCGGAUACACACGCCAUCGCUUGCUGGGAGGUAUUUAAUUCAAACCCCACUCUGAUUCCAGCUAGCCCAGCUGCAAAAACCUCCCCUCGCGUCGCGUCACGUCACGGCGCUUGUCGACGAUGGAAGGGGGAAGUGGGGGAGGGGCGGAUGCGCGAGGAGGGACACGAAGGGAAGGGAAGGAAGGAAGGCUGUGAUGCACUGGGCCAGCCCCGGAGAUACAAGGGUCGGGGAUAAGGGCAUACAAAACCGCGUCUCUCAACGCCGCUUUCCCCCGGGGUCCGAUUCCUCCCCCCCCAAUGGCCGCGGGCUGCUCCUCCGAGAGGCCUUCCACUGCUACCCCACUGGAGGAAUCUUUAAGUAAAUAUAUAUAUAUAUAUAUAUAUAUAUAGAGAGAGAGAGAGAGAGAGAGAGACAAACAUCAAAUUUGAGCAUCUUGUUUAAUUAAUGUGAAAUAAGUAGAAGAUUUUUUUUUUCUUUUUAAGUAAAAAAAGUCCUAUCUAUGAUUUGUAAUAAAUCUGUUCCCACUUUUACACAUUGAGACACAUAAAUUAACAAAAAAAAAACAAAAAAACAAAAAAACAAAAACAAAUUGGAAUAUAAGUUGUAUGUGAAAGAAGACUUCUGAGAAAAAUAAUGUUAAUCUAGGUUUUAAUUAAAGACUACUGAAUUUCAAUAGAAAGUAGAUGCUGUAUUCCAAAACUGAUUUGCUGUUAAAUAUCCAAAAAUAUUAAUAAUUAAUAUAAUUUAUUAAUUAAGUCAAUAAAACUUAUCUUUUAAAUUUACGUUUAAGAAAAAAAAAUCAUAAUAGCACUUAGAAUUAAGAAUUAUCUUUACGAAAAAAAUAGUGUAGUAUUGGAAAUAAGCACCAUGCAUUGAUUGAUAAUACUUUGCUAAAUGACUUCUGAAUACAAUUAUUUUGGAUGCAAUCAAGUCAACAUAGUUACUAAAAACAUUACAAGAGAAAUAAAAUUAAAAAAUCCAUUAUUAAAUUUGAUCGUUUUAAAAUUCUAAAGAUGUUUUUAUGAAUGUUGAGAACGAUAAUAAGAUAUUCUACUAAUAUCAUGAAGUUUACAACAACCAAAAUUGUCUGUUGGUGUUAAGGUGGAGGUGCUACUCUACAAAUUGGCCUAUCAUUUUCUGAUGACAACGAAUAUGUGUAAUACAAAGCACAUAUCCUCUUCAUAAACUCAAGCUUCCCACCUCACUUGUACCAGGCAUGAUAAUCAUGUAUUAUUUUACUAUAGUCUUCAACACAUCUUGUUGUAGAAUGAAAGCUAAUGAGGAUGUGCUAAAACGUGCGUCUCGGAGCUUAGAAAUGGAUCGAGUCUAAAGUCGAAUCCUGAGCUAUUUUUCUUUACAAACCGACCCUGCAGUUCAAAGAGGGAAAACCACAUUCAAAUUCACGAUCGAUACCGGGAGGAAGUUUUUUGAUCCCGACGCAGACAUAAUCGCAAAAUCGUAACGAACUUCGUAACAAUUACCUUCUACAGAUUAAACUUGCGGUGAAGCACACAUUUGAACCUACACAAUCGAUCGGUUUCUUCCGGCUCUAAUGAAUCGGAGAUACUGGUGGAGGACUGACCUUCAUUCGAGGUCGCUUUUCGGCGUUGAGCUUCCUAACUUCAUAUCUGAUUCUCUUCGAAAAGAGUCUGCUCCGCCUUUUCUCUUUGAAUCUCAUCACACUAGCCUCGCGGCUUCCUUGGCAAUCAUCAGCGCCUUCCUGCGCCAUGUCAGGCACUAGUCCAGCGUCCUGAAGAGGGCAAGGAUCAGAGGAUUUCAAUCACAUUGCUCGCUAGUGUUUCUAUGAAGCCACUUCUGUUAACAAACCCCCGAGCAAUUGUUGAGAAUCUGCUUGAACGGAUUUCCCUAAUAUACCUACCGUGGCAUCCGAGGUACAAUCAUGGGGAUAGAACCAAGGCUCGCCUCUAUCGGACCAAGCGGUAAUGACGUCUUCAUAAUUCAAUCGCAGCGUGGGAGCUAGGCCUAAGUUUACUUCACUUAGACCUUCCCGGCAGCACAGCAAAAUCUCCUUGGCUUCUUUCUUGAUGUUCUCAGGAGUCAAAUGCAUCUUCUUCUCAUUCCUCGGAAUUUUCGAAAAAAACUUAACGAAAGGACCAGUGCGAAAUUGGUCGUUUUCUGCUCCGACUAGAUUAUAUUUGGAGGAAAUACCUGUAAAACGAAGAAGACUAUGUCUCUAUGUUACGAGGAUCGCUGAAUACCGCAUCAGAAAACCGAAAUGUAAAGUUCAGCCACACUGCUCAAAAGUCGUCAGGAUGCUGCUGAAAAACUUACCUCCCAUUUCAGAGGUAUCCGCGCCAACUCCUUCAAAGGCCCUCGGUAAGGUAUCAUGAAAAGCAAAGUCAAAACUCAAACUAUCGCCGACAAAUUCUCGUGAGCCAAAAUCCUCAAACCCGCUGAGUCCGGGAAUAUCAUUAGAAAUGAAACAUGCAUCUCCGGCAACGCUAAUGUUGCCAUCCAUGUCGCAGCAAAUGUUGAUUCCGUCGUCAAAUGCAUCAGGUAAAAAGAACUGGUCUGAUGUGUCAUCGUCAGGGAAGCAAUCUUCUUGGGCAGCUUUCCCUUUGAAGAACGCGGCUAAAGAGUCCGACCAUGGAGAGCUUCUAACCUCUUGAGAGUCACUGCGCAACUCCUGGAAGAAGUCUGAACAAACAUCCAACUCCGAGCUCGAUGGCGAGGAAUCCUGCAUCACCACGAUAAGUGAUGGCACUUUUUGGGUAACAUCAACCAGGAAAUUCUCGGUUUCAAAAGUCUCUGAAAACAUCAAGAGGUCUUCCUUCAUCUUCGCAUCUCCCUCCUCCAGCUGGUUGGGAGCAUGUUUGGCUCCAGGAGAGUGCUUGGCUUGACGAAAAGGAUGAAGCCUACAGGUCCUAAAUCGCUUUCUGGAUGGCAACACGUUCACUGGAGGUGCUUGCAGCUUCUUAGACAUGGUUGGUUUUCGUAACAGUAUUUCUUUCGCAUUCUUGGUGUCAGGAGAGUCUUUUCGAGCUAAUAUGGUUGACUCUGCGUUCGGAGUGAGUGGAACUCGCUCAUGUCGCUGGGCGAGAGCAUUAGCAGAAUGCACUUGUAUGUCGCACUUCUCGCAAAGAUAUGCUCUAUCAGCGCCGCAGUACCAACGUGCACUCUUGUUCAUGCAUACGUCGCAGGCCCGCGACGCUUGUCCUGCUAUCGCCAUCGCAGUGACUAUCGACUUGCAGGCUGUCCUGGUUGUCAUCUCUACAGUAAAUCUUUACCUAACUGUUCUCUUAUCAAAAUCCGAGUGUUUUUCGCCCACAAAUGGAACUCAGCUGUCGAAAUCUUCCCAUGAUCACGAAGUUAAUAAGAUUUACAAGCUUAGCACAUUCAGCAAAAAGUCUCUAAAGCCAGCCAUGUUCAAAAUUGCAGCAAUCGUGCUAUUCCAAACGGCAGUUCUGGAUCACUUCAGUGCUACUGAUUCGCGGCUCUUAUUGACGCAGGUCCUCACUUCAAAAGUAAAACAAACUAUAAGUAAUGCUCUAGAAUUCAAUUACAUAAAUUUUGAAAAAUAAAUUCACAGCAAUCCUUCCGAAAUGGUGACUGUAGACAAAUCAUCAUAGUUCGUUCAAUCACGACCUGUUUCAUAUUUCUUCAGACGACGGAAUAGGGAUACAACUGACGACACAAUUACCCUGAUUCCCGUCAACCUCGAUAAAGCUACAUCACCACAAAAACAAUAUUUUUAAAAAUAAAAAUAAAAACAAAAAAUAAAAAACCGAGGAGAAAAAAGAGAAAGUAGAAAGCCAACGGAGAAACACACCUUUGUCGAUGCUGAAGAUGACUGCUAAAUUUCAACGAAUUCGACGAUCGAGGACACACUGGUGACACAUUUGGUACAUCUCACUUGGCAAAACACACAACCACAUUAGAACUCAACCCUGCGAUGGACACACUACACAACAAUAGAACGAUUCUUCAAUGUAGGAGAAAAACGGAGCAGUGACUCUCAAGUACGAGCUCUGAGCAUUGGCACAAGCCUGGCCCUGGCAGCUCUCAACUGGAUACUUGCAGCUACUCAUUCCGCGACAACUCGGUGGAAUUCUGCAACUCCUGUGGCAUUCUCGGAAGGCGCUACAGGCCUGGUUCAGACGGGGAAGCGCUGCUGCGCCUGGCCUAAAUUUUGCUCAGCCCUGUCUCACGAACUGCAGAGGGGGUGGAAUUGAGUUUUGGCCAUUAUUGGCGGUGUAUUGAUUUGUUUCGGUGGCAGUGGGAGCAAUCAUCUGUCUUCUUUACUCAUCUAUUGAAGUUAGGCGCUCCGAGAAAAAGAUUGACAGCAUUCCGUUCCGCAAAACGGGAGUCGAGUCUAAUCCCCAUUUUUAUUUCCAUUUUGUUUUUUUUGCACGGGAGGGGUUUAUCCGGUUUCGGAUAGCGAAUAAAUAUCCCUCUGCUAUAGUGCUCUGUGCCAUGAAAUUAACAAACAUUCCUUGAGCAGUCCCCUUUGUACAUUCCGUGUCUUCUCCAGAGACCAUUAUAUAAUACUUUUUACAAUAAAAUGAGAUGUUGAUGUCAUUCUGAAGCGGAUUCUCAAACCAGGGACAACAAUUAAAAGGAAAAUGCUCAGCAGGACUAAUAAUCAUGGGAUGUAUGGCUAUACACAACUCACAUUUACAGGGGAAUGAGACUUGCAGGGUGUAUUAAUAAGUGGGAGUAUGAUGGCACAAUCUGACCUAUGGAUAAGCUACUAUUCCCUGGCAGAGGUAAUAAUUUGGGCUUGUUUGGGCUAUCAGAGUUGGUUUCAGAAAGGGGAAUUAUAUGCCUGUCGGCUCCAUACAGGCACACCCAUCCUUACUUACUUUUUUUUCUUUACUAUAUGUUAUUUUUUACUUCACUUACUUGGGCAUUAGUGCCAAUGAGAGUGAAAGAACUAACUAUGAAGAGCCUCAGUUCCGGGGAGAGGAUUGUGGAUGGGACACUCUCUAGCAAUUAGGUCACCAUUCCACAUCACCGCCUGCUUGUAAGGUAAAUUUCAAACUUUGGCUUAUCUUAUUCCUCCCAUCCCACCUGACAAUAUUACUCCAUGGUUAUGAUUUUCAUACAAGUACCCAAUAUUAAUAAACAAAUGACCUAGGAGAUUUUUUUAAGAAAUUAAAUCAUAAUAAUUUUUGUAUAGACUUAUUCUAUUUUUGAAAUCUGUCCAUGUUACCCUAGCAAUUAGAAUAUAUGUCUAUUAUGCUUAUGGAGUCUUCAAACAUUAUUGUUGUUUGAGUUUCAAGGAUUAUUUUUAAAUUAUUUUUUAUUAUUUAUUAUUUUUUUUGGUGUUGGUUAUGAGUUUUCAACAAAGGCUUAGAAGGCUACCUUGAUUACAACUGAACACUUCCUUUUAUUUUCUACCUCAUUCUUUAAAUUAUUUAAUUGGUAUAAAAUGAUAAUAUUUGUGAUUUUUUAUUCUAUUUGAAUAAUUAAGUCCACCAACUUUAAAAAAUAAAAUAAUAAAAUAAUAAAAUAUUUAUUAGAUGAUACAUGAGGUGAUUUUUCUAAGGAUUGGAUCAUAUGUUGUAGAAUUUAUUAAUGAAAUUAAUUUAGUAGAUUAAAUGUGUUUAGUUUAUUAGAUCUUUAGUUAAAAGAAGUAUGACAAUUUAAAAUCCUUUAUUUAUUGAAAUUUCUUUCUAAAAACUGUGAUUUUAAAUAAACAUUAAAAAUAUCAUAUUGUGUCCUAAAUAAUAUUCAGAAGGAGUGAUUGAUUGUAGAAAGAAAUCAUUUUAAUCUUACACCCUUUUGUUAGUGUAGUAUUUCUUUGUAUUUUUUAUUUUAAAUAUUAUAUUUUUAACAAGAUAUUUUAAGUUCUUUUUGUCUAUCAAUUUAUUAAAUUAUUAUUUUAAAUAUUUUUUAAAACAUUUACAAAAAAAAUCAAAUGAUAUUUAUUAUAAAAUUAUAUAUAAAAGGUUAUUUUAAAAUACUUAAGAUAAAUUUAAUAUCCAAUAUAAAUUUUAAUUAAUCUUAAUAUUUUUAUCUUUGAUAAUAAUUAAAUUUUAUACUUAUUUGUGUUAGAAAAUCAUGAUUUUUUAUAUGAAAACUUAUUUGAUUUAAAUUAUAUGGUUUCUAUAUUUCAUAAUUAAAACUCAAAUAAUCUAAAAAAUCUAAAAAACUACAGCAAAGAAAUAUUAUCAAUAAAAUAUUAAAAUUUGAAUUUCUUUACAUUCUAAGAAGAAAGUUAAAACUAUUAAGUAUUUGUUUAGAGUUUCUAAAACUUUAAUUAACUUAUAUGUAAAAACUAGUAUUUAAUUAGAAAAAUAUUUUAAAGAUCUUAAAAGAUUUUAAUGCUAAAUUAAUAAAAAUAGAAAUUAAUAUUUUAUAUUAUAUUUUAAAUAAAUCUAAUAAAUCUAAAAUUAAUUAAAAUAUAUACAAUUAAAUUCUAUUUUUUUAUAUUUUUUAAUAUUAUUAGAUUACAUAUUUAUGUUAUCUUGGAAUAUAAACUAAAAAACAACAAAAUUCAUAAAUUUUUAUAUUAAAGUAGAUAUAUGUGUUUUAUUACAAAAUACAUUUGGCCAUAUGAUUUUAAUUUAUGCCAAAAUAAACCUAAAAUAAUUAGAUUGGAGGAAGAUCUAUUAACAUUAAAUAUUACUAAGCUAUUACAUGCAUUGGUUGUUACAUUUAAAGAAAUAGUUUUAUGGAUAACAUCUUUAAAAGACAACAAACAACCAUUUAUGACUUUUACAUGUACAUACUUAAUUUUCUUAACUAAAGACAUUUCAUGUUUUUUAACAAAGUUUGUAUUUAUGAAAUAAGGUGAGGCUCUUGAAUCUAAUAAGGUAGAUGCUUUGUACUUUUUUGGUCCUAAACAAGCAUCUAUUAUAAAGCAAGGUGAUAGAUCUGAGAUAAGAAUAGGACCUUUAUUGCUUAAGUUUCUAGUUGCAUGGUCCCUAUUAUAACUAAAGAAAUUUAUUUUUUAACACAUUGUCCUCUUUGGUAACCAUGCUCUUUAUUUUGUAAUUACAUUGUUUUUUUAGAUAAUAUUGAACAAUGUGCUUAGAUGCUCUAUAAUAUAAGCACAAUCCUUUUUAAUGGCAUCAAGUCUUUUCUUAUUUACUAAAGAAUUUGAAACAUAUCGUAUCAAUUUACAUAUGUUCCAACCUUAAUAAAAAGUUUUUAAAAACUUAGGAAUUGUUGUCAUGACUUGUAACUUUUCAACCAAAUCUUUUUUUUUGGUAUCUUUUAAAAAUUUAAUUGUUGUAUGAAAUGGCUUAAGCAAUAAAUUAUUCUAAUGAAUUUUCUUUCAACAUUAUCAACAAUAAGUCUUUGAAAUUAUCCUUUAAUUCAUAUCAAAAUUAAUUUAUAUGAUUUUUGUCAUUCUAAUUGACAUUGCAAGCACGAUUUUAGAAUUUAAUAGUAUAUUUGAUGAUUGAAUAUGAUCUUUGUUGUAAAGAUAUAAAUUUGGUCUAUGCUAUCUUUUUUUAAUUACUUUCUCUAAAACAAGAACUAUAUGUUAGCACUUUUAUCAAACUAUCAAGAAUAUGAAUCAUAAAAAUCAAAAAAUCAAUUCACUCUUGUGUCAAUAGAAAAGAGUGAAUAAUCACUCAAAGAUGGUAUAAUAUAACAUUAAAAUGGCUAUUACCAAUAGCAAGAAGUCUAGAGGCUCUUGAGACAAGAUUAAAGACUAAAAAGACAUUAAGAAGAGUGAAGAAAGCUUCACUCUUACCUCCAUAUCUAUAUAUAUAUAUAUAUAUAUAUAUAUAUAUAUAUAUAUUAUCUAAUUAGGAACUAAAUGUCAACGUCCUAUGCAAUCUCCAACACGUGUCCAACUUGCAAGACAUAUGUUUAAUUUAUAAAAUAAGUUUCUUUCAUGUAUACCACGUGGUUAGCUUAUACUAUAAGCUACAAGUAUACGUAAUAUGUGGCUAACUUGUUGGCCAAGUUUCUAACCUAUCAAUCAAUUAUAAAUAUGUAUAAAGUCAAAUCCAUGUCAAUAUAACUUCUAUGAAGCUUCACCAUAAUAUAUUAUUAAAUUUAUAUAUAUUUAUUUUUUAUCUAAUAUUUUUUAUUUAAGUCAUUCAUGUAUAUUUGUCAUAUAGUCUUUAUGCCAUGGUAUGAAAUACCAUCAAUGGCUUAGAGGAUCUAUCAACUACUUUUAAAGAAAACAAAGAUCAAAGUAUGUAGCAAAUAUAAUUUGACACAUCUUAAACUUCUUCAAUAUGUGAUUACUAUCCUUUAUAGAAUUCAUCUUUAGAAGAGGGAAUAGUAUCAAAGACAUCCAUAUUUACUUCAAUAAUUACCUAAAUAAUAUGAAUAAAUAGAAGUACAUAAAAAUAAAUAAAUUUGAUAAUAUCUUACAGAGGAGUUUUUCAGAAGCUUUAUAGAUGCAGCUUUGCUUUUAUACAUGUCUAUAUGUGAUUGGUAGGUUAAAAACUUAGAUAUUAAGUUGGCUACUUGUCACAUAUAUUAGUGACUUGUGAUACAAGUUGGACAUAUUGUAUACAUAUAAAAAGCUUAUUUUGCAAGUUAGACAUAUAUUUUGCAAGUUAGACAAGUGUUAGAGGUCUUAUAAAACUUUGCCAUGUAGUUCUUAGUUAUAUAGUAUAUAUAUGCAUAUAAUAAUGAGGUCUACUUGAGUCUUAUCAAUCUUUUUUUUUUUAUUCUAGUUUAAUUUCAAGGAUCUCUACUUUUCUUGUCUUUUGAUAAUAUCCAUUUUAAUUUCUUUCUGAAUAUACAUAUUUACUUAUUUCUUUUUUAUCAUCUUUUUUUAAAAAAUAUUUCACUUGUUUAUUCACAUUCAUCAAGUUUUUAACUUUGACAAAGGGACAUAAAUCACAAACAUUUAAAACUUCAAUACAUUCUUAUUUUUUUUUAAAUAGAGUAGAUUUUUAUUCAAAAAUAGUAUAGUAUCAAAAUUAAAAUAAUUAUUUAUAAAGAUGAGAAGAUUAAAGACUCUUGAAAUGAGACUAAAAAUAAAAAAUAAAUUAAUAAGAGUGAAGAAAGAUUCAUUUUUAUCUAUAUAUACUAUCUAAUUAGGAGUUACAUUGUUGGAGGUAAAUGAGUUUUCUUGAUGAAAAUAUAGGGUUUUUGGUUGCAACUAGAUAUGAUCAAACAUUGCCUUUUAUUCAAAUAAAUUCCACUACCUCAUAUGAAUAUGGUGGCUUUCAAUAGUAUGUAAUAGCUAAUAUUCCUUUUUUCAUUCAAAUAAAUACCAUAUUUCUAUACUUCAUUAGAUUUUAGCAUGUAAUAGCUCUUUGAUACACUCUUCAACUCAUAUAUAUAUAUAUAUAUAUAUCAAAUCUCACUUCCUAAAAUUUUGUAUAACAUAUUUUAUGAGCAAAUAAAGCCAUCAAUAAUAUUAACACAAGGCAAAUGAUUUUUAUUUAUUAAAAAAAAAAAAAAAAAAAAAAAAAAAAACCUUCGGAGCUUCUUAUCAACUUUUCUAAAAAAAAAGGAGAGCUUUUUUAAAAACUUAUAAAGAGGGGAAUAACUCUUCAAAAUUUCAAAUCCAAAUUCAAAAUACCCUAUGACAAACCCUUCAAAGAGGGAGUAGCUAUCCUUAAGGAAAAAAGAGCCUAAGUAAAAGAGAAAGAGAAAGCUAUCCAAAAGUCAAUACCAACCUAUGUCACUCCCCCUCAGCCCAUAUUUCUUUACUUCAAUACCAUAUCACACCAUCUCAAGAUCAUACCAACCUAUCUAAACUAAAACCAAUUUUAAUUUUAAUUUAAUUUUAAUUUUCCUUAAUUAUAAACCAAAUUUUGUGAACAUUUAAAAUAAUUUUAAAUAUCACAUCACUUAUUGAUAUGACAAUGUGGCAAUGUUCUAAAGGACCUCCAAUAUGUAUCCAACUUAUAAUACACGUUGUCAUAUAGCAUGAUUUGCUAUUUGGGAAUACACUGGAUAUCUAGCUAUAGAGAGUUUAGCUUAAACUUUUAUAUGUAUCUUGUCCUAGCUUCCAAAAAUCCUUUAUUUUGCACAAAAUUCAAAAAUAUAGCAAAAUCUCUUCAAAACAUAUUUUUUCGGUGAAGGAUUUUUUCUUCUUGAAAUUUAGAAAUUCAUAACUCUUGAUCUAACCAUUCAAUUUGUUUCUAACUUAUAGAGUACGUAGAAUUUAUCCUUAAGUUUUAUCUCGAAAAAACCAAUUGCAAAAUCACUUCCAAUCUUCUUGCAUCUAAGAAAUCUUAGUAGAUGCUCUAAACUCUAAUUUAUAAGCACCUAUGCACUAUUUUCUUAAUAUCUCAAGAACCCAAUACUCAAAUGCCAUCAAACUUAUGUACAAAUUUACUAACAUGAAUAUAUAUAUUCUUUGAAAUUUUGAGCCAAAACCUUGUCAAAUGCUCAAGAUAUAGCUCAAAACACAACCACCAAUAAAUCAGGUCACUUACUACCCUUAGAUUGUAUGCAUUGACUUCAAAAUCUAAUAACUCCUUUACUUCAACUUGGAAUCUAGCAAUCAAUAUACAAAAAGUGUAGCCGCAAAAGUGCUUUCUCUAGUCGCGAUCGCCGAUCUUCAAUUGCCCUCCAUAUACAUACGUUAUGUCAAAUAUAAUGACAGUAGCUCCCAAAUCAACACCUUAAGUUUGAGUGCCUAUAUCUCCUUCAUAUAAACUCCAAAUCAUACAAGCUUUGCACCAAAACCAUAGCCAAAAUCCUAAAAUUGCUGACCCUAGCCUUCAAAGCUCAAAUGGCCCUAAAAAACUAACCCUAAUCUCUAAUAUGGCCACGGGCAGCCUCCUCAUAGCCAAUUGGUCAUGAUUUUUGACCAAUAGGAAUGAAGAUUUGCAUCAUCCAUCUCCAUUCUUCUAUAUUGGUGCCCUAAUUACUUCCUUUGCUAUUAAAACACUUCUUCAACCCUUUUUCUUGUAAGAUUUACAUAAUUUAUGCUCUAAACACCAAAUAAAAUAACCAAAAUUAGUUUUCAAAGGUGUCACGGCCAUAAUCAUGUAAGCUAAUAAUUACAUAUAGAAAUAGGUAGAAGUAAGUAAAAGUAGAUAAAAGUAAGUUAAUUGUAUAAUAUUUAAUAUAGAAGCUUCCUAGAAACUUCCUAGACGCUGCUUUGACUUCAUAGGUGUCUUUAAUUGACUUUUUGGAUUAGAAACGUGGUCAACAAGUUGGCCAUGUGCCACACAUGUUGUUAGCUUGAAGAUCAAGCUAACUAUGUGGCCCACACGUAGAAAAACUUGCCUUGUAAGUCAAGGCAUGUGUCCUACAAAGUCAACACAUAUUGGAGGUCCUAUAGAAUGUCGCCACGUAGCCCCUAGUUAGAUAGUAUAUAUAGAGACAAGAGUGAAGGCUUCUUCACUCUUGUCAACUCCUUUCUUGCUUCUAGUCCAGGUUCAAGAGUCUUUAGUUUCUUGUCUUGUGGCAAUAGCCAUUCCAGUUUCCUUUUAAUAUACCUACUUGUUUAUAUUUUGACUUAUUAUAUCGAGAUAGCCUUUUGGUGUAUAUUUUUCCUCAUCGAGUCUUUGUCCCUGACAGAUUGACAAGAGUACACUUACAAUAUCAGAGCUUUGUUUUUUCUUGAGUAAGAGUGGAUUACCCCUUUCUUUUGACAAGACAUAAGCGUAUUAGAAGUUUGCGGAUUACCCACUUCUAAACUGAUAUUGUUCUUAGUAUCUUCUUUGUUAUCAAGUCUUUCUUUUCUUUUGUCUUGAGCAAUAUCAAACAAAUUUUUCUUCUUAGUGUCAUUAUGGCAGAGCUUGUUGAAAUGAAGAGUGCAAUGGCACAAAUGCAAGAGCAAAUGAGGGAGUUAAUGCUUGCGAUGCAUCAACUCAAUUCACCAACACAGGAAAGAACAAGAAUAGCAGAAAGUGGAGAUAUAGAGAUGAUCGGAGCUGCUUCAACAUCUACAACAAAUCAUGUCCCUUCUCUAAUUGUACAACACCCUGUAAGCACUAGAAAACCAAGAAUUGCCUUACCCGAGAAAUUUGAUGGUACGAGAUCAAAGUUUCGAGGGUUCAUCAAUCAAGUACAAUUGGCAAUUGAACUUCAACCGCAAAGCUAUCCAACUCCAGGAUCACAAGUCAGGUUUAUUGGCACUCUACUUUCUGGUUCUGUAUUAUCGUGAUUUUCGUCUUUUCUUGAACAACGAAAUCCAAUAUUGGACAAUUUGGAAGCUUUUUUGGCGGAGUUUCGAUCUAUGUAUGGUGAACACGAUGCAACUCGUGUUGCAACAAAUAAGAUCCGAAUUCUGCGACAAGGAAAUCGCUCAGUAACAGUAUAUGCUUCACAAUUUCGACAACUUGCAAUUGACAUCAAGUGGGAUGAUGCUGCACUCAUCAGUCAAUUUCUUUAUGGAUUGCAAUACGAAGUAAAGAAAUUGAUGCUCAACUUACCUGAUCCUCAAACUUUGAGUCAAGCAAUCGAUUUUGCGGUAAAAUGUGAUAAUCGACUUUUUGAAUUUCGAUCUGAGAAUCAUUCACGGGAACCUCAACGUUAUUACUCAAUGGCAACAUCAACAUCUUUGCCAAACGUACAUUCGGAAGUAGAAGACAUGCAAAUUGAUGCAGUACGUUUUAAACCUCUAACUGAGCAAGAAAAGAUUCGUCGUCGUCAAGAAGGAUUAUGUUUAUAUUGCGGAGAACCUAAGCACACUCGUCAACAUUGUCCAAAGAAACGACGCAACUAUAAAAUGAGGGGUACGACGGUCAAAGAAGACAACAUGUCGGAAAACGGAUUCAUCCAGCUACAAUAGGGACCGUGCAGCUGGAACCUUGUACAAUUCCUAAUGAAGGUCCUAUCCUCUCCUCAGAACCCUCUCCUUGUUUUAUAAUAGACUUAUAUUUAGGACCUAAGAAUUACAAAGCCUCUGCUUUAUUAGAUUCGGGAGCCUCAGCAUGUUUUUUAGAUGAACAAUUUGUUAAAAGUCGUAAAAUACCCUUUGUACAGAAACCUAAACCAGUACAUGUAGAAGUCAUAGAUGGUCGUCCCUUGUCUUCUGGAGAUGUCACUCAUGAAACUCAUCCUAUAAAAGUAACAAUAGACGGUCAUGAUAGCUACAUAGCUUUUAACAUAAUUAAAUCCCCGUCCAAUCCAGUUAUUUUAGGUUUAUCCUGGCUAGAAAAAUAAAACCCUCGAAUAGAUUGGAAUUCGCGUAAACUUGACUUUUCCCAAAGAGUUAUUAAUAGUUCUACCAACCAAGUAAAAAAUUAUAAGUCUAGUAUAGUAAAACCCGUACUGAUAGGUGCAAAAGCAUUUAUACACGCAGCAAAAGAAGGAUCAACUUUUGCUUUUUAUGCUGCACCUAUUUCUGAAAACGUAAAGACUUCAAGUGGCAUUCCAAGUCAAUAUCAAGAGUAUCAAGACGUUUUUGAGAAAAAGAAUGCAGAUAUUCUUCCUGAGCAUCGUCCAUAUGAUUGUUCAAUCGACCUCAAGGAAGGAACUCAGCCACCAUUUGGACCAAUUUACAGUUUAUCGCAAGAUGAGAUGGCUGAACUCAAGACAUAUAUUGACGAGAAUUUAGCGAAGAAUUUCAUACGCCAUUCAAAAUCUCCAGCAGGAGCUCCAAUUCUAUUCGUAAAGAAAAAAGAUGGAUCUUUACGAAUGUGUGUUGAUUAUCGAGGACUCAACAAGAUCACAAUCAAGAACAGGUAUCCAUUACCUUUGAUAUCAGGACUCCUUGACCAGUUGAAUCAAGCUAAAAUCUAUACAAAAAUAGAUCUAAGAGGAGCAUAUAAUCUAGUACGGAUCAAAGAAGGAGAUGAAUGGAAGACUGCGUUUCGAACCAGGUAUGGACAUUUCGAAUAUAAUGUCAUGCCCUUUGGACUCACGAAUGCACCAGCUGCUUUUCAACAUCUCAUGAAUGAUGUAUUUCGUGAAUUCUUAGACAAUUUUGUCGUCUGCUAUCUAGACGAUAUCCUGAUCUAUUCUAAGAACGUCGAAGAACAUGAAAUACAUGUUCGUCAAGUAUUACAAAAACUUAGAGAUGCAGGAUUGUACGCCAAGAUGGAAAAGUGUGUAUUUCACACUACUCAAGUUGACUUUUUAGGAUACAUCAUUUCAAAUGAUGGUCUCAUGAUGGAUUCUAAGAAAGUCCAAACAAUCGUGGAUUGGAAGAUUCCAAGGACAGUAAGAGAUGUUCAAUGUUUCUUGAGAUUUACGAAUUACUAUCGGAUCUUCAUCAAAGAUUUCUCACGAGUUGCAGCUCCACUUACACGCUUGACUAGUAAAGAUAAAUUUCAAUGGAAUCAAGAAGCGGAAGCAGCAUUUGAAGCCUUGAAGACAUCGUUUGUCUCUGCACCAGUCUUAUAUCGUGUUGACUUUUCCAAGGCAUUUUUUAUGGAAACAGAUGCAUCAGAUUUUGCCUUGGGUGCAGUUUUAUCACAAAUGGGAACAGAUGACAAACUCCAUCCGAUAGCUUUUCAUUCAAGAAAAUACUCAGCAGCCCAGAUCAAUUAUGAGAUCCACGAUAAAGAACUUCUUGUAAUCGUGGAUUCCUUUCAAGAAUGGCGUCAUUAUCUAGAAGGCACUUCUAGUCCAGUCACUGUGUAUACAGAUCACAAGAACCUCGAGUAUUUCAUGUCAGCACGCGUGUUGAAUCGUCGUCAAGCUCGUUGGAGUAUGUCUUUGUCAAGAUUCGAGUUCAUUAUCACUUAUCGGCCAGGAAAACAACAAGGUUUAUCCGAUGCCCUAUCUAGACGUUCUUAUUUUGCACCAAAAGAAGGAGAUGCAGCUUUUGAGCAACAAAGAACGGUCCUCUUGAAACCGGAGCAAUUUCAUCUCCGAGCAAUGAAAUCAACAUUGACUGUUGAUUCAACUUUUCUCAAGCAAAUCCAGUCCAGUAUGUCCUCAGACCCUCUUGUUUAUGAUAUCGAGAAUAAUUCUUCCAAGUCUCAUGAUCCUUCUAAGUUUGAGUUCAAGAAUAAUCUAUUAUAUUUUGAAGGACGCCUAUAUGUUCCAGAAGGAGAAGCACGUUUACGUGUUCUUCAAGCACGUCAUGACUUUCCAGCAGCAGGGCACUUUGGAUAUAAUAAGACUUUGGAACUCAUAUCAAGAGAUUUUUGGUGGCCACAAAUGUGGAAGUCAGUCAAAGACUUUGUACAAUCAUGUGAUAUUUGUUCAAGAUCAAAAAUUCCUCGUCAUCGAUCUUACGGACUUCUUCAGCCAUUACCUAUACCAGAACAACCAUGGUCUUCUGUUUCUAUGGAUUUCAUCACAGAUCUCCAAGCUCAAGAUCUUAUGAUUCUAUAUUUGUGAUAGUAGAUCGUUUCACCAAGAUGGCACAUUUUGUGCCAUGUACAAAAUCUAUCACAGGUGAAGAAACAGCUAAGCUUUUCAUUGAUAAUAUCUAUCGCUAUCAUGGAUUACCUAAAGAUAUCAUAUCGGAUAGGGGAACUCAAUUUGUGUCAAGAUUUUGGAGGACCCUUUUCAAGAUUUUAAAAGUGGACAUAAAACUAUCUUCGGCUUUUCAUCCUCAAACUGAUGGACAAACAGAGCGCGUAAACCAAGUCUUGGAGCAAUAUUUAAGGUGUACUAUCAACUACCAACAAGAUGAUUGGACAACCCUUCUGCCAUUGGCAGAGUUUGCUUAUAAUAAUACAGUACAUUCUUCCACGCAACAAACACCUUUCUUUGUCAAUUAUGGCUAUCAUCCACGACUUGAUACUUUUGAUUUUUCAAAAGUUGAUAAUCCUGCAGCAGAAAAUAUGGCAAAUCGGUUGUCAGAGUUACAUGCAAUAAUGAAGACACAAUUGAAGGAAGCUCAAGAACGACAAAAGAUAAACGCAGAUCUAUAUCGUAAGGAGCAACCACAGAUCAACGUGGGUGAUAAGGUAUGGCUACUUCGUCGCAAUAUCAAGACUACUCGACCUUGUGACAAGUUGGACUAUCGUAGGCUUGGCCCCUUUUCUGUUUCUGAACAGAUCAACCCAGUUGCAUAUCGGUUACAUCUACCAGAGUCAAUGAAGAUCCAUCCUGUAUUCCACGUAUCUCUUCUUGAACCAUAUAAGACAGUGGAUAUACAAGGAAGAAGACAAAUGCCACCGCCUCCUAUAGAAGUAGAUAAUAAUGAAGAAUUUGAGGUGGAAGAGAUAUUAGACUCAAGGCGGCGCCGAAAUAAGCUGGAAUAUCUUGUUCAUUGGCGCGGAUAUGAUAUUAGUGAACGCACAUGGGAGCCAUCCAGGAAUCUAGCAAAUGCAUCAACUAAAGUCAAAGUUUUUCAUCAACGACAUCCAUCAAAACCAAGAUGAAAAUCUCUCUUAUAAAAGAGACAAGAUUGAGGCAAGAUAACAUUCAAUUUCCUAUCCUUGUUUGUAACUUCUUUGCAUUUGUGACGCUAAUUAGAUGGAGAGCCAACAACCAGCAGAUUCAACUCAAGAACCUUCGUUUGCUGACCUGCCGGACGAGACAUUACGAUUGUCACAACCUUCAAGACGACGCAAUCGAGAUGAAGAUCUUCAAGAACGACAUGUUCUUCCUCGAAUAGAUGGUGAGAUACAACGCGUUUGGUAUCACGAUUUGGGAAGGGACUCCCGAUGUUUGGUGAUUUUGCUAGAAGUAGGAACAACUCCUGAUGGUGUUCCGAAUAUUCUAUUCGAAGGAAGUUAUGAAGGCCUCAAUAAUGAUCAAAUAACUGGGUGGUCUUCCCGCCCUGGUAUGGGACACUAUCGAUGGUUGAGAGGCCCUAUCAAUCAUCUUCGAAGAGAACAGAGAUCAGAGUAUGUGGCGAAUACAAUUCGUCGCAUCAUAGAUUUCUUCAACAUAUGAUGACCGCUCCUCGUGGAACUCGUCUCUAGAAGGGGGGGUAAUGUCACGGCCAUAAUCAUGUAAGCUAAUAAUUACAUAUAGAAAUAGGUAGAAGUAAGUAAAAGUAGAUAAAAGUAAGUUAAUUCUAUAAUAUUUAAUAUAGAAGCUUCCUAGAAACUUCCUAGAUGCUGCUUUGACUUCAUAGGUGUCUUUAAUUGACUUUUUGGAUUAGAAACGUGGUCAAAAAGUUGGCCAUGUGCCACACAUGUUGUUAGCUUGAAGAUCAAGCUAACUAUGUGGCCCACACGUAGAAAAACUUGCCUUGUAAGUCAAGGCAUGUGUCCUACAAAGUCAACACAUAUUGGAGGUCCUAUAGAACGUCGCCACGUAGCCCCUAGUUAGAUAGUAUAUAUAGAGACAAGAGUGAAGGCUUCUUCACUCUUGUCAACUCCUUUCUUGCUUCUAGUCCAGGUUCAAGAGUCUUUAGUUUCUUGUCUUGUGGCAAUAGCCAUUCCAGUUUCCUUUUAAUAUACCUACUUGUUUAUAUUUUGACUUAUUAUAUCGAGAUAGCCUUUUGGUGUAUAUUUUUCCUCAUCGAGUCUUUGUUCUUGACAAAAGGUAACCAAUGUCUAACAAGGGUGACUCUAAAUAUUUAGAAGUUACUAUCAACCAAAACCAAUCUUAAAAGCCACUAUCAAAAGAAAUUAAAGUUAUACAAAUUCUAUCGUAAUCUUUUUAAACAGCCUCUUUUCAAGGUAAUAAUCAAAUUAUUUUCUACAACCAAUUAAAAUCUAUUAACAUGGCUCUCAGUAUGUUACUUAGUAAAUUAUAUAUUAAGUACAUAGUUACAUUAUUUUCAUAUAGCAGCUGAAUCACAACACGACAAUGUACCUAACUUGCAAAAUAAGUUUCCUACAUAAGUAUUGCAUGGCCAACUUGUACCAUAAGUUGCCAACAUGUGUGAUACAUGGCUAACUUGUUGGCUAAGUUUCUAACCUAUCAAUCAACUACAAACAUGUAUAAAGUCAAAUCCGCAAUUAUGAAGCUUUUGCUAAUGAUAUUAUCAAAUCCACCUAUGUGUAUCUUCUACUUAAGACUUCUUAUUAAAGUAAUUAUAUAUAUCCGUGACAAAACUUACAUUACUUUAUAUGUGAUCUUUUAGAAAAAAAUUACCAAUAAAAACUUUAAUUGGAUGGACUCAUUACAUUUACUUAUAAUUUCUAAAAUCCUCUAUUAUAUAUUUAUUGCUAAUUUUGUCCAAGUAUAUUUUUAGAGUAUAAAAAUCUAGAUUUUUUUAAAUAUCUAAUAGAAUACUAUUCUUGCUGAAAUUUACUUUGAUUAAUUAAUUAUUUUAAAAAAUAAUUAUCUAAUUUAUUUAUUAUAAUAAAAAAUCAAAUAAUUAUAAAAAUGCUUUAAAAUAUUGGCAAGUAUGGCCACAUGUACACCUAGUACAAGGCACACUUCUAUUGUGAUAAGUCUUUGUAAUUAAUCAACUUAUUUGCCUCUUGCUUUCUAUUCUAUGGAUCAUAAAAUAUAGAAUUCCUAGACCUUCAUGGCUUUAUAUUCAAUUUAUGUAGAUAACAAACUUAGAUGGAAAAUUAGAGGCACUAUACAUCAUAGAGGUGGCACACAAGCACCAAAGUGCAAAAUUGUUUUCUACACAUCCAAUCAAUCAAGCUUCUUGAUCUUUACAACUUUCCCAAAGCAUACUAAGAAAAAAUCUACACCAUACUUUAGAUAAGCCUCAUGUGUGUGAAUCAAACACAAUGAAAUGCUAUUCAAAUUCUUUGUAAUUUCCCAAAAGCCUCCAAAAUUGCAUAAGUACCACUUUGCAUCUGCAUAUUGGCCACAUUUAGUACAAGUACCCCAUGUCAAAGCUUCUACUUCAAACAUGGAAAACUCAAUCUCUAGUACUCCAUCCAUUGCACCAGUGGCUAUCUCAAAAAUUCCCCAAGCCAAUAACUCUCCGCAGUCAAACAUGUCAAUACCAGGAUUCUGUACUUUUUCCUACUGAAAAAUCACUGCCACAGACUCAAGUUUGUGAAAUUCAUUUUGAUGUGUUAACAGUCUGCUAUUGGCUCUUCUUUUUACAGCAUCUGGGGGCAUUAAUGCAUAGCUUUUCUGCACCACGUUGUCUUGCAGAAGGAUGUCAUAAUCACCUCCAAAUUCCCUUGAAUCCCCAUCAUCUCCAACGUCAUCCGUUCCAGCCAUUGAACAACCCACCGCAUCUCCACCGUAUGGAAAAUACAGGGCCCGGUAAAACGCCACACUGGAAUACGAACCCUAUCCAAUCCUGCACAAGACGGGAAGGAGAUGAUGCACAGGACGAAUGUUUUCAAGGCUUGGUUCGCCCUACGAUCAUGCAGCGCCAAAGCAUGGUUUCGUGGUGUAAAGGCAAAAACCAGACAGGGUGAUUUAUUUUCUUUUUGAAGUUUUUUGGUUGCUCGUUACGGUGCAUUUGCAGAUUUGUCCAAACAUAUGAAAUGUCUCCAAGUGGCUCGUAGCUACUGUCGCACGCAGUGUCCGCCCGCAAGUGCCACCUCCUCAGUUUGCAUUCCUUGUUGGGUGUUCCUUGGGUUCAUCUGUAGUCUUGCUUGGUUCACCCACAGUUUGUGCUAUUGGUUUUCUGCAUUUUGUGGUGAGAUUGUGCGGAGAAUUUAAAAUCCUGUAGCCUUUCGUUUGUGUAAUUAUUUUUCCUGAAUUGGGGGGAAGCAAUUUCUGUAGUAUUUCGGGUUUGAGGCGAAGCGUAGUGGUUAUGGCGGAGGAGUUAGUAGAUAUCGUCAUACUGGGUGCCUCAGGUUUCACUGGGAAGUAUGUCCUCCGUGAGCUUCUGAAAUUCGCCAACCCACCCAAUUCCGUUCCUCGGAAAAUCGCCAUUGCUGGUCGCUCCAAAGAAAAGCUCGCCGCUGCUUUGACAUGGGCAUCCGGUGACAAGAAUCCUUCUCUAAGCUCGUCGAUUUCCAUAUAUGAAGCAGACGUCAACAAUGUUCAAUCUCUCAUCACUCUAUGCAAGAAGACUAAGGUUCUUGUGAGCUGCGUUGGCCCUUACAGAAAGUAUGGGCGGCCUGUUGUUGAGGCCUGUGUGGAGGCCGGAGUCGAUUAUCUUGACAUCACUGGAGAGCCAGAGUUUAUGGAGCAGAUGGAGCAUCUGUAUCAUGAGAAGGCUUCUCAGACUGGUUUGUUGCAAAUGCCCACUGAUGUGAUAAGCCUAUCAUGUGAUAUUUCUUCUCUCUCCCUCUCUGUUUUGCGAAAAACGUAUUGGUGUUUUGAUGAAGGCAUUGUGGCGCGAAUACUUUGAAAAGACUUUCAGGAUUGAUUGCAGUCUUGAUCAUGCAUCGACUCGCAUGAUGUUAGCAAUUGUGUCUCGUUUUUGAAUACGAAUCUAUUCAUGAUGCCGUCCAGGGUCAUUGGUGGUGAGCGCGUGCGGCUAUGACUCAAUUCCGGCGGAAUUUGGUGUUAUUCACAACACACAACAGUGGGAAUCUCCUUCUGUGCCCAACUCGGUCGAUUCGUAUCUUAUUCUCGAAACUUCCGGUAAGAGCAUCAAGGGGAAUAUAGGAACGUGGGAGUCUCUAGUCCUGGGCGUUGCUAAUCAAGCCAACCUUCAGAAGUUCCGAAAAUCAAGACCUCGUCGCUCUCGUCCUCAGGUAAAUAAUGUUCAUCGCCUGAGUUUGCUCGUCUCAGGUUGCCUUAAGGAUAUCGAGUUUUGGUGGCAAGGCAUUCACCUCUUAUUCCAGCACUUCAUGAGAUCUAUGAAGCUGAUAGCUAAGCUACCUGAAAACUUGAACAUAGUUAGAAUUUGGCGCCCGAAUCGUGGCAGGUGUCAGUGAUGCAGCACCCUGCUAUUUUUCUCUUGUUCCUGCUGUCAAUGCUCCCCCGCAUAAUCUGGAAAGUUGUGAUUCUCUUUAAUCGGUUGAGUGAUAUUGUACCAUCGAUUUCAGGGUCCCUUUGACACAUGAGCACCGUAGAUUAAGUAAACCCUUUGUCCGAUUCUGUAAACUUGGCAGCCAUUGGAAGACUAAGAAAUAAUCGAUGAGUUCAAUCAUCAUUCUUUACUGAAUUUUGUUGCGACGUAAAUUUAAAUUUAGAAUAUGUAUCAUAGGUUGAGAAAUAUUUGGAAACUUUCAAUCAUUUCCCAUAUGAGAGAUCUCAUUGUGAGUGUUAUUAAUGAAUAUUAGUAAACAUUUUGCACAAUGUCUUCGAGAGGGAAUCCUGGUUUUCUUAGAAUUCUAAGAGUCACCUUGGCUUUCUUUUGUAGAUUCCAACAAAUUCUAUGAAGCGCGGGUUGAUCCACUGGGAGGAAACCACAAGCGGAUGGGCUAUCAAGCUUCCAUCCGCUGAUGCAACUGUAGUGCGCCGCACACAUGCCACAGUGAUCGACAACCCCAAUGGGCUUCCCAAAGCAUCAGAAGACUCACCCCUCGAUGAACACCCAUGGACAUCCAUCAAGCCAGUCCAUUACGGGUGCUAUGUUGUGCAGAAGUCAGUUAUGGGAGUAAUAGGAAUGUUCAUCUUAGGCUUCAUUUUAGUCAUAUUUGCGCAAUUCAAAUAUGGUCAGAAGCUAUUAGUGCAAUACCCAGAGCUUUUCUCUUUGGGUAUAUUCCACAAGGAGGGUCCUAGUGAAGAAGAAAUUCAAGCAGCGUCUUUCAAGCUGUAUUAUGUGGGCCGAGGGUAUUCUGAUGCUGCUCAGGUGACACCUAGUAAGAAGCCGGACAAGGAAAUUGUCACCAGGAUUGUGGGACCUGAAAUUGGAUAUGGAAAUUGUCACCAGGAUUGUGGGACCUGAAAUUGGAUAUGUGACUACUCCUAUAGUGCUCAUUCAGGCGGCCUUGGUCAUGUUGGACGAACGGAGAAGGCUUCCAAAGGGAGGGGUUCUCACACCAGGGGUAGUGUUUGGUGGGACUGACUACUUGCAGCGAUUGCAACAGAACAGGAUAAGCUUUGAUGUUAUCAGUAAUAAGAAGAUCUAGAGGAAGCAACAUUCUUCACCCAGAAUCAUGAAUCUACAGACUCACAGUAAUCAAUGCUCUACCGUUUGUUGUAUUUCUUCUAGGGGGACACCUGGGGUUCCAUUCUUUUAGGCUUAAUCAUAGGAAUUGGACUAUUUCUUGAACCUGGUAAUAGACUUCAGUUGAUUGAAUCUUACAAGCUCUUUGUUUUUAUAUUGUUGUAUCUAUGUGUUGAUGAAUCAAUAAAAAUAAAAAAAUAAUACAUGUAUAUUAUCAAUAUAUUUGAAAUUUUUUACUUGGUAUAAUUUAUAUUUUUAACUUUGAAAAUUGUUAUGACUAUUGUGGUUGUUUUCAAUCUUAUUUUUAGUUGUAUUUGAAUGAUGAAGCCUUAUUAGUUCUUUAUUAGUUCCUUAUUAGUUGUAUUUAAUUGAUGAAUUCUUAAAACUUUGAUCUUGUACCAUCAAAUUUUUUGAACAAAGUAUUUCUUAGUUCUUUAAUAUUAGAAUGGUGAUAUACUAUAAGAGAAGUAAUAUGAUUUGGUCAAGAUAUUGAAGCAGCUUCAGUCAUCUUUAUAUCUUCAAUUCCUAAGAAUCUUGUUACUCCAUGUAGUGGUAAAUUGAAUUGAUGCAUUACAAAUAUUAAAUCUCUCAAUUAUUCUUGCAUUCUUCAUUUCAAUAAUCUUUGCCAUAAUAACAUUAAAAAACUAAUAUGUUUAAUAUUGCUUAAGAGGAAUAGAAGAAAAGACUUGAAAACAAAGAAAUUGCUAAAAACAAUAUCAAUUUAAAAGAGAGUAAUCUACAACUUCUAAUAUGUUUAUGACUUAUCAAGAAAAAGAAGUAAUCCAUUCUUAAUGAAGAAAAGACAAAACUUUGAUAUUAUUAGUAUACUCUUGUAGAUUUGACAAGGAUAAGAACUUGAGAUCCAAUAUUAGAUAACUUAAAAUUAUUUUUGAUGAAAUUUUAAUCCAAAUAUAGACAACAUGAUGCAAUUUGUAUUGUAAGCAACAAGAUUUGUGUUUUGUAACAAGAUAAUUGAUUUAUAUCAUUAUAUGCUUCAUAAUUUUAAUAACUUAUAAUUGAUAUCAAGUAUGAUGAUAUUGCACUUAUUAGCCAAUUUUUUUUUAUAAAUAAUAAUAUGAGGUAAAGAAAUUGAUAUUCAACUUAUUUGAUCUUUAGACAUUGAGUUAAGCAAUUGAUUUUAUUGUAAAGUAGAAUAAUUGACUUUUUAAAUUUUUAUUUAAGAAUCACAUAAAUAGACCUCAAUAUUUUUAUAAUUUAAUGGAAAAAUCCACAUCUUCUAAAUAUGUACAUUCAAAAGUGGAAGAUAUACAAAUUAAUGUGAAACAUUUCAAACCACUUAUUAAUUUUUUAUUAAAAAAAAAAAAAAAAGUUAGUAAGAAGAAUUAUACUUAUAUUGUGGAGAACCUAAGCAUACUACUCAAUAUUGUUCAAAAAUGUGACAUAACCACAAAAUGAGAAGUAUGGCUAUGAAAUAAGAUAAUAUGUCAAAAAAAAAUUGUCCAAUUAUAAUAAGAAUCAUGUAAUUGGAACCUUAUAUAAUACUUAAUAAAGAUUCUAUUCAAUCCACAAAACCCUCUAUUUGUUUCACAAUAGAUGUUAGUUUAGGACCUAAACAUCACAAAGUGUGUGUCUUAUUGGAUUCAAGAAUCUUAGCUUAUUUCUUAAUGAAGAGUUUAUUAAAAAAUAUAACAUAUCUUUAGUAAAAAAACUAAAUAUAUUCAUAUAGAAAUCAUAGAUGGUUAUGUAUUAUCUUAUAAAGAUACUAUUUAUGAAAUUUUUAACAUAGAAAUAGUAAUUAGUAGUCAUAAUAGCUUUGUGAUAUUUAAUAUAAUUAAAUCUCUUUCUAAUCAAGUCAUUUUAGGACUAGAAAAGUAAAAUUCUUAAAUAGAUUGAAUUAAUUGUAGUUUUAACUUUUUUCAAAGUAAAAUUAAGAAUUUUGAGAAUUAAAUAAAAAGUUAAAAAUCUAAUGCAACCAAAUUCUUAUUUAUAAGUAGAAGAGCUUUUUUGCAUGCUGCAACCAAAGGAUUAGUUUAUGUUAUUAAUGAAAUACUUAUUUCUAAUGGUGGAAAGACUUUAAAUGACAUUCUAAUCAAUAAGCAACGAGAUAGAUUAGUUCACAAAUAGGAAAAUGUCUAAGCCUACAAUAGUCCAAAUUAUCAUAAUAACAAAUAGUCUUAAUAUUAUAAUAAAGUACCUAUACCUUACUAAGUUGUGGUUGUUCCUUUUGAUAAGCAUUUGAAUUAAUCUUUUAUUGUUCUUGAGCUUCCUUCAAUUGCACCUUCAUUGUUGUAUAUAGCAUUGAUAAAUAAUUUGUCAAAUCUUCUACCACAGGAUUAUUAAUAUUUGAAAAGUCAAAAAUAUCAAAUUAUAGAUAAUAACUAUAAUUAACAAAAAAAGGUGGUUCUUGUAUAGAAAAAUGCAUCAAAUUAUUAUAAAUAAACUUUACCAAUGGCAAGAGGGUCUUUCAAUUGUCUUAUUCAUAAUUCAUCGUAUACCUUAAAUAUUGCUCAAAAACUUGGUUUAUAAGCUCUAUUUGUCCAUCUAUUUGAGGAUGAAAGGCCAAAGAAAACUAUAUGUUCAUCUUUGGAAUCUUAAAAAGGAUUUUUAAAAAUCUUGAUACAAAUUGAAUACUCUUAUUUAAUAUAAUACUUUUUAGCAAUCUAUCAUAUCGAUAGAUAAUAUGAAAAAAAAUCUUGGUAGUUUUUUCACCUAUGAUAAAUUUUGUGCAUGGUACAAAAUGUGCCAUUUUAGUAAAAUGAUCUAUUAUUACAAAUAUAGAAUCACACAAACUUGAGAUUGAAAGAUCCAUAAUAAAAUCUAUAAAAAUAAAAGAUCGUGGCUAUUUUAAAAUAGGUAAUGAUUGAAGAAGUCCAUAAGAUUGAUGACGAGGAGUUUUUGACCUCAAACACAUGUCAUAUGAUUAAACACAGUCUUUUAUAGCCUUUCAUAUUUGCGACCACCAAAAAUCUUUAGAUAGUAGCUCCAAAAUCUUAUUGUAUUCAAAAUAUCUUAUUACUGCAAAGUUGUGAGUAGCUUGAAGAAUACAUAAAUGUACUACUUUUUUUGGAAUAUAUAUGCAUUCUUUGAAAUAAAGUAGAUUCUUCUUGAACUCAAACUUGGAAGUAUCAAAAGACUUAAAAGAAGUAUUUUUGAUAUCAUGAACAAGAGGAUCAAAGGACAUACUUAAUUGAAUUUGCUUAAAAAAAAUUGAAUCAACAAUCAAUGUUGAUUUCACUACUCAAAGAUGAAAUUGUUCUAGCUUGAAUAAUUUUUUUUUUUUAUUGAUCAAAAAUUAUAUCUCUUUCUUUUGGUGCACAAUAAGAACAUCUAGAAAGGAUAUCAAACAAAUCUUGUUGUUUUCCUAGCCAAUAAGUGAUAUUGAACUCAAAUCUUGACAAAGACAUACUUCAAUAAGCCUAGCAACAAUUCAAAACAUGUGUUGAUACAAAAUACUUGAGGUUCUUGUGAUUCAUAUAUAUAUGGUGACUAGACUAGAAGUAUUUUUUAAAUAAUAAUGCUAUUCUUGAAAAGAAUCCACAACUACAAGAAAUUCUUUCUUGUAGAUCUCAUAGUUAAUUUUGGCUAUUGAGAAUUUCUUGAAAUAAAAAGCUACUAGGUGGAAUUUGUCAUCUUCACCUAUUUGUGACAAAACAACAUCUAUAGCAAAAUCUGAUGUAUCUAUUUUCAUACAAAAUACCUUUGAAAAGUCAAUGCAAUAGAAGAUUGGUGCAAAAAUAAAUGUCAACUUUAAAGCUUCAAAAGGUUCUUCACUUCUUUGCUUCAAUUAAGUUUGUCUUUUCAUGUAAGAUAUAUAAGAAGAGCCACAACUUGAAAAAAAUUCUUGAUAAAGAUCGGAUAGUAAUUGGCAAAGCCCAAAAAAACAUUGCACAUCUCUUACUAUUCUUAAAAUCUUUCAAUAUAUAAUAGUUUGAACCUUCUUUGGAUCCAUCAUAAGUCCUUUGUUUGAAAUGAUAUAUCAUAUGAAGUCAAUUUGAAUAGUAUGGAAUAUACACUUUUUUUCUUCACAAAUAAUAUAGGAGCUCUUGCAAGAGAUUUCAAAUGGCAUAUGAAUUUUUUAGCCAAGUUCUUGUCAAUGUAUUUCUUGAAUUUAGUCAACUCAUUUUGUGAUAAACUGUAGAUUGGACCAAAUGGUGGUUAACUUCCUUCUUUAAGGUCGAUUGAGCUAUCAUAUGGAUGAUUCUCUAAGAAAAUAUCUAUAUUCUUUUUUUAAAAAAAUAACUUAAAAAUCUUGAUAUUAACUUAGAAUGCCAUUUGAAAUCUUUCUAAUAUUAAAAAUAGGUGGCAUAAAUAACAAAAGACAAUCCUUAUUUUGUAGCAUACAAAAAAGCUUUUAUGUUUAUGAAUAUGGAUUUGGCUAUAUUACACUCAUGGCUUUCUACAAAACUCUUAAUAGUACUUUAAGAAAAUUUAAGUUUUUAAGAAAUCCAAUCUAUCAAAGAAUUAUAUUUUUUUACCCGUGAUAAAUUUAAAAUGACUAGAUUAGAAGGAGACUUAAUUAUAUUAAAAAUUAUGUAACUAUUAUGACUAUUUAUUGCUAUAUCUAUAAGAAGUGUCUCAUGAAUAAUAUCUCCAGAAGAUAAUAGAUGACCAUCUAUGAUUUCUAUAUAUAUGAAUUUAGUUUUUUGUAUUAACAAUAUUCUAUGGUUUUUAACAGAUUCUUCAUCUAAAACAAAAAGUUGAGGCUCAUGAAUCUAUCAAGAUAGAGGCUUUGUAUUUAUUAGGUCCUAAAUACACGUCUAUUAUAAAAUAAGGAGAGGAUUCUGAGGAGAAGGUAAGACCUUCAUUUGUAUAAGAUUUUAGUUGCGCAGUUCUUAUUAUAAUUGAACAAGUUUAUUUUUUUGACAUUUUUUCAUCUUUGACAAUUGUACUUUGUAUAUUGUAGUUGCGUCAUUUUUUUAGAUAAUGUUGAGCAGUAUGCUUAGCUUCUCCACAAUAUAUUCAUAAUCCUUCUCGACGACGAUGAGUCUUUUCUUAUUCAAUAAGAGGUUUAAAACAUACCACAUCAAUUUGCAUAUCUUCUACUUUUAUAUGUUUAGAAUGAAAGAUUAUCAAUAUUGUUAUUGAAUUAUAAUAGUAUGGAGGUUUUUUUGGGUGAUUAAUAGAUUGAAAUUCAAAAAGUUGAUUGUCACACUUUAUAGCAAAGUUAAUUAAAUGACUAAAUGUUUGAAGAUCAGAUAAGUUGAGCAUCAAUUUCUUUAUCUUAUAUUAUAAUCUGUAGAAAAAUUGGUUAAUAAGAGCAGCAUCAUCUCACUUAACAUCAAUUACUAGUUAUUAAAUUUGUAAAGUAUAUGAUGUCAUUGAUCAAUUGCUUUGUCAUAAGAUACAAAUUUUAUUAGUUACAACAUGAAUUGCAUCAUAUUCUCUAUACAUAGAUUGAAAUUCUAUCAAAAAAGCUUUCAAAAUAUCUAAUAUUAUAUCUUAUCAUUCAAAAAAAGUUAAAAACCAUGAUAAUGCUAAAUCUAAAAGAAGUGUAUCAAUGAAUUUAACUUAUGAACUUGGCAUUGGAUAGAUUUAGAAUUGAAGUUCAAUCAUAGGUUGUGCUUGAUUGAUAAAUUCUUUAAAUUUAGAUCUUGUGCCAUCAAACUUCUCGGAUAAGGCAACUAUGGAUUCUUUAACAAUAGAAGGAUGUUUUUCUAUAGGAGAAAUGAUGUAUUUUGAUAUAGAUGUUGAAGUAGCUCCAAUCAUGUUUGUAUCUUUACUUCUUGUUAUUUUUGUUGUUCCAAGUGGCGAGAAACUAAGUUGAUGCAUUGCAAGCAUCAACUCCUUCAAUUGCUCUUGCAUUUAUACCAUUGCACUCUUUAUUUCAAAAAGAUCUAUCAUAAUAAAGCUUAGAAAAAAAAAUUCUAAUAUUAAUCAAGACAAGGAGAUGAAAGGACUUGAAAACAAAGAAAAUAUUAAGAAUAAUAUUAGUUUAGAAGAGGGUAAUUUGUAACUUCUAAUAUGCUUAUAUUUUUAUCAAGAAAAAGGAAUAAUCUACUCUUAAUCAAAAGAAGAUAAAGCUCUAAUAUUAUAAGUGCACUCUUAUUUAUGUAUUAAAGAUAUGAACUAAAAGAAGAUGCAUAAAUCUAAGAAACUUAUGUCAAAAAAAAAGUAAAAAAAUAGAAAUAAAGAAGUAUGUAUAUUAAAAAGAAAUAAGAAUAGCUAUUGCCAAAAGAAAAGGAAACUAGAGACUCUUGAAUCUAGAUUAGAAGUAAGAAAGAAAUCCACAAGAGUAAAAAAGGCCCUAUUCUUGCCUCUAUGUAUACCAUGUACUUAGGAUCUAUGUAGCAACGUUCUAUAGGACCUCCAAAAAUGUGUUGACUUUGUAUGAUAUCAAACUUGACUUACAAGGCAAGUUUUUUAUAUGGAUGCUAUAUAAUUAGCUUUUUUUAUAAGCUACUAAUAGAAGUAAUACAUGGGUAGCUUGUUGAUCAAGUUUCUAGCCUAUCAAUCACCUACAAACAUGUACAAAAUCAAAACAAUAUCUUAAAAAUUUCUAAGAAGUUUUUUUAGAAGGUAUUUUGAAAUUAGUCUACUUUUAUCUAUUUCUACAUAUUGAUAUUAUAUAAGUUAAAAUUAUAUAUAUAUAUAUAUAUAUAUAUAUAUAUAUAUAUAUAAUGCAUUCAUUAAGACAUAUAAAGAUAAAUAAAUUUAAUAGCCUAAAGAGCUUUGAUUUGCUUUAUAGACUAAUAGAACUAUUUAUAAUACUAUCAUUAAUUAUAUGCCUAUAGAAUUAAUAUUAGAACAAAAAUCUAUAAUGCCAACAAAAGAAACCUAUCAUAUAUGGAUGUUUUUACUUUAAAAAGAUGACAUUAGUAAAAGAAAAUUAUUGAAACUUCAAAUCCAACAAUUGGAUUAUACAAGUUUAAAGGAGGUAGAUGUCAUGUUGAUAAGUAGGAUAAUAUGUAAAAAUAAUGUAAAAUAUUAUGGAAAUUUGGAAUAUAAUUAAAAAAUUAAAAUAAGAUAAAAAUUAAAAAUAAAUAUAAUAAAAUAUUUAUCUAAUUUAUUUAAGAUUAUAUUUUAAUUUUUUUAAUUAAAGAUAAAAAUUGUAAGAUUUAUUAGAAAGAAGUUUAGAAAGGCAUUGUCAACGUAGAGAGAGUUUGCCUCAAGAAAGCAAUAGGCUUCUAGCUGCUACUAAUUGCUCAAUCAAGUCUUGAGAAAAGAAAGAAUAAGUUCAUGUAUAUAUAUAUAUAUAUAUAUAUAUAUAUAUAUAUAUAUGUAUAUUACUUUUAGGUGCUAUUAUAUCAAAUAUAUAAGUCUUAAGUUUCUAAAAACACCCAAAAUAUGAUUAAACCUCUAAAUCCUUAAAUAUUCUUAUAGGAAAAUUUUUGUGAACUUAAAUACCUUAUAUCUCCUAAUUCGACUGUCCAAACUUAUUCAAAUUUUUUAUGAAAUAUUGAUAUAUUUUUUUCAACUUCUACAACAAAUUUCAAGUGUAAAUUCAUUGCGGAUCUUAAGAUAUCACUAAAAUCCUAAUAAUAGCUUUAAACCCUAGUUUUUAUACACCUGUGUCCAAUUUUCUUCAUAUCUCGCAAAUUAAACAUCCAAAUGCCAAAAUGUUUGUAUAUAUAGUUUUUUAACAAAAUCAUCUACCUUCUUUAAAAGAUUUGAGUCAAAAUGUCUUCCAGAAACUUAAGAUAUGGCUCCAACCAUUACUAUGAACCAAAUCACUUACUUUCUACCUUUGAUUUGGAUGCACUGACUUCAACCCUCUAUAAUUUCUUCAUCCAAAUUCCAAAUUUAUUAAACAAUUAUAACAAAUGUAGUCAAAAAAGUUUUCUCUCCAAUCUUUAUCAUCAAUCCUUUGUUGCUCUUUGCAAAUGUAUGUUAUGCUCCAAAGAGUGAUAGUAGAUACAAAAUUGACACCUUAACUUUGAGUGCCAAUAACUCCUUUAUAAAAACUCCAAAUAACACAAAAUUUGCAUCCAGUCCAUAUUCAAAAAUCUUAACUUGAUGACCUUAGCCUCUUAAGUUCAAAUGACUAUGAAAGAGAAAUCCUAAUCUCUAAUAAGACCUCAAGAAACCUCCUUGAAGCCCAUUGGGAAUGGCCUUCGACUAAUAAGAAUGAAGAUUCUCAUUCCUUGCUUUCAUCCCUCCCAAUAAGUCUCCUACUAGUUAAGAUUUUUUUUUUUAGGCUCUAAUCUCCUCUUAAGGCUUUAUACUAAAUAUUUAGGUCAUAUAAUUUUUUUAAAUGCUAUAAUCAAAAAAGAUAAAACUCAAAAUAAGGUUUUUUAUAUCUAUUCUCUUUAAAUUAAUCUAUUGGCCAUUCUUAUAUAUACCAAGACGUAUGAACAAGUUGUAUGUUCUAAUUAAUUUUUACAUACCAUAAGUAAUUAUAAUACAAUAGUGUUAGAGUCAAAAGUAUAAUAUUUUGACUUCUAGACCAUCCUAUGUAAGUAGAUAAGAUGAGUGACAAAGGAUUUCAUUUCUAUUGAUUCAAAGUCAUGUCCAAUGGGCUUUGAGAUAUUAAUUGGAACCACACUAGAGUUUGAGACCACUUUAGGUCGAUGUAUUUGAGAUAAGAAAGACCAUUUAAGGCAAGAUAAUUUCUUUGAAGUUUAGAGGUUUGAUUCAAAAAAAUUAUAUUGUGGAUUAGAUUUUAGAUGAAAGAAAUGGAUGAUUUGGAGUUAUAAGGAAAGAAUUAUGGUUGUUUGAAAUUAGGGUGUGAUUUUAGAUAACUAUUGCUACUCUUUUGAGCAUAUAGAGAGUUAUAAGAAAGCUUUGAAGAAUCAAGAAAUAAAGUUUAAAAUCUAACUUUAAGAGCUAUAUUUUAUAUAAGAAUAUUAAUAUGUUUUGGUCUAGAAUAAAGGAAAAAGAGCUGUUGGAAGUUAGUGUUCAAAACUAGGAUUUGUAAGUGAAUUGGUUUUAAUAGAUGUCCCAAUUUUUGCCAUAUUUUAAAUUUUUGGAUAAAUUUUCAGCUCAAAAUUUCCACAAAUAUAGAUGACUAUGUUAAAAAGUUGUAUAUAAAAAAUUUAUAGUAUUUGAAGGUUGAAUUUUUGAAAUAUAAAAGAAUUAGUGUGUAAGUGCUUAAAAAUUGAUAUGUUUAGUACCUGCUAGAGAUUAGGUGAUAUCCAAAGACUUGUAAUGAAUUUAUAGUUGGAUUUUUAUGUAGAGGUAGUGAAAGAUAUAAAUUAACUUGUAGAGAAUUUUGAACCCAACUAGUGAAUUAGAUUAGAAGUUAUUAAAUAAUACAUAUAUAGAAAAUAUUCUUACAAGAAUAGAAGUGAAUUUAGGAUAUUUAGUCACAUCUUGGAUACUCUUGUGCAUCCUAGACUUAUAUAUUUGAUGUAUUUAUCUUUUUGAAGAGAAGCUAAAAAUCCUAUUUAUAUUUUAUAAUCUUGCAACUUGUUUGAGUGAUUGUUGGCAACUAAAGGCUUAGCACUUUCUUGAGGCAACUUUCUCUACUACAACAAUACAUAUGAUUAUUCUGAUUGUACCACAUGUAUUUCAAAAUUUGAAGCCAAUUUUAGUACCAAAAAUACAUUUACUAAGCUUCAUAGAAUUAUUGAAAGAAAAGAUAAAGACGAAGAUUUUGGAAUAUUUUUUUGCACUAUUUUCUAGUCGAUGGUUUUCAAUGCCUAAAAAAAAUGGAUCAUUAUGAUUUAUUUAAGAUAUGCAACUAAUAAAUAUAGUGACUAUCAGAAAUGCAAGAAUUGGACCAAUAGUUGAUGAAUUUGUUGAAGAAUUUGUAGGAAGGACAAUCUAUUCAAUGAGUAAUUUAUAUUUAGGCUAUAACCAAUUUCAACUUACAAAAAGGAAUAGAGAUAUGACAACAAUGAGAAUACUACUUGGACUCAUUAGAAUGUGUAUCCUUUUUCAAGGUACUACUAACUCAAUUGUGUAUAUGAUAAAUGAAAUGAAUAAAGUAUUGAAGGAUUUUAUUUUCAAGAAGACUACGUAUUUUUAGAUGAUGUUUCUAUUAAAGAGUACAAAGAAGAAGAUAAGAAUGAAACUUUUGAUAAGAGAAGGUAUUGCAGGUAUAUUAUUGAUUUUAUACAAAAUUAUAAAAAAAUAUUGAUUCAACUUGAAGAAAUUCAUCUUACAUUAUCAAGUGUAAAAUCUACAUUUGGAAUAUAAGCGGUUGUAAUUAUUAGAUAUUUAUGUGGAUUUGAUAGAAGAAAAUCAGAUGCAACUAAGGUUGAUAUAAUUGAAAGAAUAAAAGAGGAUUGGAAUUCUUUAAUAGAAAAGUAUAGAUUUUUGGAUGCAUAUAUAUUUUAUCAUAUUUAGAUUCUUUACCAUGAUCACAUAGCAAAUUCAUUAUAUGAAUUAUUAAGCAAAGAUUAUCAAUUUAAAUUAAAAAAAAGUAUAUUAAAGUAGUACAAAGAUUGAAGAAAUUAUUGAAAUUAUCUCCAAUAUUGAAAAGAAUUGAUCAUAAGUACAAUAGAUCAUUGAUUCUUAUAAUGGAUACUAAUCCAAUUGCUAUUGGAUGGACUAUUGGUCAAGAUAAUUUGAAUGGAUACAAAUUUGCACUUUGAUUUGGAGCUAAGAUUUUAAGUAGUCAUAAAUAUGCAUAUUUAUAAGUGAAAAGUGAAUUAUGUAGAGUUAUUUCAAUUAUAAAAGUUAAAAUAGAUUAUUUGAUUGGAGCAAUGGUGGUGAUUGAAAUAGAUUGUUUGCCUUUACUUGAAAUGAUUAUUAAUUCCACAAUACCAGAUAUUAUAAUAUUAAAAUGGAUUCUUUAUAUCAAGUCAUUAAAUUUAGAAUUUAGGCAUGUUGUGGAGAAAGACAAUCUAGUAGUACAUAUGUUAUCUUAAGCAAAAUAUGAUAGAAAAGAUGAGAUGAUUGAAAAUAUUGAUGAUAUGGACAUAAAUUUUAUUUGGUUUUAUUAUUGAACAAGGAAGAUAAGUUAUUUCAUGAAAAAAAUUCUGAAAGAGAAUUACUGAAUGUUAGAUAUUAUUUGAAAAAAAUAAUUAAGCAUGCUAAUUAGUUGAUAAAAAAAUUAAAUAGAUUUAAAAAAAAACAUAUAAGUUCAUAUUACAAAGAAGAUUUCUAUAGUAGAGGCCAAAAUAAAAUAUUAAAAUACUAUAAUAAGUAGUAGGUAUAAAAGAAGAUCAACAAAAACUACUCAAGGAAUUUCAUGAUAGUCUAUAAGCAAGGCAUAGAGGAAUUUGGGCUACUUUUGUUAAAUUGAAGGAACAAUAUUGGUAGAAGAAUAUGUAUUAAGAUGUAGCUUCAUUUAUAGAAUCAUAUAUUAUUUGUCAAAUAUAUUCAAAUAUAUGACAUCAAGAUGGUCUUCAUCUAACAUAUCUUUUGACUAUUGAUUUUAAGUGGAUUAUAGAUUUUAUUAUUAUGCCAAUAAGACUAUGGCAAAUGAAAUAUUUGGUUUUGGCUUGUGAAGUUUUAUCAAACCAAGUGGAAGACAUGGCUUUAAGAAGAAAGUCUAUAGAAGGAAUUUGCAUGUUUUUGCUUGAGAAUGUCAUUUGGUACUAUGGACAUAUAAAAAAGAUUAUUGUAGAUUCUAGAGAAUUGGAUGUAUGUAAAGCUUGUGAAUUCUUUAAGACAUACAAAAUUAAAUUAUCAUUAAUUAAUACUUAUAUUUUAUAGAAGAAUGUAAAAAGUGAAUGUGAACAUCCACCAAUUAUAAAAGUCUUAGUAAAAACUUAUAAUAGAAGAAUGAAGGAAUGGCCUUGGCUUCAAUCUUAUGCAUUAUGGGCUGAUCAAAUAAUACAUAGUUUAGUGAUAGGAUAUAUUCUAGUAGAAUUUAUAACAAGUUAAAAACCUAUUAUAUCAAUUAAAAAAUAUGUGCCAACUUAGAAUAUACUAUUAUCAAAGACAUGAAUCUUGAAGAAAGAAAAUCUUCAAUACACUCUUGUGUCACUGAAAGAAACAAGAAAGUCACUCAAAGAUGAUAUAAUAUUAAAUUAGAAUGGCUAUUAUCAAAAAUAAGAAGACUAAAAAUUCUUGAAUUAAGACUAAGGACUAAUAAGACAUUGAAAAAAAGUGAAGAAGGCUUGAGUCUUGCUUCUAUAUAUAUUCUUAACUAGGAACUAUGUGGCAAUAUCCUACACAACCUCUAAAACAUAUUGACUUUGUAAGCUACAUUGUUGUGAUGUAAUACAACUAAUAGGUGAAAGAGUGUAGAAAUUAUCAUAAUAUAGGAGAUCUUAGUUUAAAGUAUGAAAGAAAAUUAUCUUAAAAAUACAAUUAAUAGUAAAAAAGGUAGUAAAACUAAAAAGUAUUAAUAUUGCCUUUUACAAAAUAGCCUUCUAUUUACUUUGUUGGACCAUAAAUAAAGCAAAAUAAAGCAGAUUAGGAAAAUAAAGAUUAUGAACAUUUAUAAGAGAAAAUUAAGAAUUUAUUUUUAUAAAAAUUAACUCAAAAAGACAAAAUUUGAUAUUUGAAUAGGACCAGUUAUCAACCUAGGUCAAAAGCAAAAUUGAGGCACAAAACCGAGCACUUAUUGUUUUUGUGAAAUAAAAUAAAAUUGAUAUUUUAGGCGAUUUUGAGAGUUUAUAAUAGAUCUAUGAGUGGAAUUUUGUGGAUUAAUGGUUAUAGUUGUGCUUAAUAUGUGUUGUAAAUUUUAGCUUGAUCUAAUAGUUGAAUUGAGGAUUAUUGAAGUUUAAGUGGGUCAAGGUCUUAAAAAGUAGAAUUUUAGAUCUAAUGAGGGUUUUUAAGAUUUCUUGCAAUCUAUUAGUUGAAUUGGGGUAAAAUUUAUGUAUAAAGAUAGUAGACUUGUUUUAAUAUGUAUAUAAGAAUUUUGAAAUCAAUCAAAUAAUGAAAAAGAGAGAUAUUGGCUUUGAAAGAUUAGCAUCAAGGUCAGAGAAGAAGGCUAGCUAAUAUCCGAGCAUGUAUUUGAGAUUAUUGUCUAUUUGGUAAUUCUAUUUUUUUUUUUUUUUUUUUUUUUUGUGCUUAUUAUCAAAUCAAUUGAAUUAAAAUCAACGGUUCAUUCAUUAGUUACUGAGAUUCAAAUUUUUUUUACGAAUUACUUGGGAUUAUUUAGAAUUUGGUUUAGGGUUUAGGAUUUAAGAUUUAGGAUUUAGGAUUUAGAGUUUGAUUUAGGAUUUAGGAUUUGGUUUAGGAUUAAGGGUUUGAUUAGGAUUUGAUUUAAGAUUUAGGAUUUGAUUAAGAUUUGGUUUAAAAUUUAGGAUUUGGUUAGGAUUUGAUUAGGGUUAGAUUUUGAUUAGGAUUUAGGUUAGGAUUUAAGAUUUAGUUAGGAUUUGGUUUAGGAUUUAGGAUUUGGUUAAGAUUUGAUUUAGAAUUAGGAUUUGAUUAAAAGUUGAUUUAGGAUUUAGGAUUUGAUUAGGAUUUGAUGUAGGAUUUAAGAUUUGAUUAAAAUUUAAUUUAGGGUUUAAGAUUUUAUUAAAAUUUGAUUAAGAUUUAUUUAGGAUUUUUUUAAGAUUUAAGAUUUAGUUAGUUUUUGGCCUAAAGUUUGAAUGAAGUCCAAUAGGAUUUUAACUAGGAUUAAAUUAAGAUUGGAUUGAGAUUUAUUUGAGAUAUAUUUGUGAUCAUUCUAAAAAAUUUUAAAGAUUUUUUAUUGUUUUUUUAUAAUUUCUUUAAGAUUUCUUUGAAUUUGAUUAAAGCUUACUUAACAUUAUUAG